CCCAUCCCACUAGCUCCUUCUCGACCACAGCUAGCUUAGCAGCUUGUUCCUCCUCCUCACGCUUUGCUUGCCGGAAUGGAGUUCACGGCGAGCUCUAGACGGAGUAGCUGGCCAAUGAGCGGCGGCGACAGAGGAAAGGUGCGGCUGGAUGGACGGCCGCACCCGCACAGAUAGGAGAAGGGCGUGCAGUCACCUUUGGCUCCCACUGCCUGCCGGCUGGAACUCUCAGCUGCUUGCUCGAUCCAUGAGCUGAGCGUGAGCAUGAGGAGGAAGACGACGCAGAUGGUCUGAGCUUUCUUGGGGAAUUGAGGCUUGAUGGUCCGAGAUAUAUAUAAAUAUCUCUAGGUAUCUUAACUACUAGCACCUACUACUACUAAUUUAGAUUUCCUAGCUAUAUCAUUUUUCAUUUUCCCCCUCUUCUCUUGCUCAUCUUCUUUCCAUCUCCCCUGCUUUCUUUAUUACUGCUAUUUUGAGAGGACGAUGCGUCCAGACGGGAUGUUCUUGGCUGGCUACUUAACUUGCUGCUGCAAUGCCCAAGUUGUCUCAAUGUUGUCCUCUAAGUGAUGUAAUAAUAAUGUUGUUAGAGGCAGUAUAUUAAGUUUGGAAUGCAGCGGUCGGUCACUACAUUUUGUAAUGCCUGUAGUCUCUGAUUCUGCACUCUGUUCCAUGUUGUUACAAUGCUUUCAGGAAGUGCCAGCACGUACUAGUAUGUUUGUUAAUUCCUCUCUUCCCAUGGGUCUGCCAUGUUCUUGGGUUGAUGAUAUCUCGUUCGUUCGUUCAUGAGUCGUCUGCUCUCAAGUUCAUAUAGAGGACCUGUGUUCUAGAUACAGGCAUUUUCUCAAGAAAACUAUUGUGCAUUCACGUUCUUCACUUCUUCAGUUGGAGCUGCAGGUGUGGAACAGGCGCAGAACGACUGUGAGCUGGGAGUUAAAAGAAAAUACAGUAGGCGCAAAAAGUUCUCACAUCUCCUAGCUUUCUGUCACCUCCUUUCAAUGUUCCAAAUCAAAUCCGAGUUUUCUUUCACCUAGUAUAUACGAGCAGUUCAUAAUUAUAAUAAGCAUGUAGUAUUAGCACUAUUUGAACCGAAAUUUCUAACAAUUUUCUGUCUCGUAGUACAUUCCAGAGGGAAGUUUUUACACAAAUUCUAUAAAAUGUACUAGUGGCCCUCAACAAGUAAAUAAAAUAAAAGAGGAAAACGAAAAGGAAAAAAACAACUAGGCUGCGGCAUUUUACCCUUUGUACCCACAGCCACACAGGCUACAGGCCACAGCAAGCCGUCAGAGCAGCUCAGAAUUCUGACGAUCGAGGCAUCUACAGGCCACAGUAGUAGUACUACUAGUAGGCAAUGCGUGUACCGACCGCAAUCCGUCUGGUCGGGGAUUCAUUGAUUCAUCAGGCUUCAAGGCGACGCGCAUUCAUCCCUCGUCUCCUCUGCUUCGCUUCUCUUCCCUUGUGUCUUCGUCGCGCUCCAUGCCUCCAUGGUCCACAGGCCACAGGCCAUGGCAGCAUGAGAGAGAGAGAGAGAGAGAGAGAGAGAGAGAGAGAGAUGGCACAGAGUAGACCACGCUAGGAGGGGCGAGAGGCGACAUCGGCGGACGGCAGGCAGGCAGGGCAGACAGGGGCCGGCCCGGGAGGCAAGGCAAGUGGGCGGCAAGGGCACAAGGCAACGGCGCGAUGCAAGCGUUCUGGUGGUGGUUACUGUGGCUGCGUCGCCGCGCCUUGUCGUUGCCUCCUCUGAACUCUGGCGGUUAAUGGCUGGUGCAGGGAAUAUUCAGCGGCUGCGCAGGGGCCUGCCUGCUGCGCUCUGCCUUUGCCUCUGCGUCGGCUCGUGCAUGCAUGGCAUGGCAUGGCAUGGCGACGCCCGUGCUCUCCCGAGCUCCUCUCCUCAUCCUGCUGUGCGCUUUACGCUUUUGCUUUUAAUCGCUGUGACAGCACUCGCUCGCCUCGCUGUCGCUGCCGAUGGUGCUCCCUGCCUGUGCCUGGUGGUGGCAUUGGCCCUUGGCCCUAGGGCAGGCAGUCGGGCAGAGACGACGGAUGGAAGCAGCAGCCAGCCACGGAGCCACCCACAGGUCGUGCCGGCCAGUGUCCUGUUGUUAUCCUGUCCGGCCUUUUGCCCUGUCCGUCUGCCUACCCCCUCUCCCCCAACGUGCUUUGGUCGUCGAUCCAUCUCUCCAUGGAACCUGUAAAAAUACUUGCUCCCACCACCUGUUGUUGCUACAAUAAUGCGACGGUGUGUUGUAAAAAUGCCACACCGAGUACCAGUGCGCACGCAGGAGCCAUGGACAUGGACUGGGAUUGUUCUCAUAUUUUCCCCCCGAUUUGACGGCGGAUUGACGAUCCUCGCGCGCGGCAGGGUGCUGGCCGGCCAGGAGACGACGGACGACAUGCACGGCGAUGGAGGGAUCGAGACUGAUGCUUGACACCACUAACUCACGGAGCGACGGCCGGCCACCUAGUAGUAGGCCCGCGGCCCCCUCCCGGCCGGCCCUUCUUCGUGAUCCGCGCGUCGUGCACGUAUGCUCGCGCGGCGCGACGCGACGGCCCGCACGGAGCGACCGGGCAAGAGUGUUUUUUGGAAGCAUCCUGCCUGCCUAUAUACCCCCCUACUCCGACCUACGUACCAGCGUGUCAGCAGCAUACGGUGUACUACUACGGUGCUUGCUGAGGAGCCGACGGUCGUCGAUCUCAACUGGAGAAACGAAGGCUUGCUCGCUCAUGCAUCCUGCUGAAUACUGCUCGAUCUGUGCAUGCUCUCGCUCGCUCUAGGCCUUGUUUAGUUACUUUUCGAAAAUUUUUCGCGACACUGUAGCAUUUUCGUUUAUUUAUGAUAAUUAUUAUCCAAUCAUGGACUAACUAGCUUUAAAAGAUUUGUAAAUUUCGACCAAACUAUGUAAUUAGUUUUAUUUAUAUUUAUAUUUAAUAAUUCAUGCAUGUGUCUAAAUAUUCGAUUUGACAGAGAAUUUUGAAAAGUUUUUGAAUUUUGGAUAGAAGUAAACAAGGCCCUAGUUCGGUUCUACUGUCUUUCGCCGUGAAUUUUCUUUUCCUCUCCGGUAAUAAUGUAAAUACACGGGUACAUGUAGGUGUACUAUGUGUGAACUGGAGUAUAAUAUAAUACUAUGAAUUAGGAAGUUAUAGUUAAAUAACGACAAUAUUACAUGUUGUCCAAACAGCAACAACAAAAAUCAGACAACAUAUAAGAAAAGUGUAUGAAUUACGCGGCGGUAGAGUGCAGUAUGCUACUUUACUAGUACUGCUGUAGUACUAGUUACUAAUCCUAUUCAAGCAGAGUAUACCCAUGAAUUGCAUGCCGUUGCUGGCAGAGCGUACAGUACGUACGUACAUACAUCUUGUGCUGCCGCACGUCUGCCGCUAAUAGUCAUGGUCCUGCACUCCUGCCCUUGUCGAAUAGGCCUUGUUUACUUCUAUUUUUUUUUUAAAAUGAACAUUCAAACACUUUUGUUUAUAUUUAAUAAAUAUUGUCUAAUUAUAAAUUAAUUAAACUUAAAAAUUUAAUUUUAUAAAUUACAAAUAAAUUGUGCAAUUAGUUAUUAUUAUUUUAUAUAUUUAAUGUUUUAUGUAUGUGCCACACGAUUCGAUAUAACGGAGAAUUUGAAAAGUUUUAUAAAAUUUUCUAGGAACUUAAAAAGGCAUAGGAGUACGGUUACACUCCGCUCCAGGCACGGCCGUCGCCUUCGCCGUCGCCGGGACUCUAGCUGAUAGGAGUAGCUGGAGUGCUGGGUUGGCGCUGUUGAGCCCGGUGUGUGUACUGUACAGUGUAUCCCAGAAAAAGAUCCUGGUUCCCCGUGCUUGCAUGCAUCGGUGAUCGGCGCCGCGCGCGCGGCUCUGAGCAGAGUCAACGGUUUACACACACACACACGGGCAAGGCUUUUAAUGGAGGAACAGGGAAGGAUCGGUGGGAGCCGCGGCCGCCGCAGCGGCACAAAUGCGCAGCAGGCCGUGGAGCGCUUGUGCGGCCUGGCUGCCGGGACCGGCACGGGGACGCUGGCCGUAGCCGGCCGUGCCCGCUUCUGCUGGCUGCCGUCCCUCUCCGCUACGUACGUACAACGUACUCCUCCGCUGCGCCUGCAGUCCGGCCUGCACCCCCGCAGCAGGCACAACGGCCAUGAAACCUGGACUCCGUUUGUCCCGCCCGCACCAGAGCUGCUCAAGGAAGGAACGAAUACGCCUUCGCUUUGCUUCCUUUGAAAAAUAUUACUAGUCCCUAAAAAAGGGUAAAGGGAGUUCCAGGCCAGAUCGAGGCGCAGUAAAAUACUCCUUGGAAUGGAACGGUCGAGGUAAAAGAAAAAACAAGGCAUACGGAGGCCCCGAAACCGGACGCCGUACACUGAGGUGCCCGAGUAAAAAAAUUGCACAGAGAGAGAGAGAGAGAGAGUGCGGCGGCAUGGAUGGGACGCGGGCGUCAGUGGACAGUGGGUGGCAGCGCGGACACGACGUGUGAUCCGCGAGAUGCUGGCGCCCACAGCGCGCCAGUCACAGCCGCAGGAGCAUGCCAUAGCCGUCACAGGCCGCGCGCACGCUUUUAAGGUGCGCCGCGCGACGGGACGGGACGAGGGUCCGGCGGCGCCGCGGGCCUAGCCGCGGCACACCUCGCCAGGCGCGCGCGUGCGGUGGGCGGGGCAGAGCCGAUGGGUAUGGCCCGGCGCCCCGGCCCCGGCCCCGGCACGCGUGCUGUCACCUACGACAACUCGACUAGUACGACGAGAGGAGGCUGCCUUGCCUUGCCUUGCCUGCCGCGGCGGCGGCGGCGCGGGCUCCGCUGUGCGGGCCUGCGGCUGCGAGAAGGGAGUAGCUGGGUGUUGCCGGCACGCUACGGCUGCCUUCUGCGCUCGGGAGGUCGAGGCAUGCCUGCCUGCCUGGCCACUGGCCAGCAGUCCACCACGCCACGCAUCGCUCUGACUUGGCUGCUCGUUUUCUUUCACGUACAGCCGGCCGCCGCUCCUCUAACGACUGUGAGCUUCAGCCUUCAGGCAGGAAGCCGGCGUAGCAGCUGCACCAGAUCCAUCAAGUGGUGGAGUUCAGGCCUUGUUUAGUUCACCCCAAAAACCAAAAAGUUUUCAAGAUUUCACGUCAUAUUAAAUCUUGCGGCACAUGCAUAAAUCAUUAAAUAUAAACGAAAACAAAAACUAAUUAUACAGUUUAGCUGUAAAUCACGAGACUAAUAUUUUGACCGUAGUCAGUCCAUGAUUUGAUAAUAUUCGUCACAAACAAACGAAAGUGCUAUAGUAGCGAAAUCCAAAAAAAAAUCGUAUCUAAACGGGCUUUAAUAACCGUAGUUUAUAGAACAUGGUUCUCAUUGGUUAAAAUGGUUUCUAUUGAUUACGUUGCAGCAAUCAGCGUAACCAACCAAGUCGUUGUAGUAUAGUGGUGAGUAUUCCCGCCUGUCACGCGGGUGACCCGGGUUCGAUCCCCGGCAACGGCGUUUAUUAUUUUUGUUUUGCGAGUUGAGACCGUUUUGAGGUAGAGAAGGCCAGAAAGGCAGGAGCUACUUACUGAGCCUGGUCCAGGAGAAAAUACCUUACUGGGCCUUUUCUGUUUUGCCAGUUGAAACAGUUUUUAAGUAGAAAGGGUCAUGGGCUACUUAUUGAGCCUAGUGUGCAGGAGAAAAUACCUUACUGGGCCGGGCCGACUUCACGGUAGGCAGUUUGGAUCCAACAAUGCAACCACGCCGCGCUCCACCCAUCAUUUUUUUUUGCCGGUCCAUUUAAAGCCGUUUUAACCACGAAUUGAUGAAUGACAGAAUGUGCUUUGUUUAUUUUUCAUUCUAGGCGUUCAGGAUGAAGAUGCAUCAAUAUAUAACAAUGAUGAUGAUCCCCAAACUCCACUAUGAAGUAGCUCUAUAAAAAUUUAAAGUUUGUAAAGCACCUUUUUAGGUGCUCUAACAAUUAAAGUUGAAAUCAUUUGGUAGAAAAACAUAACAUAGAGCUUUAAAAAACGUAGAGUGAAGCAGUCCUAAACACUUCCAUACUUUCAUAAACAACUCUACUAGUGAAGUUGGUGCUAUUCGGCAAAACAGUUUUUCUCACUGGAUAAAAAAUUAAAAAGACCAAAAUGCCAAUCUUAUUAUCUUUUUCUUCUAUGUGUCUCUUCCCCGUUGUUCCCCAUCUGGCCGUGCCACGUGCCUUGGCUCCGUGCGUCUCUGCAUCUGUGUGUGAGGGCAAAACAAUUUUCCAUCCUUGUUGGGAUCCACUAGGACGAGGUGGAGUUAGGUGAAGCUGAGUGGCCCUGUUGUGCUGUACUAUUUUAGCAGUUGCUUUUAGCAAACAAAUAAUAUGUUCCUCCCAUAAUAUUUUAAUAUAAGCCAAAUUUCAGCAAAAUAUUUUAAGGGUCUUGUUGGGUAGAGCUAUUUGGAUUUUAUGGUGUUUCGCACAAACAGCUGAAGGGUCUGAUGGUGAAGCUGUGUCAAACGGUGUCGAGAUAUACUUUUGUCCCUUUAACUCCAUGGGCACAGUAUCAAUUCUAUCCAUUUUAUGUUUGAUCAAAAUUAUAUAAAAAAGAUUUGAUAUAUAAGAUAAGAAAUAAGUAUGGUUAGAUUUAUUGACAUAUAUUUUCUUAAUAUUUUGUGUUAUGAAUAUCAUACCCUUUUCUAUAAAUUUGGCUAAGCUUUGGAAAAACUUAACUAGGGUCUUGUUUAGUUCCGAAAAUAUUUUGGAUUUCGGUACCGUAGAACUUUCGUUUUUAUUUGACAAAUAAUAUCUAAUCAUGGACUAACUAGGCUUAAAAGAUUCAUCUCAUGAUUUACAGACAAACUGUGCAAUUAGUGUUUGUUUUCGUCUAUAUUUAAUGCUUCAUGGAUGUGCUGUAAGAUUUGAUGUGAUGAGGAAUCUUGAAAAAAAUUUAGUUUUUGAGGUGAACUAAACAAGACCUAGAUAUGGAGCUAUAACAUUUUUUUACAUGAAGGCUGUAAGGACUUCUCUAGUGGUUGAAUGCUACGAUGACAUGUGAGCUCAAGAAAUCAAUUCUUCACCACUUAAGGCAAACUGAAACCCAGCUCUUAAAGAGAAUACGAGCUGAAAAUAAGAAUAGGUUCUUACGCAUUAGAGCAUCUCCAAGAGUCUUUCUAAAUCUCACUUUCUAAAUCAUCAUUUAGAGAGCCAUUUGCAUAAAAAUCACUUUCUAUAUCUUUUCACUCUCCAACAGUUUUGUUAAAUCGCAUACGCAUUCUAGAGAGUCAUUCUCGUUUUCUAUAUUUUGCUAGCGAAAAAUGCAGAAUAGACAAUGACUAUAUUUGGAUGACCAUUUAGAGAAGCACUUGGAGAGUAAUUUUUUAUCAAAAUCUCUAUUCCUAACAUUUAGAAAGAAUAUAAAGAGUCUCUUAGAGAUGCUCUUAAACAAUCUUUUUUAUGAGACUGGCUAUUAGAGCAACUCCAAAGAGUCUGGUUAAAAUUAGUAGCUAAAUUCUAUUGUUUAACCAUUUUGUAAAGUAGAAAACUUCUUAAAAAAAGAGAUCCAUAACAGUCUUGCUAUUUUAAAAAAUCAUAUAGCUUGUAUCAGUGGUUGGCUAUAUAUAGCUAGUGAAAAUUAAGAAAUAGCUAACUUUCUAUUUCACAAAACUAAAUAUCAUAUAUGUUGGAGUCUAACUUUUGUGAUACAAAUUCUAAAAUAGCCUCCACAAUAAAAAUAGCCAAGCUGUUGUAGUUGCUCUUAGAAGGCAAAAUCAAACAUACCCUAUUUUGGAAGGAAUCAAACCCGCUAUUGGAGAAGGCUUAAGAAAUAAAAGCAUCUCCAAGAGUCAUUUUAAACCCACUAUUUAAAUGAUCAUUUUCUAAGAUUAUUUCUUAAACUCACUCUUUAAAUCAUCAUUAGAGAAUCAUUUGAAUAAAAAACGCUCUGUCUAUUUUUUUCACUCUCCACCAGCUUUUUCUAUACUUUGUUCGCACUUUAGGUACAUCAUUUGGUAAUCAUUCGAAUACAAUCGGUUUCCUAUAUCUUUCCGUCCUCCAUCAUCUAUAUCCUUUGUGUAUUUUAGAGCCAAUCUUGUUCUUUAUCUUUAAGAAGAGAGAAAUCUAAAAUAGAAGUAUUUAAAUAUCUAAUAAAAAUUCUCUAAACUUUGGGCCUUUGUGACGAUGCUGUACGUCGCGUUCUGAAUGUCCUGAACAAGUAAAAGUUCUGUGUCCCGUAGAACGCAGCCAGAGCUGGGACCAUGGCGCGCCAAUGAGGGCAAUGUGCGUUCAAAUCGCUCAUCUGUCACACAACUGGGCAUGAAUCAUGAAUGCGUGCAUGAUGGAGGCACUGGACUACGGUCAGAACCGAAGAAUUGCCGGAGGAGCUUGUGUUUCGGCUGUCACUGUUUUUUUUUACGUUACGGUACCUUGGCUGGCCGCUCGUGAAUGUUUUUGCGAGUAAUAAGGGGUUGGUUAGUCCUGAAAAAUUUUACAAAAAUUUUCAAGAUCUUUUGUCAUAUUAAAUUUUUCAGUAUAUAUAUAAAAUAUUAAAUAUAAAUGAAAUAACUAAUUUUAUAAUUUAUCUGUAUUUUUCAAGAUAAUUUUCUAAAUCUAGAUAACUUAUAAUUAGAUAAUAAUUAUUAUAUACAAACUAAAGUGCUAGAGUAACUAAAACUAAAAAAAAUUUCACCAACGCAGUGUUGUUUUGCUUGCACCCUCGUAUAUCCCAUCUGUCAGAGCCAGCAUGAUCGCACCGUGUCGAUGACGCGUCACGGAUGGGCGCGCAUCCUUCUGCCGCUAGGCCGUGGCGGACCACGCUACAGGCCAGCGCACAUGCCGAGUGUCUGCUGACACGCACCCACGCGGCACGCCACGCUCUCCCGACGCCGAGCCCCGCGGCCAACCACGGUCUCGUCGCUGCAGCCCGGCCGGCAGCCCCCCUGCGGCGCGACAGCGACGGAGCCGCACCCGCACCGCACUUGCCGGACGGUACGGGUCUGGUCCGGCGAGAGUACCCGUGCCGUCACUCACCCGCCGGUGCCCCACCGCCCGGCCGUGCGCCGCUCGCUGAGGUCACGGGACGCUGCCGCCCAGCGCCCCAGCCCAUCUGACCCGUCCGUCCCCGCAUCCGACGGACGGCCGGGAUCCCCCCGCCCGUGACCACUCCUUUCGAAUUAAAGCGCUCGAUCGCCGGCCGGUCCCGUGCGCCGUGCCCACCCAAGGACGAUGGCGCCGGACCGGGGCGAUUAAAGCCUGCUGCGGUUUGCACAUGCCCCCCUGCGUUCCUGCGCAAUUACGGCCGGUUUAAUCGUCGACAAAGCGGCAGUAAUUUCGAAGCAAAGCCAGGAUCUUGGCUUUAAAAAAGCCCCCGGAUUUGGGGCGAUGAUGAUUUCCCCUCCAUCAGCACGAGCCUCGUGAGCCGUACAUCAUCGCUGACGGCCACCUAAUUUGUUUCUUUGUCCGUACAUGUGCCGUGAUAAACAAACCAUUUCUCCGCAAGAAACAGCAAAGAGCCCCCCACCUUCCCUUCCCAUCUCACUGCUCGGUCCUCCUCAGCGCCUCUCCCUCCUCUCUCUCGUGUCUCGUCUCGUCCCGAGGAGAAGCGGACAAAGCGAGGCGCUGCAGAUUUCGAUCCGCUUCCCAAUGCCUCCCAUGCCCGCCGUCGUCCUGUGCUAGCUCCCGUCCCCCGCUCCUCCAGUCUCCGCGGCGCGCUGCCUGGAUCCGGGGAGCGCGUGGCUAGGAGCCUCAGAUCCGAGCGAAACCCAGCCGUCCGGGGGUGAUAUCGUCGCUCUAGCUCCAGAUUGGCGGCUGCCAUUUCCCCUCCUCUUCUUCUUACUGCUCAAGGUUUCAAGGCGAGUCUGUUCAACUCUGGUGGGUUUUCGGGUUGCUGCUGGUUUUCUUCGGUUGGUUUCCACCAGCGUUUUUAGCUGCAUUUUUCCGGGCUGUGCUCUUCUGUGCCAGAAAUCUACGGAGCAGUCUUGCCGUCGGUUUAGACGUAGAGCUAUAGAUAGAUAUCUUUUGGCGAGCAAUCCUGGUUCUUGUUCCGUUCCCGGUGCUAGUGUUGGUGUGUUAGUGGCAAGGUUUACUGUUGCCAUGGUGUUGGUCUGACGGCCCAUCAAGGUUUUGUGAAAGAUGUGGAAGCAGUUCCUCAGCAAGCUGCCCCGGAAGUCGUCGGCCUCGGGGGAUUCAGGCCAGUGCAGCAAUGGCACCGGGAUACAGCGCACGAGCAGCUGCAGCAGCAUCCCGUCUGGCCGCCCGGCUUCAGCCAUCCGGCGCAUGUCAUCCGCCGUCUUCCCAUCUAGUGUUGUGGCUGGUAUCGAGCCGCUGGUCUCGUUCAAGGAUGUCCCCAACUCGGAGAAGCAGAACCUGUUUGUGAGCAAGCUGAGCCUGUGCUGUGUUGUCUUUGAUUUCUCGGACCCGAACAAGAGUUCUGUGGAGAAGGAUAUCAAGAGGCAGGCAUUGCUGGAUCUUAUAGAGUUUGUCGAGUCCACCAAUACUCGCUUCUCGGAGGCGGCGAUCGCGGCCUGCUCUAGGAUGUGUGCUAUCAACCUGUUCCGGGCGUUCCCUCCAAACUGCAGGUCUGGCUCAUCAGGUGGUGGCGAGGGCGACGAGGACGAGCCAAUGUUCGAUCCUGCUUGGUGCCAUCUGCAGCUUGUUUAUGAGCUGCUACUGAAAUUUAUUGGAUCAUCAUCCUUGGAUGCAAAGAUAGGGAAGAAGCACUUUGAUCACUCAUUCAUUGUGAAGCUCCUGAAUCUUCUUGACUCAGAGGAUCCAAGAGAAAGGGAUUGCUUGAAAACUAUUCUGCACAGGGUAUAUGGGAAGUUCAUGGUGCACCGUCCUUUCAUUCGCAAAGCAGUGAGCAACAUAUUCUACCAGUUUGUCUUUGAGACUGAUCGGCACAAUGGGAUCGCAGAGCUGCUGGAGGUCUUUGGCAGUGUCAUUAGUGGUUUUGCAUUGCCUCUGAAAGAAGAACACAAGAUCUUUCUUUGGAGGGUUUUGGUUCCCCUACACAAACCGAAAUCUGUUGGUGUGUAUCUUCAGCAGCUGACCUACUGUGUAACACAGUUUAUAGAAAAGGACCCAAAGCUUGCAAGCUCAGUGAUAAUUGGUUUGUUAAGAUAUUGGCCAAUAACAAAUUGUCAGAAGGAAGUGAUGUUUCUCAGUGAGAUUGAAGAGAUUUUGGAGUCUACCAGCCAGGCAGAAUUCCAGAAAUGUAUGGUACCAUUGUUUCGGAGAAUCACUCAUUGUAUCACCAGUUCUCACUUCCAGGUAACUUGCCCUGACAAAUCUAAUCUAGUAAAUGUUUCAGUUGCUUGUUGCAGUAUGCAUUUCAGUAACAAAAGUGCCAUAUGGGAUUAGAUUCAUUCUAUAUUACUUGCUCCUACAACUUGUACUAUAAACCUAAUCUUAUUGGUGGUAAGUCUGGAAAAGAGAGUAGAUAUAACUCAAUCAGAGUGAUUCAUGAUUACAUAUACAUUUGCUGUUUAUCUCUGACUCUGACAGACAGGUUAUUUAGUCCCUUAAUGUACCUAGCAUUUGAAACUCAUAAUUUGUCAACAUGCCAAAUGCAUAACAUCUGAAAUAAUUGUGGGCACUAACAACAGUGGGCAAUCAUGUCACAGUCACCACUAAAUCAUAGGGGCCCCUAGAUACUGUUUAAUAUGGAAAACAUCAGCUAUUUGGACCAGCAUUAAGCAUUGGAAUAAUCUAAAUAUAAAAACACAGUUGGCUGUCCUAUCUUUAAGGUUUGCUUUUGCUUUUAUUUUUUUUAAAUCACAGUUGUUGCCUUAACAAAUCCUCUUUGUUGGUAGUUUUGUUGUCGUUGUCGCCUUAACAAGUUGCAUGGUUUCAGGUUGCUGAAAGAGCGCUCUUCGUAUGGAAUAAUGAUCACAUUAUCAGCUUGAUUGCACAAAACCGCCAAGUGAUCAUGCCUCUUGUUGUUCCAGCACUAGAGCAGAAUAUUCAGAAUCACUGGAACCAAGCAGUCCUGAAUCUGACUGUGAAUGUCAAGAAAAUGUUUUCUGAGAUGGACGAUGAUCUCUUCUCAUCAUGCCUGGCCAAGUACAAGGAGGAAGAAGAAAAACGUGUGUCGCUAGAAGCGAAGCGUAAGCUUACCUGGGAGAAGCUUGAGGCAGCUGCAGCUUUCCAGCCAGUGACUGGCCAUACAGCCGUCCUAGUAGGCCACCAGCCAUCAGCAAAUAUGAUCGCCACCCUGAUCUAGCUCAUGCAUGCCGCACAAGCAAAGGUGCUCUUCCCCCUUUUGGUGAAGCGCAGCAAGUGUAGUGUUCCCUGUUUUCCUUUUUUUUUUUUUUUGCAUUUGUGGUAUGAGUAAUCAGUGUAGUAAGUUGUAACUAUUUCCGGAUGUUUAUGUUCAUAAGGCAAGAAUACCUGUAAUGUAAGAUUGCCGAGUGCUGACACUCUCUUUACAUGUAUCUUUGCCUAUUUAUGGAUGAACAAUUGUCCUACAGUUUAAUUUCACUUUUCAGCUUGCCUAUAUAGGCUAUAUGGAUUACUGAUCGAUGCAGAAUUAUCAAUUUGGUAGGAUAGAGUUUUAUGUAGUUUUUAUAGCUAUAUAAUGGCAUCCCUGCCAGCGUGUUAGCUGUGGGCUUCUUUCCAGGUUCAAGAAAUGAAGAGUUUCCAGGAGAUGUGGCGAAAGACUUUUGCAGUCUCACUGUCACUGCCAAGUGGCCUGGAUACGCAAGAAGAAGAAGAAAAAAAAACUCCAAUCUGACCUGAAAAGAGUUUCCAGGAGAUGUGGCGAAAGGCUUUUGCAGUCUCACUGUCACUGUCACUGCCAAAUGGCCUGGAUACGCAAGAAAAAAAAACACUCCAAUCUGACCUGUCACUGCCAAGUGGCCUGGAUACGCAAGAAGAAGAAGAAAAAAAAACUCCAAUCUGACCUGAAAAGAGUUUCCAGGAGAUGUGGCGAAAGGCUUUUGCAGUCUCACUGUCACUGUCACUGCCAAAUGGCCUGGAUACGCAAGAAAAAAAAACACUCCAAUCUGACCUGAAAAGCAUUAAAAAAAUUCCGUUGCCGGGACUCGAACCCGGGUCUCUCGGGUGAGAGCCGAGUAUCCUAACCAGCUAGACUACAACGGAUGGUUGCAACGAGGGUACACAAAAUAUUUUAAAUCCAAAACCUCAUAUCACAUCGUUUUGGACGAAUGUUUGAUGAUUUUCGAGGGCUGAUUUGCGGACGGAUAGCAAACAACCCCUUGCAACCUGCACUCUUUGCCUAUAGGCGAUUUGUUUCAGAAUCGCCGCACUGUUUGUCUGUUUCGCUCGUCACAAACAGAGGGUGAUGUCUUCAAAAAAAAAAAACAACAACAAACAGAGGGUGAUAAAUGUUACAAGUAGAAUGCGAGAGUACGAGAACAGAGAGAAAUAGAAUGAACUCGGGGUGUUUAUUUAUUCAUUGAUCACGGGUAUUUAUACAGUCGGGGGGGGGGAGAGGAAACUCUCGCCCCAAGUAAACUCGUGCCCACGAUGAGUCGUGGGUGAUAUCACGGAGGUGGAACCGGUCUCCACGGAUACGUGCGUAGUUGUGGGUGAUAUCCCGUAGGCCGUCGUGGGGGAAGUCGUAGUUAGGAUAGAUCUCCCGUAAAGGGAAUCCGAGGAGAUGAGAUCACCCCGGAAAAUAUCCGUAACACUCCCCCUUGAUCGAAUCACUUGUUGAGAUCAAUGAAUUGUAUUGCUCCUCCAAAAAUUCCUGUAGGAUAAAAACGAGGAAAAAUACGUGUGUAUAUGUGCUAUGGUAAAACUCCUUAAAACCGCUUGGGAAAAGAAGGAGAAAGUUAUAGCACUUAAUGAUUGCCUCAUUGUAAACUAAUAUGAGAAAACCUUUGCAGGAGAAAACUCAUAUUGUAGUUUAGAGGACAAUAUGUGUCUUUGAUACUCCUUUAAAAACCUCUGUGGGGAAAACAAGGAAUAUGACACUCUUGUAUUAAUAUUAUCUCAUUAAAAACUCCUUAUGAGAAACCUUGUGAGGAAAAACUCAUAGAGAGAAAAGAGUAUAAUAUGAUGGUGUAGACAUGCCAAUGUCUAGGAGAUUUCUCCCCCUGAACUUUGUAAAUCCCUAAGUCGUCGCAUACCAAUUCCUUUGACACAUUUUUCAAAUGAGGAAGCUGGUAGGGACUUAGUGAAUAGAUCAGCGAGAUUGUCGCAUGAUUUGGUUUUCAAGAUAUCAAUCUCUCCUUUUUGUUGUAAUUCAUGAGGAUAGAACAACUUUGGAGAGAUGUGUUUGUUGAUAUUGCUCUUGAUAUAGCCUGUCUCCAUCUGUGUAACACAAGCAGCAUUAUCUUCAUAGAUAAUGGUUGGAGCUAUGAUAGCUUUAAGACCACACGACUGCUGUAUGUGGUUGAUCAUUCUGCGAAGCCAAACGCAUUCACGUGAGGCCUCAUAUAAUGCGACUAUUUCAGAAUGAUUCGUGGACGUUGUUGCCAAGGUUUGCUUGGAUGAUGUCCAUGAUAUGGCGGUUCCGUUUUGUAAGAAUACGAAACCGGUUUGUGAUCUGCCAUUAUGGGGGUCUGAUUGAUAUCCAGCAUCGGUGUAUCCUAUCAUCUCGGAAUUUGUUCCUCUUUGGAAGAAUAAUCCGAGAUCCCUUGUGCCAUUAACAUAUCUGAGGAUCUGUUUUACUCCUGUCCAAUGUCUCUUGGUAGGAGCGGCACUGUGCCUUGCUAGCAAAUUCACUGCGAAAGCGAUGUCAGGCCUGGUGCUAUUGGCAAGGUACAUCAGUGCUCCGACGGCACUAAGGUAUGGGACAUGAGGUCCUAGGAUUUCCUCCCCCUCAUCUUGUGGUCUGAAUGGAUCAGUGUUUAGUCCCAAAGACCGAACAACCAUAAGGGUUUUGGAAGGAUAUGCUUUGUCCAUAUUGAAUCUCUCCAAUACUUUCUGGACAUAUGCAGAUUGAUGCACAAAGAUUCCAGUUGAAAGAUGCUCAAGCUGUAGGCCUAAGAAGAAUUUGGUUUUACCCAAAUCCUUCAACUCGAACUCCGUCUUAAGAUGUUUGCAUGCCUCAUCAAUAUCUUGUUUGUGGCCGAUGAUAUUUAAAUCAUCAACAUACACCGAUAUGAUGCAGAAUCCCGUUUGGGAUUUCUUGAUGAAGACACAUGGGCAAUCAUCACUGUUGGAGUAGCCCUUCUGCAGAAGGUACUCGCUGAGUCGGUUAUACCACAUUCUUCCCGACUGCUUUAAGCCAUAGAGUGAUUUCUGUAGCUUUACACAAUACAUGUUGCGAUUUGCGUUUUGAUUCAGUAUUGGGAUUCCGUCGGGAACCUUCAUGUAUAUGUCCGAAUCGAGCGACCCAUAGAGAUAUGCAGUCACUACGUCCCUCAACUGCAUAGAUAGACGAUUUUGUACAGCCAGAGAGAUUAAGUAUCGGAAUGUUAUUCCACCCAUGACUGGAGAGUAUGUUUCAUUGAAGUCAAUGUCGGGUCUCUGCGUGAACCAUUGUGCUACAAGCCUCGCUUUGUAUCUCACCACCUCAUUGUUCUCGUUCCGCUUUCGGACGAAAACCCACUUGAAUCCCACAGGGAAUACUUGUGGAGGUGUAGGUAUUACUUGUGAGAAUACUUGUCUUUUUGUGAGCGAGGAUAUUUCUGCUUGGAUUGCAUCCUUCCAUUGGUUCCAGUCCGAGCGCGUUUUGCACUCUGCCAUGGUCUUAGGAUCUGGAUCAUUUUCAAGGAUUUCGGCAAUCAUUGCGGAGAAAUAUGAGUCGACAAUUGUAGUCUUUCUAUCAAAUGACUCUCCAGUUUCUGCAUAGUUGAUGGAAAUUUCAUGGACCCUUUCCGAUGCAUCAUCAUUUCCCAAGAUGGUCGCAUCAGGGUAUUCCGAUGUCCCAGCAUCAGUAAUUGAGUGCACUGUUGAUGUGGGAUGUAAAGGUUGAACCUCCACUGGGUGUUUCUCAACAUGAGGUUGAGCUGCAUUUACUGGAUCAGAAGAUUUUGUCUUCCGUUUCCUUUGCUUGCUAGAAGCUGUAUCCGUGGAGAUAGCCGUACUUCUCCCCCUCUUACUAGGGAGUUGAGUAGUUUUAUUUGGUACCUCUACUCUUUCCGGUACAUUUCUCGCUGGAUUAUAGGAUUUUGUAACACCCUUAUAAUCAGUAAAUGCGUCUGGCACGUUGUUUGCAAUGUGUUGCAAAUUUAUGAUUUUCUGAACUUGGAGUUCAGAUUCUGAAGUAUGUGGAUCUGAGUUGGGUAUGUCUGGGGCAUCCCAAUUGAUUUCCUGGCAUUGUUUGUGAUGUGGUAAGUCUCCCCCUAAUGCCGGAAAAUGAUCUUCAUUGAAGAUACAAUCAGCGUACCGGGCCGUAAAGAGGUCCCCUGUGGUGGGCUCCAGAUACUUUAUAAUCGACGGAGAUUUGUAUCCCACAUAGAUCCCCAAUUUUCUAUGGGGGCCCAUUGUUGUACGCUUCGGUGGUGAGAUCGGUACGUAUGUAGCGCAACCGAACUUUCGCAGAUGGGAAAUGCUUGGGGGAUUUCCAUGUACUAGUUGCAACGGAGACGUCGCAUGGUAUGCAGUUGGUCGCAAUUGAAUCAGUUCAGCAGCGUGUAAGACUGCAUGACCCCAACAUGAGGUUGGUAGAUUGCAAUUCUGCAAUAGCGGUCUAGCAAUGAGCUUGAUUCUCUUGAUGAGAGACUCGGCUAACCCAUUUUGUGUGUGGACAUAUGGGACAGAAUGCUGUACUUGUAUUCCUAAGGCCAUGCAAUAGUCAUUGAAGGCUCGAGAGGAAAAUUCAGCAGCGUUAUCCAUCCUAAUGGAUUUUAUUUGAUGUUCAGGAUGUUGCGCUUUGAGUUUGAUAACUUGCGCAAUUAUUUUGGCAAAAGCAUGGUUUCGUGUCGAUAGAAGAGACACAUGAGACCAUCGUGUGGAUGCGUCUAUUAGAACCAUGAAGUACCUGAACGGUCCCGAUAAAGGAUUUAUCGGGCCACAUAUGUCCCCUUGAAUGCGUUCAAGGAAGUUGAGUGGUUCAACUUUGAUUUUGAGGGAAGAGGGCCUCAAAAUUAAUUUCCCUGUUGCACAUGCGGUGCAAGUAUAAUCUGAGGAUUGGGGAAACUUUGCAUUGGUUAGCGAGUGACCAACAGAAUUGCUAGUAAUUUUUCUCAUCAUCCCUAUGCCAGGGUGACCAAGGCGAUCAUGCCAAGUUUGGAAUGCAUUGACAUUCUGAAAAAUUACUUUGUACGCAACAUGUUGUACGGGUUUUAUGUAUGAAUAGUACAAUCCAGACGAAGUUGAGGGAAUUCUUUCGAGAGUAUCUCUGCCAUAUCCGUUAUCCUUUGUAAUGAGGAGGAACUCCUCAUUAUUUUGGUGAUGGGUUUCAAUAUGAUACCCAUUUUUGCGGAUAUCUCUAUAACUCAAUAAGGUACGAGUUGAAUCAGGAUACAGCAGUGCAUCCUCGAUUGUAAUCGUUGUACCCAUAGGGAGCGUAAUAAUGGCUCUACCAGAGCCUGCUAUUACUGCAUCGCGUCCAGCGAUUGUUAAAACAUUUCCUUUGCUCUUUGUGAGAGUUUGGAAAUAUUUUAUUUCCCUGAGUAUAGAGUUAGUGGUGCCACUGUCCACUAGGCACAUUUCCUCAUCCAUCGGAUUGACUCCCGUACAAUCUAUGAAAAUAGAGAAUAUAAAAGAGAAUGAAAUUCUCAACAUGAAUAUAUAUGAAAUAUAAACAUUUAUUGAUGUUGAAUUGUGCAUAAGUCAAUGAACAUCAAACAGAGUGCAGCAAAAAAAAAAUUGUCAAUUAUUACAAUCCCGAAGGCGAAUGACGAAACUAAAAUCUCAAAUGACUAUCAAUCUAGUUGUAGUCGCCGAACAGAUCAUCAGAAUUGUAUUCAAUGAUCAUGUUGUUGGUGGAGUCAUUUGCCAUGCCAUCAGGUGGAAGAGGCGCCAUUGUGUUGCUCGGUCCCGCUGGGGCGGGGUUGGAACAUCCUGGGGCUGCCAGAUCGUUGAAGUGUGCUUCAGACGGUUGUCCACCUUGGUUGGAGCGUCCUCGUCCCACGGAAUGCAAGUACAGUUCCACAAGGUGCUUAGGGGUGCGGCAUUUCUUAGUCGGGUGGUUGUAGCAACCACACUUUGUACAAGUUGAGGACUUGUCUUUUGACUUAGAGUUGUUGCCUUUGCCCUUAGCACCUCGAGGCUUACGGGGUCCCUUGCGCUUGUUUUUGCCUUUGGAGGAUCUAGGAUUGCCAUUCUUGUUGACAUCCUUUGGUGUCUGUUUCUGAGCAUUUGCAUGUACUUCGGGCAAGGGCUUGGCACCGACAGGGCCUUGAUUGGAGUUCCAUAUGAGGAGCUCAUUGUGCCUCUCAGCCUGAAGUAAUGUUUUAAUGAGAUCAGAAUAGACUGUGAAUCCCCUCUCACGGUAUUGCUGUUGGAGGAUCAUUUGAGCGGGAAGCAUGGUAGACAAAGUCUUUUCAAUUUUCUCCGCAUCAGAUGGCUCCUUUUCACAAAACCUCAGUUUGGAACUGAGUUUGUGCAUGGCGUGGUUAUAUUCAUUCACAGAUUUGAAAUCUUGAAUGCGGAGGUGGUUCCACUCAUGAGUGGCCUCCGGGAGAAUAACUGCCUUUUGUUGCUCAUACCGCUGUUGCAAAGCAAGCCAGAGAGCCCGUGGGUCCUCUUCCAUCAGAUAUUCAGCUUUGAGAUCUGAAUGGAUGUGGUUCCUUAUUAUGUAUAAGGCAUGAUACUUGGAUGGUUCAGACAAUGGAGCAUCUCCCUGUUUGGGAGUGUCAAUUGCCCUAUACAUUCCGCGUAACGAUAGACUCACUUUGAGAUCCAUCGCCCAUGUAGGGAAGUUGUGUCCAUCAAGAGCUAGCUCGGCAAAUUCCUUCUUAGAAGAAACUUGGGCAUCAGACUCUUUGGUGGCCAUUGCCUACAUGUUUAUUUGCAUAAACUUAAUUAAUUGCGGGGUUGUAAAAUUAACAAGAAUGUAAUUGCAUAUUUAUAUAACAAUGUAAAUUGCGUAUAUAAAAACAAUGUAAAAUUGUAUAUGUAAAACAAUAUAAAAUUGCGUAUGUAAAUAACAAGGUAAACUUGUUUAUGUGUAGCAAGGUAAACUUGCAUAUGUUUUAUGGUAUUUUGAUUUCUCAUUUUGUGGAACAUAGGUAGUCACCAUGGAGGUGUAGACCAUUUUAUAUUUUCACUUUGGAUGUAGUCCUUGUAUGUUUAUUAUUAAAUUUGGGAGAGCACUUUGAGGAAUAAAUCCCGCAGUAGUAUGAGUACUACCUUGUGGUCGCCAAAAUAAUAAUAAAUUAAGGUGACAUCUAGUGAAAAAUAGUAUUCCAAAUAGGGAGAAAAAUUGACCAUAAAAAUAUUUAUAUAUAUACAUGUGAUAGGGAAUUGUAAAGACAAAACGCGUUCGGCAUGUAAUAAAUUUUUCAUUCAUAAUAUGAUUGCGGAAUGUAAAAAAAUAUUUACAAUGCAAUAUAGGCAUCAGUGUCUAAAUUUACAAGAAAAUUAGACUAACAAGCUGAUGUAAUUUAGGGAAUGAAAAAAAUGUUAUGUAAAUAAAUAAAUUAGCUAAUUCAGAAAAAUAAAAUAGCCAAUGAUAACUGGCCCAGGCUGAAAGCUCGCAGGCCUCAACCUGGGCCUGGGCCGUUAUUUUGGCCCAAAUGGGGGUGGGGGAGGUGGGCCAAUAUAAGGCCAGGGGCUAGGGUUUGCAAACCCUAACCCCCAGCCCCAUCAGCCGCCGCCGCCAGAAGACCAGGAGGUGGGUGCCCUACGCGUGGGACCGCGUGGGCCCGUGGGCCCCACUUCGCCGCGCCGUGGGGGGCGACUGAGCGCAGUGGUGCGCGGUCGGGACGCCGCGCGAGGCCGCGAGCUGGGGCGUUAGCUGGGCGCGGCCGCGCCGAGGCCGCGAGCCGCCAUUGUGCCGCGUCAGGCCCGCGGCCACAGCCGGACCACCACGCCGAGCGCCGUCGGGUCGCCGUGCCGCGGGCGAGCGAAGCCUUCGCUCGGGCGGCUGAAGCCGCGUCGCGCGGGUGGCUGCGGCCGCGUCACGCGCGCUGACGAGCGGUGCCGGGGGUGCCGCGCCGUGCUGCGGGGCCGAGCAAGGCCGCGAGGCGGCCGGCUCCUCCGCGUCGUACCGAGCGCGGGUAUCCGCGCGCAGGGGCGGGCCGCCGUCGUCGAGCACCGCGCCGAAGGCGGCCUCCGUUUCCAGCGCAGGAGGACCGCGGCAAGGCCGCGCGUGGGCGACCGUGCCGAGCAGCGGCCGCUCGGGCUCCUCCUCCCCCUCCCCCAGUGACGUCCUCAAGCCGGGGGAGCGCGUCCCCGAGCCGAAGGCCCGUUGGGGACGCGGAUCCACGUGCGGCGGAGUCGCGAAGGAGGAGGUGGUGGCGGUGGUGGUGGAGCAGCGAGCGCCGGGUCGACGAUGUACGCCGGCAGACGAGUCGGCGCCGACAUCCGCGCCGCGAUGGUUGGUGGAGACGGACGGCGCGGAGGCGGGCUGUGCGCAGCCCGCUCAGAAGACGGCGUCGGCGUCGGGUACCGAAUCGGCGACUGCGGCUCUAUGCCCAGUGACAGCCAUUGGCUGGCCACCAUGGAUGGUGGCGGUGGUGGGCACGGGCCGUCGCCGUGGAGUGGACACCUAGGCCGGGGUGGAGCCGGCAAGGCGAGGACCGGCGCUGGAGGCGCCGGUGGAGUCGGUGCCCUCGACGGUGGCGCCGCGGGCGAAGCCGUGGACGACACCACCGAACGCCGUGACGGAGGGCCGACGUUUGCAUGUCGGUUUCCUCCGAAACGACGUCGUACAGGAAAACGCCCGGGGUUCCUGUUGAGAUCACGGCGUUAGCCACGAAAGCGAUAGCCGCGAGCCUCGCCAAGGAGUUCCCGGAUGUCCUCCAGUAGUUCCGCCUGAAGGCGGUUGUUGCCGAAGUGUGUGCCCAAUGUCCGGGCACGGUUCAUCGCCAUCCAGACGAUUUGGAGGAUGAGAGAAGCCAUUGAGGCAGGAUUACGGCGAGGGAAAGGCAUGAUUCUACCUUGGGGUGAUGCCCUGGGCGAAGGUCGAUCUCUCGACGAUGUUCUAUCCAACCGAGCUAUCACCUCUGGGGCAGGGGAGAGCGAUGUGCUGAUAACGUGUUACAAGUAGAAUGCGAGAGUACGAGAACAGAGAGGAAUAGAAUGAACUCGGGGUGUUUGUUUAUUCGUUGAUCACGGGUAUUUAUACAGUCGGGGGGGAGAGGAAACUCUCGCCCCAAGUAACUCGUGCCCACGAUGAGUCGUGGGUGAUAUCACGGAGGUGGAACCGGUCUCCACGGGUACGUGCGUAGUCGUGGGUGAUAUCCCGUAGGCCGUCGUGGAAGAAGUCGUAGUUAGGAUAGAUCUCCCGUAAAGGGAAUCCGAGGAGAUGAGAUCACCCCGGAAAAUAUCCGUAACAAUAAAGAAAGAUUUGUUAUAGCCGAAGUAGGCUCAUGGUUUAGACGACUGUCUCCUGUAGUUUGUACGCCCCUGCACCUGAAACUGAAAGUGUAGCUGUGCCAAGUGUGUGUUCAGUGACUCGUGUUCUUGUUCUAAAAAAUUCGCUAACAUGGAUUAACUGGGGUUCAAUACCUCUGGGGAAAUCAUGUAACAGAGUACCAUACCACGUAUCACAGAAGCACAAGGUUAUUAGUAGUGACAUGCACGUUAAGAAAUCAUAUGCUCGUUGCGAGAACAUGCAGGAAAGAACAUUUUGAAGGACUGAAAAUUGUAAUGCCUUGCUUUCUUGUUUUUGUAUCGUAAAGACUAGCAACAUGUACACAGUCUCUGGCCUCCAUAUACCAUUUGUGAAAUAUCUUGGCAAAUGUACAGCUAUAUUCUGGGGGCCGAUGCCCAAACUUGCAAACUACUAUCAGAAGAGAACUGGUCACAAGCGAUAUGAUGAGGCGAUUCUUUCUCUUCUCUGUUGCACAGUACAUGCAUUUUAGUCACAUACAUACAACUGGAUGAUUUAUCAGAGUAUCAGUACAUCCACCAGUCUGGUGCUGCACAAUCAUUUCUUCCACUGGGGCAGCCGUUGUACCACAACCUAAAAAAGCAUAUAGCAGUGUAUAUGGUUAAGUACUUCAUUGAACUUACUCUUUUGUUUUUUUGGCUAUAUCCAGUUGAACUGAGUUUCCUUUUUUAGCUUAGUAUAGUUACGUUGUGUAAUGGGAAAAACAGGGGGUAUCUACAAAACAUUCAGUAGUUUCUUUUCAAAAGGGCAGACACGUUCAGAAGUGAAGUGUUAAUUGCAGAAUGUGUGGUAAUAAAAUGAAACAUGCCUUGCCGGAGUUCUCUUUGUUGCCUACAAUAGUCUGACAAGCUAGCCUCCAUGAGUCUGGUUUCUGACAUAGACAAAAGAGAUGAAACGAGCUUGAUCAACAGACAACAAAGGAACUGAGUGCUGAGUGAACUGCACACUGUCUAGUGCCUACCUUCUUCAGGUACCGAUUCUCGGUGUUCGUCCUUUCAUUCAGGAGCUCCUUUCCAUCAAUUAUCUGUAAAUUCGCAAACAUUCAGCUGCUGUAGGGAGUGGCCAUUCCCAUUUUUCAGUUGCAAAUACUCAGUUCUGUAGAUUAGGGUGGAGAGGAAGUACCUCGACGAUGCAAGUGCCGCAGCUUCCGCCGCCACCGCAGUUCAUCACUUUACCCUGCGAUGCGAAACAGCAAGACCACUCUCUGUCAGACAACGGCACAACCCGACGAAGAAAAGCAGAGCGAUCUAUCGGGGGAGGGCUCACGUAUGCAGCGUAGAGCUCGAUCUUGUUCUCGUUCAUGAUGUCACGGAGGAGCUUCUCGCCGCUGGCCGCCUCCGCCCGGUCCACCGGGAAGGAGCCGUCGGCGCCGGGCUUCGGCUACAGAGCAGCACAGAGUGGAGACCUAAUCAGGCAAUCAGGCGUCCAGCGACUAGACCUACAUCCGCGUCGUCGGCGUCAGAGGCGGGCAAGGGAGAGGCAAGCAGGCUUACCCCGACGAACUCGAGCUCGAUUUGCGGCUUGGGCAGCGCCGGCGCCGGCGCGCCCUGGGACACGUUGGGCGACGCGCUGGAACAUCUGACGGUGCCGGCCCUGAAGCGCCGUGGACCCCGGUGGCCGCUGCCCGAGACGCGGGGAGAAGCGGAGGUGGAGGCGGCGAAGGGGAGGGAUGCGAGCGCCCCGCAGGCGGAGCUCGUGGCCGCCAUGGCCUCUCCUUUUGCUUUUGGUGUGGACGUGGCCGCGUCGGCGUCGGUCGGCUGGUUUCGUUGGAAACGCGACGAGUUCCCUUUUCUUUAUCGUCCGCGCGAAGGUGUGGUGAGGUGAACUGGGCUGGCCGCUGGCGUGUGGCCGCGCCGCGCGUGGGGUCGAGCCGUCGGCGACUCGGAGAGGCCUCGCGCGGCGCAGCGGACACCACCACCACCACCACACCACACCACAUGGGUGGCUGCUGCUGGAGCCGGAACUGCCCGGUCUCUCACGGUGAAUCGGUGAUCACCGGAAGCGUCUGGGCUACUCCCGAUUCCCCGCGCCAUCUCUGUUCGUUUCCGCCACUGGGCCGCGCCGCGCAUGACAAGGAAACCUGGCUGUGGGCUUAACCGUCUGCGUGUUGAGGCCACUGGGCCGCGCGCCCGCGCGGGAAGUUUUGCGUGGGUGAGUGGGUCGCGAGAGGCCGGGGGGAUUUGGCGAUGGCCGAGGUCCGAGGCCCGAGGGAGCGCACGCGAUGACGCCUUCCUAGUCCUAGUGUUCAGUCCAAAAAGGAACCCCUUGCUGCAUCGUGUAUUUUCAUACCCGCACGGCGGCCAUUGCUGCAUUUGCGUACUGGCACGCAAAAGAAUCUGCCCAAGAUCUCUCAGUCAUCUCAUACUUGUAUUGUAAAUAAACAUGGAAGUUACACUGAUGGGAAUAACGGCAGAUGUUGAUGUGUGCGCUGAAGCUGAAUGUUGCACUGACGAGUGUGUAGGACAAUGGCUAGCUGAUUCCAUUGCCCCCAAGCAGCGCCGGCGCUCUUUAAUUAGCUCGUGAUAGCUGAACUGAACGCAUGGAGCAUACUACCUUCUUGUUGUGGAAAAAAGGAGGGAGAGCGAUGGGAGGGUGGAAACAAACUGGCGCGACAAGGGUCGUGUAACCGGCCGCAACGACACAGCCAUUGUGUCUUUCGACCCCUUGCUCUUUGGUCUUGUACUAAUGUAGUAUCAAAGCAAUGUAUCUAGAAAGGUAAAAAUGACUUUAUAAUUUAGAUCCGCGAGAGAGAUAAACUCUUUGCUCUUUCUUCAUGUCAUCUGUGCAUUCCCGGGAAAAUAUCUUUGUUGCGCGGGAAAGUGCCGAUUACAUAGUACCAAUAGGUUAUAUCCAUUGGAGGGCAACCUAUAGCACUUUAGCUGCAUAUAGGACUCCCAAUUUGUUGUUAGUCCGAAAAAACACUUUUUUGUAUUCAAGUAAAAACACUAUGCCCCCACCCCACUCUACCUUCCCUCUCCACACUUUUUUUUGAUGGUCAAUGGGGGGGGGGGGAAACGAUCCCCACCUGAAUGCUUUAUUAGCCCAUCUUGACUCAAGAGUUAUAGUAGGUACAGAGAGAUUACAGGAAUAAUUCUACAAAGUACCCUAGAUUUAUAAACACAUGGAACCGAAGUUUCCAACUAGGUCUAGCCCUGACCUUGUCUAGCCAUAUCAAAGAUAGAGCACCAGAUAUCUGCAAUGGGACGCUUCCUCCUGGCUAGCCUAGAGCGCCACCAGUUUUCUACAGACCGUAAGUCUAGACUGAUCGGAGUCGUCCCGUGAUCGGAGUCAUCAAGCGACAUGUUCCAAAAGCUAAACCGAUUAAUCCGGGGCCCGUUAACUCUUUUUUGCCAAGAUCGACUUGAAGUCAAGAUGGUCGGAUACGGGCGCUACGCAGCAGCUUGUUGACUUGGGCAUGCAGGCACAUGUCACAUCCGACAAACUCGCACGCAGCUUAGAUCAAUUCACUGUUGUCGAUCCCAUCUCCUGUGCGUGCUGAUGUAUCGGCGACGGUUUUUUAUAGCAUCUACAUGCUAACGAACCAGCACGGAGGACACAGAGAUAUACGUGAGAGAUUUUUCGUCAACUGAUCGGGCGACGUUUCCACUUCGACCUCGAAUCCAACUGCGCUCGUCGUGGUCGUCUUGUAUUGAUGGCACUGAUUUCGUCGGUAAGCGUCCGGCUUAUUCGUGAGAGCAUCGAAUUUGAUGACGAAGCACAACUCAAACAGCCAGAGUCUAGUACACGGAGGUCUGGCGACGUACAGAGCUACUAAGAGAACCUCUUGACCUGUCAAGCAAGCACUCGGAGCCUAUAUUCGAUCUACAGUAGCAUGCAAGGCAAAUACAUACACGUUCUUCGGCUUGUUGAGAAGCUAAUGACAAUCGUCAUGACUCCGACUACAUAAAGACGUCCAAGCUGUCAAGCUAUCAGGCGAGCAGUAACGAGCCAUUAAGCGAGUCGCUGAACAAGCCACGUUGAAGCAUUCACGGAACCGUCGAGCGAGCCAUCUAAAUCACAUCUAUCUCCUCAAAUAUCAUGACUCGCCGACUCCUCUACUUUACUCGGCAUCGAUCAAGGCUCAUGAUAGGACUCUGUCACGACGAGCGACGGACCUUGAGCAAAAGAGAUCGCAAGCACAAACAUGAUCGUCGACCUGUUCACAAUCAUCUACGACUCCGACACAUACCUGUGCAAACUGUUCAUGCAAAUCGUCAAGCUCCGUCCGAGCUCCAAACGAUCCUUGGAGCUGGCUAGCGAGCUCCUCGGCCUACGUGCUAUCGUCGCGUUGCAAUGACGAUCGCCGCGAAGAAGGACGCUAUGACAACUGCGACCACCGUCAUAACAGCAAGUCAAAAAGCUCGAAGGCCAGACAAUUCUGUCACCACCGCCCAGACUUUCGUCCAAAGAUAAGUACACUUCUAAUAUUUUAUUUAUUUAUGGCAUAAUAUUUUUAAUAUUAUUAUUCUUCAAAACAAUUUUUUUGGUUAGUCGACUAGUUUUUCCUCCUACACGAGUUUUCCAGAGCCGGUACUGUCUCCGACUCCUCCCUACACGUGCAUGAGAUCCGCCCUCUGCGUUCCGGGUGGUCGGCAGUAGCUCUCUGGCGAGGCUAGCAAUCUCACGCGUGUCUAGGUUCCGUACCUCAUGCUAAUUGUUGGCUAGACCAGAGCUGGUACAAGCUCUAGGAUGAAUUAACUAUUCGUGAUAAUUUUAUAACGAAAAAUCUAAAACUUAUCUCAGUACUGAUUUUUUAUCUAGAGUUUAUUUAUACAUCAUAUACUACCUAUUCUCUAUAUUUAUUUUUCAGGAGUUUGGCCCAGUCAACAAGCUACGCUCGGGGACUCGUCGACUAUUCCCUACGCUGUGCUCGGGGACUGCUCCGACCACCGAGCACGUUUACGUUCCCAACCACGCUCGGGGACUUGUCGACAAGUCUCUACGCUGUGCUCGAAGAUUGUGCCGACCACCGAGUCCGUUUACGUUCUCAACCACGCUCGGGGACUUGUUUACCAGUCCAUACGCCGUGCUCGGGGACUGUGCCGACCACCGAGCACGUUUACGUUCCCAACCAUGCUCGCGGACUGGUCGACCAGUCUCUAUGCCGUGCUCGGAGACUCAUCAAUCAUCUCCCUGCGCUGUGCUCGGGACUUGCUUCGAUUACUCUCCAACCACAGCUUGGGGAUUGCUUUUCUCAGUUAUGGAUAAUUUUAAUUUUUUAGACCUUGCUACAAGGCUCAUACUUCGCCUUCCAGCAAGCUCGGGGACUACAUCGGUACGAUGCAUCUAAACGAUGCAUCUCAGUUUCAGAAUUUCUUUGAGGACUUCUCUUUUGACCCUGGCACCACGUGCCUACGUCACCUACUACCAGGCUCGGGGACUAAGUGGGCACACUUCACCUUGCGGUGAAUAUGCUUGCUUUUUGAAAGACUAUACUUUUCAGAAAAAUAAAGUGGGCACACUUCACCAGGAAAGAAAUCUUUUUUGAUUAAGAGCACCAUACAUUCUUCGAACAACCUGCUUCUUCGUUGUCAAUGUUGAUCAACUGUCUUUUGAGUCAGUCAAAAUACCGUUGCAACUGUUUGGGCGGCUUUCCUGCUUAUUGAAGACGUCAAGCCUCACUGAUCGAAGAAGCUUAAGACGGCGUGUUACAUCACAAUACAUGAUGCUCGGGGACUAGCUGUGGGGGUAUAAACUCCUAUACCCUCAUAGGCCUAUAUGGGCCACACCAUCAGAGGUGGCUCGGCCCACAGGAUGAAGACGUGCGGCGCACGACUGGUCGGCGUGCUCCGCAAGGCUACAAGAUAUUGUAUCAAAUAGGAUAGUUUACUUGUAACUCUCUCCCUUCACGAUAUAUAAGGAGGGGCAGGGGUCCCUUAGAGGACAAGUUAUACACAAUAUUCUCUCAACACAAAUCAAUACAAUCAGACGCAGGACGUAGGUAUUACGCCAACUCGGCAGCCGAACCUGGAUAAAAAGCUUGCCCGUGUCUUGCGUCACCAUCAAGUUCGUAGUUUGCGCACCGUCUACCGAUAAACUACUACCGUGGGUAUACCCCAAGGUAGACUGCCGACCAGCUUUCGUCGACAGACCGCACAUCCGAUCUGAAGACGUAGCUGUUUCUCGCCUUCCAGAUGUGCCAGCACACUAGUGCUAAGAAAGUUGGGAACUCUUGUAGCGGCAUAUUGGCGGCAGGCGUCACGGUAUGCAAAGAGUUCAAAUCCGUUGAAAUCACCGAUGAAAGCCCCAGUGCCCUCCACACUGUGUUGCCAAGAUUGCAACCCCAGAUGAUAUGCUCGGGCGUCUCUUCGUGUUGAUGGCAGACCUCACAAGUAGUGUCGCUGACCACACACUUUUUCACGAGCACUGAGCGAGAUUGCACCCGCCCCUGCAUCAGUAACCACAUGAAUAGCUGAACUCGCGGGGGUGCGGCAUUUUUCCAGAUGAAAGAUGCUUUAGCAUCCACUGCAGUUCCCCUAGCCUUGAGCAUCCUGUAGAUAGCGCCGCUGUCGAGGUUUGAGUCUCCUUUACUGAAAUUGGAGAUACGCCUGUCCAUCGCUUCAGAAAGAGUGACAGAGUUCAAAGCAGCUCGCAGAGAAUUGAGUUCAGAAACUGCUUGACUUGAGAGCCUGGGCACGAGAGACUGCUCGAUCCCCAACUCCAUCAUCUGACAGACCGAAGCAGUCUUUAAGGUGCAGUGUGAGAACAGAACUGGGUAAGCAUCCUCCAGCGCGUCAUCCCCCAGCCAGACAUCUUCCCAGAACGAACAGGACUUCCCAUCACCGAUGAUAACUGAGGUUAGUGCUCUGUAAAGUGGCAGCAGAGAUCGGAGUGUCUUCCAUGGUCACCAUGGAUGUCUCCGGUUAGAGUGACAAUGGAGGCCCGCCCCUGCACCCACCUUGCCCAGGCAGAAGAUUCAGUACAAUGCAGACGGUGCAGGAGUUUCAGAAGUAGACAGACGUUCUGAGCACUUAGGUCCCUGAUACCAAGUCCUCUUCCAUCCAUUUCUCACUCCCUUUGCUCCAUGAUGGAUUGAAGACGCCACCACCUCCCUUUCUCCAGUGUUCGCGGUUCGAGGAGGUGCUCACUCCCAGUCCCCUUCCCUACAUUGUCACAACUCACAACCAUCGAUUUUUAGUUGUCGUGACUGCCUCCGCUUUCCAACCUAUUGCCCUUGUAUUCUGCUGGAUAAAAGGAGAAGUCAACCAACAAGUGGAUGAGCUCCGAUGGUAUUUUUUUAUAUGACUUUUAACCAGGCGCAUAGCAAACUCAUUGGGUUGGCACAACAUGAGUAACCCUUAUCCAUUGAUGUGUGUUGUGCUAGUUAGAUGUCAUGGCACAACCUUUAACCUAUCUAUGGUAACCGAAUCCGUGCCUAAACAAACAGUAUCAAGUGGCCCACUUGACCAUUCGUUGCUAUGGCGGGACCUGUCAUUUGCAGCUAAGCUAAGGCUCGUAGCACUUGAUGAUGAAUAUUUUUUUCUCUUUUGACCACCCUAGAGGUUUGUGUGUAUUUGUAUUAAGGUAGAUAGAAUGUUUGGAUUGCGACACGCUUGAGCACUUGAUGAAGAUAUGAAGUACUCCGUACAUUAUCUUUCGAAAAAGAAGUACUCCGUACAUUGCUCACGUUGGAUUGGAUCUUAGCUUUGACACCUACGAAGAUAAUUGGCAUGCAUGAGCAUGUCUAAUCCUCUGUCUAUAUAUGUACAUCCAAUUAUAUAAAAGAGGUUGUCACACGACUUUUCCUUUUUGAUGCGGUAACGUCGUCAGAUCAUUUUUUUAAAAGUAUCUUUUUAUAUAUAAUGUGUGAUUGGAAUUAGGACGUUACAUACCACUAUACCAGUCGUAAGUGUGUACGGAUGCCAAUUUGUCACAAACACACACAAGAACGAUGUCAGAUACUCAGAUCAGAUCGUACGAUUACGAUUUGACGAUAAAGGAGAGACGCGGCACCAUGCAUCUGCUGGAAACCGUCGUCGUCCAUCAAUGAGCACAACGAAGACAGGGUGACAUGGACGUUUGAUUUGUUAAUUGGCAUACUGAUGUAUAUUAGACUGUACUUGUACGCUAGUGCGGCAGUAGGCGGAGGCCCCAAUUAGCUUGUGACUCGUGAGGCCUACAAUAUAAUCUCGAUCGAUCGGAGAUUACUACGAAAAAGAUCGCUUCUUAACCCAGUUCUUUCUAAAGAAACAAUAAAAAUGCACAGUGACACGGACACGGUGUAGGGACGAUAGAUGGUUUGUUUUGUUUUGUACAUGAUAAAGGAAAAAAAGUUAAACUAGUCCGUUCUUCCUUGUUGCAGGUUGGUGUGUCUGUGUUGUCUAUGCUCUAUCCAGCAAUGUGUGAAAUAGGCAAUGAGAGCUAUUAAUUUUUUAUACCUCCCAAAAGGUAUAAUUUUGGUUCGUAUUGAGAAAACAAGGUGCCGAUCGAGGUGUAGGUAGCAAAAGUGCUAUUAAUUAUUGGAUUGCGAAAGUGCCGAGGUGUAGGUAGCAAAAAUUGUUUUGACUAACUUUAAAACAAAGAUCGAAAAAAAAAACAUAUUUCACCGGUUUUCACACUCCAGCUGAUCACCAGUGCAUUGGAUUCUGGCAUGAUUUUCGACCAGCGGUUCAAUCUAACCUAAAAACAAAAAAUUCGAUCCAAAGUGGAAAGGCCCGAUAAAUAGCUAGACUGAUCCGGUAUAUAUGACACAUUGUGUCGAAUUAGGUUCAGGCUAAAGAUUUUUAAUCUUAUCAUUCUUUUUUAACCAAAUUUGACCCGAUGAGAUCCGAGUUUCAUUGCACCAUCCAUUUAUUCCGCUUAUGCAAAAAUGAGUAUCAGUUAGAGUUAGGUACUUUAAUUUGUGAUGACAUAACUUGUUCUUUCGAGUUUAUUUAGGCUCUGUUUGGUUCCACCAACUAAAUUUUAGUUAGCUAAACUUUAUAGUCACUUUAGUAGCUAAAGUUCCAAACACAUUGACUUAAAUGAGUUAAAAUAGUUUAGUUCCAUUAGUCAUUUAAGAGUAGCUAAAAUAAUUUUAGCUAGCUAAAAUUUAGUUGGUGGAACCAAACAGAACCUUAGUUUUGACCUAGCACAUGUUGAUCCGUAUAUGAUCACUUCGGCAGACUGCACGUCGUGACUGCACGUCGUCGGUGAUGGUUGCGUCAAUCUGAACGCAUGACGGCCGAGUAUCUCUCGUAGAGUGGGGUGUACCUCGCGUGUACUUUGACGAGUGUGCAUGUGACUGUGAGUAUUAUAAACCCCUUUGUUAUGUUUUUCUAUUUUGUAUACUAUAAAUAUGAAGUUAUAUAUAGAGAUCAAAAGAGGGCCUUUAUAAACCCCUUUGUUAUAAAAACACCAUCCAACAACUUGGUUAUUCAAUUGUAAUCAUCUUUUUAUUCUAGAUUUCUUGCUAGCCAAAGAAAUAAAAAAAAACGAGAAUGACCUUUUAGAAUACAUACAAGAUAUAUAGAAAAACUGCUGAAGAGAGUGGAAAGAUAUAGAAAAUGAUUCUUACGCAAAUGGCUUUCUAAAUGACGUUUUAGAGUGUGAAUUUUAAAAAAAGACUCUUGAAGAUGCUCCGAGGUCCUAUUUGGAUCCACUAUCUAUAGUAGUUAGUUGGCUAAUAAUUUAUUAUCUCAUUUGGUAUAGAUAGUGGAUAGUUGUUAUCUAAAGGUUGGGCUAACAAUUAGCUAAUUUGUUAUCUAUACCUAUUUGGGACCAAAAGAGAUGAUUAUUAGUAGAAAGCUACUAUUUCUAGGGAUCCAAACAGGACCUAAGAAUGCGAAUUUGCUAAUUUUUAACAUUUACACGUGCUAAAUCAGAUUGCGAAAAUUAAUACUCUCUCUCGGCGUUCAACUUUGUCUUCUUUCCUAUGGACAAGUAUUCUGGCCAUAGAUUGUGAAGUACUAGUACAAACCGCCUGGUUGGGAUCUUCGUGCACAGCUGGUUUGGGCAGAAUAUAUAUUGAUUAUAUUUGUCAUACUCCAUCAAACUUACCAAGGAACACUAGUUUAAUUGUCCGGUUGAAAUAUAGUAGACAUAAGGCAUAUGGUUAAAUAUAUGUGCGAUUGAGAUAAACUGUCGAUUGAUAUGCAGAUUAGUUUCAAUCCUCCUGCUGGUAGCUAGCAGAUGACUCCUGACUCAAAGGGCCCUUGACACUUUGUUUCCUCGGGGCAAAUAAGCUCCUUUGGAUGGCGAAAUUUUUUUCAGCACUUUUACAAUAAAAAAGUAAAUUGAUUUCUUUUACGUAAAUUUGUACUACAUGAUUACUAUGAAAUAUUGAAAUUUCUGUAUUCAAAGGGAAUUAUAGAUCUAAAUGUGUUUGUUUGCUGGUAGUGUCGCAUGAACGCUUUGAUCUCACUAAUUAAGCCAUGUGGGUAUCGGAAUAUUGGAUUCAGUUGAUCCUUAUUCUGCGUAGCAUAUACUAGCAUACUGUACACCAGAAGAAGUUAGUUGUAGAUCGACAUCAAUACCAACUUACCAGUGAGUUUAAUAAAUUUAGAUAUACUAUAGUAGUAGUUAGAAGUUCAGAUUUCUCUGCUCUCAUUUGAUUAAGUUUAACUUAGUUUUCAUGGUAAACAAACAUGCAUAUCAACGCGUCAACGGUAGUAAAUAAAUAUAAUGCGAAAUCUGACUCCUUUCACUUUUUUUUUGUUAACUCUCUUCUCCUUCGCGGUAAGAAGAUGUGUGCCUUGGUCAUUUUAAUUUCUAGAAGCUUUUUAAUUACUCCUACCACGAUGAGAUUGACUGGCUCUUGCGGAUGGAGCUAAUUAGUUUACUUUUGAUCCAACUAAUAAUGAAGCUUACUGCUUGCUAACUAGAGUAAUUUUGAGAGCAAACCAAUUAACUCGCUCCAUUGCCAUCAUCGUAAUUCGUAAACUAACAUAUCGCAUAGGUGGAUCUCUCUCUGUACCUACCAGCAGAUACAUACAUAGUGUAUCUGCUUGCAUUGCAUUGGUGACCGUACAAUAUAGCCGAGCCGCAAAUAAUCGACAAAAUUAUCCGGUAAUCUGAUCUCUAUCUUGCUGAAAGACGACGUACGUUGUCGAUGGAACAGUUGUAAGCAGCUGCUGUCCAAAGGGCUAGGCAUGCAGAACGAAGCUGACACGGCCGGCGGCCGGCCGCCGCGCGUGUGGGUGUCGGACCGGGCUAGGCGACGGGCGCGGUGACACGAGCACGCUGCGCCGAUCGACGCGGAGAGGCCCAACCCAACCCAAUGCAAACCCAGCCGGGCAGCGCCGAUCGAAUCGGAGGCUCGCGUAGUCGAUAAGAAAACGGCCGGGGAGAAGAUUACAAGCCUAAUUUUUAUGCGCCGCGCGGCUCUGGCUCCCCGCAUUGUCACGGCCGCCGGAUGCGACGACGGCGGUGGUAGCCGUUUCCGAUGAUGCCCCUGCUCCUUCUCCGCCCUCGUCGCUACCAAAUUGACGGUUGUAUACGUGGCUCUUUUGGCUAGUUUUUGCUUCCAGAUGUAGAUCUCUCUCUCUCUCUCUCUCUCUCUCUGUUGUUGUUGUUGUGACCGCCGAUUUUGAAAUUUGAUCGGUCUCACUCGCUCACUGUUUUUCACGGCCAAACAUAUUAAUCCCCCCCUGUUUUUCUUGUGAAAAGUAAACUGAUUUCUAUAAAAUUCUUACACGGUCAAUUAUUUAUCCGUUUCGUGUUCAAUGUUUCUCCGUCCACGAAACAUGUUACGUUUCGAAUUAUGUUUCAUGAAACAUGUUAUUCUAGCACAUUGAAACGUAAAAGGAAAAGCUAGUGACCAUGCACAUUGAAAUCAACGUGUCUUGCAUAAUCAUUAGCUAUCAUACUUAAAAACUAGAAAAGCUAUUAUUCACUUCGUUUCAAAUUAUAGGUCGUUCUAGCUUUUCACUGUAUUUAGACAUAAUUUAUACAUACCUAGAUGCAUAGCAAAAGUUUAUCAAAAAAAGUUAGAGCGAUUUAACAUGAAAGGAGUAACCAAGGUACGUACCUAGAAAAAGUGAGAAUGACUUAUUCAAUUUAAAACAAAGGUAGUAACUAACAAGGACAUUUAUACUUAUAUUAAUCUAUUUCAAAAGGUUUUAAUAAAACAUCCUUCUUUCUUUAAAGACUUUUUCCAUCCCUAAUUAUAAGAUGUUUUAGUUUUUCUAAAUACAUAUUUAAAUAUAUAAUAAAACCUAAUAUAUUUAGAAAUACAAAAUAAUUUAUAAUUUGGAAUUGAGGGAAGUGUAUUGACAGCUUAAUUAACGAUGAAAGCCAGUUACUACUGCCAGCUAUAGAAUCAACAAGAAUUAGGCUAGCGAUGAACCUGAGGUGGGGGAUUAAAAUAGCCGAAAAAAGAAAAAAAAAUUGCUCCACAAACACUUUAAAACGCAGGGGUUUAACACUCACCGGGGGCCCACGAAAAGAUCCUAUAAAUUCUUGCGUGCGCCGUUGCGCACAGACCGUUGUACUGUGAAAUCCUGCAAGGCGAAGAGAACCAGAGAAGGGAGGGAAAGCGGGCGCACAGCGGAGGGCCGCCGAGGCGACAGGCGGCGGCCGUCCCAAUCAUUCCCCGUCGUCCCCCGCUAGCGAUCCUUCCCCGCCGCGUUUCGCCGCAGACGUUCUCCUGGCGAAGAACGCGAAGAGCACGAGCUACUACAGCCAAAGCGCGAGCAAAACAAGGUAUGGUUUGCUUCGUUUGUUAUUUCCACCCGCUGUCAGGAUAACUUCUUCUUCUACCACUUGUUUAUGCAACUGCAAACUCACUUCUGAUUUCUCCAUCUUUUGUUUGUCUGUUUGUUUGUUUUUUUAAAUGAAAUUAUCAUCGGUUUCAUCCUUGGCAAGCGAGGAAGCAGAUGCACCCAGAAAUUUUUUAAAGAUUUGUUUCGGAUACUUCAGGGGACCUCGGAUUGGAAUCUCAAGCUUUGUCUGUUGCGGUUUCACGCAGAUAAGUACUACCGGCGCUGGGGCGGCAUUCUUUCUCCUCUUCCCACAAAGUGACAAAGCCGGGCAAUGUCGGCGGCGCAGGCCCUGGCUCUCAAGCUCCGCGCGGCUCCAGCGCCGGGCAGGCCCCGAGGCUGCCGGACGACGGUGAGGGCAGCUGCAGCGGCGCAUGUCGGGGCGCUGCAGCACCGCCGCUGCGUGUCGCUGGCGCAGGGCGGGCGGUCCCUCCGCGGCGCGGCGCUGCUCGCCGCCCAGCAGCGCCCGCGGCCAUUGCCGUGGGCUGAGCGCGCCUCGGCGCGGCGGCACGACGGCGUCGGGGUGGUGGCGUCGGCGUCGUCGGCCGCGGCGGGGGUCAGGUCGAUGUCCAGGAUACCGAAGGGCAACACGGGGCUCUACGACCCGUCCAUGGACCGUGACUCCUGCGGCGUCGGCUUCAUCGCCGAGCUCUCCGCCCAGCCCAGCCGCAAAACCGUGAGCGCUUUUGCGACUACGCGCGCGCUGCUUGGAGUUCAUAAUUCGUUCAUUCUUCCUUGCUGAAGCUUUCAGUAGCUCAGUCCUUUGUGCAUGUGUCCAUGUCUGAUGGGUAAAUUUGUUUAUCGCGGCGUGUGUCUCAACUGUAGAUCGUCGACGCCAUCGAGAUGCUCGAGAGAAUGUCCCACCGUGGCGCCUGUGGCUGCGAGAAGAACACCGGCGAUGGUGCGGGCAUCCUUGUUGCACUGCCGGAUGCCUUUUUCAGAGAGGCAAGCUUAGUUGAAGUUGUUAAAGAGAGAAAGAAGACCUUUUGUUUUUGGCCGAGGGAGUCACUUUGUGCUUGGUUUUGUGUUGUGGCAGGUCACCAAGGACGCCGGCUUUGAGCUUCCACCACUAGGUGAGUAUGCCGUAGGGAUGUUCUUUAUGCCCCUCGAUGAUGAGCGACGUGAGAAGAGCAAGCUUGUGUUCCAUGAGGUUAGUCUAGUGAAAGAGCAGAAAGAGGAACAAAAAAGGCAAGGCAAAAUCUGGUCGUGACAAGGCCAUGUUCAUUUUUAUCUCGUAUAUUUGGACUGCAGAUAGCCAAGUCAUUGGGACAUGUAGUGCUUGGCUGGCGUCGGGUUCCAACGGACAACUCGGACUUGGGCAAGGCAGCGCUUGAAACUGAACCAAUGAUCGAACAAGUGUUUGUAUCUAAGAGCAUACACUCCAAGGCUGACAUUGAGCAACAGGUCAUUUUUUUUAUGAGCUACAAAAUUUGAAAUUCUGUAGAUUUCAAAUGCAAUAUGUAUUGUCCGUUGACUUGCUUCUGCAAAUUGCAUCUGCAGAUGUACAUCCUACGUGGGCUCUCAAUCAAGUCCAUCCACGAAGCUUUAGGUCUUGAGCACGGAGGACCAAAUGAUUUCUAUAUGUGCUCUCUGUCUUCAAGGUCCCACUUUAUUACUUUUAUUCAUUUUUUUUGAAGAAAAUAUAAUGUGUGAAAUCUGAAACGAUCAAGGAACAGAAGGGUAGCAUAUGAAUACUGAUUUAUUUGUGAUUUGAUCAUUUGAGCUCCUCUAAAGUUACUUUAUUUCACGCCUUCCACUUUUUCGAAGAAAUUAUUUGUGAAAUCCAUUUUUAUUCUUCUUCUUCAGGACUGUUGUUUACAAGGGUCAGCUGAAGCCAUCUCAACUUAAAGGGUACUUCUUUGCGGACUUAGGUGAUCAAAGGUUCACAAGUUACAUGGCUCUGGUAAAUACAUAGCCUGAUUAACCUUAUUCAGUAUAAGGAAAUUAAUAAACACAGUCAGGAGAUGGGAACUGCCAGUAGCAAUGUGGGUUAAGGGCAAGAAAUGCUUCCAAACAUGCAAAAAAAAUGCAAUUUCCCUUUCGCUAUCUUUUGCACAUGCUGUUUCAAUACUGGCUCAUCGUGCCAUUCAGAAUCAGAGUUUGUGUAUGUGUCCUUUAACUAGGUAGUGUAAGGAAAUUCUGUUAUGUCAGUAUGUGUGGGGUAGUGUAGGGAAAUUGUGUUACGUAGCUUAUGGCUUCUCGAACUGUUUAGGAACUACAUUGCCUUCUAUGGUGUUGAUGACCCAUUUGAGAUCAUACUCCAUAUUACAUAUUAUACAAAUGAACAAAGAUGAGGAGGGUAUGAUUUAUGAGUCAUGCAUGCAAACAGGUUCACUCAAGAUUCUCCACGAACACCUUCCCCAGUUGGGAUCGUGCACAGCCAAUGCGGGUUUUGGGACAUAAUGGUGAAAUAAAUACCCUUAGGGGGAACAAGAACUGGUAACACUAAGCAAUAAUCUCCAUAUGACAGGCAGUCAGGAAUGAAUUUCAUUGCAAUGUGCCAUAUUUCUAUUUUAAUAGGAUGACAGCACGCGAAGGUCUUCUCGAGUGCAAGGGACUCGGUCUAUCAAGGGAUGAAAUGUCAAAACUUCUGCCUAUAGUGGAUCCUACCUCUUCAGAUUCAGGUUCCAUUUUCUAUCUACACAUGCAAGAAAAAGGAAGUAGUAAAAAUUGCUAGGAUACUAGAUCCGUGUUCCUGGAACAAACUGUGUAUAUGACCUUUUACAUGCAAGUUAAAUUAUAUUUAUCUUUUCAAAGGCAUUGAUUCAAUGAAGAGUGGUCCUUAUUCAGGUGCAUUUGAUAACGUUCUUGAGCUCCUCAUUCGGUCUGGAAGGAGCUUGCCAGAGGCUGUGAUGAUGAUGAUCCCUGAGGCGUGGCACAAUGAUGUUAACAUGGACCCCGAGAGAAAAGCUUUGUAUGAGUACUUUUCGGCCCUUAUGGAGCCUUGGGAUGGGCCCGCUCUAGUAUCAUGUAAAAAAUAUGAAACCAUUUGACUCCUUAAUACUUUCUGUAUAAGUUCUGAUGGAUUAACUUCAUUUGCUGACCCGAUUCUCACAGUUACUGAUGGCCAUUAUCUUGGGGCUACUCUGGAUCGUAAUGGCUUGAGGCCUGGCCGUUUUUAUGUGACAUACAGUGGCCGCGUGAUCAUGGCUAGCGAAGUUGGUGUGGUUGAUGUCCCUAAUGAUGAUGUGAUGAGAAAGGGCAGGGUAAAACCUGGUAUGAUUCUUUUAGUUGAUUUUGAGAAGCACUGUAUAGUUGAUGAUGAUGAAUUGAAGAAACAAUACUCCAGAGCUCGCCCAUAUGGGGAGUGGCUUGAGAGACAAAAGAUACAACUUGCAGAUAUUAUAGAAUCUGUACCUGAAACCGAGAGAGGUGCUCCUAGGAUUGACAUGCUUCCAGUAAGUCCAUAGGGCUUUUGCUUGUUUUGUAGGGCUAGAAGUUGUUGCUGAAAAACUUACAUGAACUAAUUUAUGGUUCGUUCUACACGUUGGUGCAGCAAAAGAAUGAGAACAAGGAAGCCUUUUGUAUUCAUGGAAUUUUGGCUCCACUGAAAGCCUUUGGGUAAGCAACAUCUCAACCUUAGUAUUUUAUAUACUUCUUUUCUUUUACAUAUAACCCAGUUGAUGGACUUCAGGUACACGGUAGAAACACUCGAAAUGCUGCUGCUACCAAUGGCCAAAAAUGGUGUAGAAGCUCUAGGAUCCAUGGGAAAUGAUACCCCCCUCGCUGUUAUGUCAAACAGAGAGAAGAUGCCUUUUGAUUAUUUCAAGCAGAUGUUUGCUCAGGUUACAAACCCACCAAUCGACCCAAUUAGAGAAAAAAUUGUCACAUCCAUGGAGUGCAUGAUUGGUCCAGAAGGUGACUUAUCUGAAACAACAGAACAUCAGUGCCAUCGCCUGAAACUUCAAGGUCCUUUACUGCAUAUAGAUGAAAUGGAGGCUAUUAAAAAGAUGAACUUUCGUGGUUGGCGCAGCAAGGUGCUUGACAUAACUUAUCCUAAAGUGUAUGGAAGGCAAGGUUUAGAACAAACUUUGGAUAAACUCUGUGCUCAAGCUCGUGAAGCUAUUCAUCAGGGAUACACUAUUCUAAUUCUCUCUGAUAGAGGUUAGUACAGUUCAUAAUACAGAAGUACUAUCCAGUCCACUCAACAGGCAUGAAUUAAAUUGCCCAUCAAAGCUAGAUUUAUCUUUAUGGGCAAUGGAUAUCAAUAUUACUAUGAUUGACAUAGGUCUGUUUGCUUUGAAGACUGGGAAUCAUGCCUGGCCCACGCACCUCACCCAGGCCGUCGAUUUCCAGUGCCUGGGGCUGGAUCGAUCUGCCUGGGCAGGUGCCCCCAGGCUAGGUCUUCAUCCAAACGCGCCCAUAUUGUUCAUGCAUGUCAGUAGAAACUGCUGAGCGAUCUAUUUAUUUUGUAUUACUGCAGCAUAGCACACCAUGGGUAAUUAAAUUUCCUUCUGGACAAAAGGUUAAGAAUGAAUUAACAUUCUCUGUUAUUUUUCAUCACAGCAUGUAAAGAGAUAACAUUUUGGAUUACUCCCUUACACUAAGUGGAAAACUAGUUCAUUGAAUAGGGCCAGCAGUCCAGCACUGCCCCAUUCCAGUGGAAAACUAGUUUUUCCUAUUAUCAGUCUGCUUUCAUCUUUUCCCAGGACUUGAUACUCGCAAAACACUUGAUUCAUAUGAUUUUGGCUAUGCAUUUCAAUGCUUGAUUCUGUAAAAUUACUUGUCCUAUACCCUGUAGCAUUUGGAGGUUUAAAAUGUCAGGUUUGAACUUUUUUUUUUCCAUACAGGUUUCUCUCCGGAUCGUGUACCUGUCAGUUCUCUAUUGGCAGUUGGAGCUGUUCAUCAGCAUCUUGUCUUGAAUCUUGAUAGGACACGCAUAGGGUUGCUUGUUGAUUCAGCUGAACCUCGUGAAGUGCACCAUUUCUGUACCCUUCUUGGAUUUGGUGCAGAUGCUAUAUGCCCUUAUUUGGCUAUUGAAGCCAUAUGGCGGUUACAGAUUGAUGAGAAAAUACCUCCUAAAGAUGAUGGACAACUGUACCCAAAGGAACUUAUUGACAAGUAUUUCUAUGCUUCUAACAAUGGAAUAAUGAAGGUUCUUGCAAAGAUGGGGAUAUCCACCCUGGCAUCAUACAAAGGUGCUCAGAUAUUUGAGGCCCUUGGUCUUGCUUCAGAAGUAGUCAGUAAGUGUUUUGAAGGUACUCCUAGUAGAGUUGAGGGUUCAACAUUUGAAAUGCUUGCACAAGAUGCACUUCAUCUCCUUAAGUUGGCAUUCCCGUCAAGAACUUUACCUCCUGGAAGUGCAGAAGCAAACUCUCUUCCCAACCCGGGAGAUCAUCACUGGAGGAAAAAUGGAGAAUUACACCUUAAUGAUCCUUUUUCAAUUGCAAAAUUACAAGAAGCAGCUAGACUCGACAGCAGGGAAGCAUACAAAGAAUAUUCUAGACACACUGAGGAGCUGAGUAAGUCCUGCACUCUGCGUGGUAUGCUGAAGUUUAGAGAGAUUCCAGUCAGGAUUUCCUUGGAUGAGGUUGAACCUGCAAGUGAGAUAGUCAAGCGAUUUUGUACUGGAGCAAUGAGUUAUGGAUCCAUUUCCUUGGAAGCUCAUACAACGAUGGCUAGGGCUCAGAAUAUAAAGAGAGCAAAAUCUAAUACAGGUAUUUUCCACCAUAGAUGAUAUGACCACCCUAACCAUUCUUAUGAAUGCCGCAUAAUUUAUUAGAAGAAAAAGAAUUUGAAUAAGUUUUUAUGAAAAGCAGGGCCCAAAAACCGAACAACCGAAAAAUGACCCAGUUUUUAAGAAAAAGAAUUGACCUAGCAUUGCCGCAUACUAAUUGCUAAGUACAGUUGGUAACUAGUUCCAUUUCAUAUGCUAACUGGGAUGUGUAUAUAUGUAUAUGAAGGCGAGGGAGGGGAACAACCGUCUCGCAUGGAGCCUCUUCCUGAUGGUUCUAUGAAUCCAUUAUCAAGUGCAAUCAAGCAGGUUGCAAGUGGAAGAUUCGGAGUUUCUAUCUAUUAUCUGACAAAUGCUAUUGAGCUGCAGAUAAAAAUGGCUCAGGUAUAUUUUAACUAUACUAGACUUGAAAAAAAAAACUAUACUAGACUAUUGCACCUUUUACUUCUGCUCGAAGUACCUAAGCACCAUGGUGGACCUCUUCCUGAAUUGCUCAAAAGAACAACUUACUUCUGCAUCGCUGUGUACUAUGCUUGUUUCGUUGUACCUAAUCCUACAACAUAUGCUGGCUAUUCAUCAUGUUGGAGAAAAUUAUAUCUUUUACAGGGUGCUAAACCUGGCGAAGGGGGUGAGCUCCCAGGUCAUAAGGUCAUCGGCGACAUUGCAGUUACAAGACAUUCUACAGCUGGCGUAGGACUCAUCAGCCCACCUCCUCACCACGAUAUAUAUUCCAUUGAGGAUCUCGCACAACUUAUCUAUGACCUUAAGGUAUGCUCUCAUGAUGUUUUUCCCUUUUCCAAGAGUUCUGUAUAUGCUUACGACUAUCUUUUUAAAGAUGAUGUGGUUUUACAUUAAAAAAAAAAGAUGAUGUUGUUACAAACAUCAUAUUUGUAGUUGAAGUUGCACUUGCCAGCAUAGUUCUUCCUUAAAAAUGUUGCUUGCUUAUGUUAUGGUUCUCCAUUUUUCUGUAGAGUUCAAAUCCAGGGGCCAGAAUCAGUGUCAAACUAGUCUCUGAGGCUGGUGUAGGAGUUGUUGCAAGUGGUGUUGUUAAAGGACAUGCUGACCAUAUUCUCAUCUCUGGGCAUGAUGGAGGCACAGGGGCUUCUAGAUGGACAGGAAUUAAAAAUGCUGGACUUCCUUGGGAGCUUGGAUUGGCUGAGACACAUCAGACUCUAGUGGCAAAUGGGCUCCGUGCCCGAGUUGUCCUUCAGACAGAUGGCCAAUUGAAAAUUGGUAGAGAUGUUGUCAUUGCUUGUUUACUUGGGGCGGAGGAAUUUGGAUUUAGCACAGCUCCACUAAUCGCACUUGGUUGCAUUAUGAUGAGGAAAUGUCAUACUAAUACUUGUCCUGUUGGUAUUGCUACACAAGAUCCAGUGCUCAGAGAAAAAUUUUCUGGAAAGCCAGAGCAUUUGAUAAACUUCUUCUUCAUGCUCGCCGAGGAGGUACGAGAAAUCAUGUCUCAGCUUGGUUUCCGCACCAUCAAUGAAAUGGUUGGGCGAUCAGAUAUGCUUGAGGUUGAUCCAGAUGUACUGAAAGGCAACGAGAAACUCCAGAACAUUGAUCUAUCACUGAUCUUGAAACCAGCUGCUGAGAUUAGCCCCGAGGCUGUUCAAUAUUGUGUUGAGAAACAAGACCAUGGCCUCGAUAAGGCAUUAGACAACAAACUCAUAGCCUCCUCAAGAGCUGCUCUUGAAAAAAGAUUUCGUGUUUUCAUUGAGACACUAAUCAAGAACACUGAUAGAGCUGUUGGCACUAUGCUCAGCCAUGAAGUGACAAAGCUAUUUCGUAUGCCUGGACUGCCUCCAGACACCAUCCAUGUUAAACUCAAUGGAAGUGCUGGUCAAAGUUUUGGUGCUUUUCUCUGUCCUGGAGUCACUCUUGAGCUUGAAGGAGACAGCAAUGAUUAUGUUGGUAAAGGAUUAUCUGGUGGCAAGAUUGUUGUGUACCCACCUAGAAACAGCCGAUUUAUCCCGCAGGACAAUAUUGUUAUUGGCAAUGUGGCUCUAUAUGGUUCUACCAAGGGAGAGGCAUAUUUUAAUGGCAUGGCAGCAGAAAGGUUUUGUGUCCGCAAUUCAGGUGCACAAGCAGUUGUUGAAGGAAUCGGCGAUCAUGGAUGUGAGUACAUGACAGGAGGCACUGUCGUUAUUCUGGGAAAAACUGGUAGAAACUUUGCCGCUGGCAUGAGUGGGGGCAUUGCUUAUGUUUAUGAUGUGGAUGGGAUGUUCAGUACCCGUUGCAAUCAUGAGUUAGUCGACCUGUAUAAUGUUGAUGAAGAGGAUGACAUUACCACAUUGAGGGUGAUGAUAGAACAGCAUCGACUCAACACAGAAAGCGUUUUGGCCAAAGAUAUACUCUCUAAUUUCGAGGAUCUUCUUCCAAAAUUUGUAAAAGUAUUUCCAAGAGAUUACAAGCGGGUUUUGGAUAAUAUGAAGGCGGAAAAGGUUGCCAAAGAAGCAGAGCAAAAAAUGAGAAAAAAAGGGUGGGAUAAGAAGGCAGGUGAAAUGAUUAAAGCUCCAAAUGGUAUUUCAGUAAUUACAAAGGUAAAUCUGGUUUAAAUAGAAACUAUUUCAUUAUAUGUAUUGUAAUACCUAAAUUUGCUGUUCAAGUUAAUUUUGUCCUUCUGAAAAAUAUUGAUUGACUUUAUUCCAAAUGGUUUCUGGGUCUGACUUCUGAUCAUUUUGGUAUGCAGAAAGUACAGAACAAAAAGUCAUCUAGCCGACCAACACAAGUUUUCAAUGCUGAAAGGCCUCGAGGUUUUGUAGAAUAUGAGCAACAGGGGAUUUCUUACAGAGAUGAAAAUGAGCGUGUUAAGGAUUGGGGUGAAGUUACAAAUGAAUUGGUUCCUGGGCCACUGCUAAACACACAAUCUGCUCGGUGCAUGAGUUGUAGCACUCCUUUCUGUCAUCAGGUAAUACUUAAAAUUUCAAAGUUCUGCUCUUUUAAUUGAAAUCUAUUAUAUUUUAAUCCUUUUGUUUUAGUCUGUAAAAUUGUAUGCUUUUUCAUGGACUUUAUUGAUCUAAAAGAGUCCACAUACAAGCGCAGUAUACAUGGGUUAGCUCAGCAUUCCGAGUAGAAUUUAAGAAAUUUGCUACUCUGAAAAUAUUAUCUAAUGCAAAAAUGAAGAUAUUACUAAAACCUGCCCAAGCGUGCUGUCUAAAGUAGAAGUCAUCUUUGUCACAGGCAUAUUUUUCAGUUAUUAGGCCAGAUAGUUAUCUAUUGUUGCUGUAAAGCUUGCUUUCAAUUAUGGUAUCUUUAAUUAUUUAUACAUAUGCUAUUUGCUGUCAAUUUUUCAGUAUCUUAAAGCUGUUCUCUAUACUGACAUAAAACGAACCAGUAAUAUUGUUUUGGUAGAUUUACACAAGUUUGUGUACAGAUUGACAUCGAAAUCAAGAAUCAUUAGGGGGGUGGGGGGGGGGUCUUUGGUUUGUGUAAUAAAGUGGCCCAUCAUCAUCUCACUCUUUAGUUUUUUUUGUUUGGUUUGUGGAAUAGAAUGAGUUGAUCCGAUCCUCACAAGCUAAUAAUUAGUACUAGUACGAGAAAUGUGGUCUUUCCACUAAAUUUGAGGAAUGGAUUCAUGAUGCAUCACCCAUCUAGAAUGGAUUGAUUUCCCAAACCAAACAUUCCAUUGUCUUGCCAGUAACUAUUACAUAACUAUACCUCAAAUAACACUAAUACCUAAGCUACAAGUUACUUUGCCUAAUGUAACCAUUUGUUUGCAUUGUUCUUCGAUAAAUAAUAGCGAUAUUGAUUCAUAUACUUUUCACAUUUGUUACAAUGUGAAUUUCUGUUGCAUGCUGGCUGGUAUAAAAAUAUUAAGCUUUUCUGGUAUGAUUUUUGUAAUUUUCUUGGAUCACGUUCUGCAGGAAAAUUUUGGUGCUGGCUGUCCUCUUGGAAAUAAGAUCCCUGAAUUCAAUGAAUUAGUUUAUCAGAACAGAUGGCGUGAAGCGUUAGAUCGCCUACUUGAGACCAACAAUUUUCCUGAGUUCACUGGACGAGUUUGCCCAGCUCCUUGUGAGGGUUCAUGCGUGCUUGGCAUUAUAGAGAAUCCAGUAUCUAUAAAAAGCAUAGAGUGUGCCAUCAUAGACAAAGGCUUCAAAGAGGGGUGGAUGGUUCCACGCCCUCCCCUUCAGAGUCAGAGAACAGGGUAUGCUUUUGUUGCCAUCUUUGGCUUGCUUUGCUACUGCAUGAGUGAAAGCAUGCCAUAAAAGUUGCAUUAAACGAUUUAAUUUGCAGGAUGACAGUUGCUAUUGUUGGAAGUGGACCGGCUGGUUUAGCUGCUGCAGAUCAACUGAACAAGAUGGGACAUUAUGUAGUUGUGUUUGAACGUGCUGAUCGUAUUGGAGGGCUGAUGAUGUAUGGGGUUCCAAACAUGAAGGCAGACAAAGCUAGAAUCGUUAAGCGCCGUGUUGAUUUGAUGGACAAGGAGGGGGUUAAAUUCAUUGUGAAUGCCCAUGUUGGAACUGAUCCUCGGUACUCUAUUGAGCGGCUCCGAUCCGAGAAUGAUGCCGUUAUUCUGGCUUGUGGUGCUACUAGGCCGAGGUGAUUCAAUAACACUAUGAGUUCAAAUUGGCAACAUCAAUCUUUAUCACCAAUAUGGCAAUUAUGGUUAUGUUGUUAAUAUAUAUAUAAUUGUAUGAAUUUGAGAAUUUGCUAACACCUAGAGCAUUAUCCUUGAACAGAGAUCUCCCUAUUCCUGGACGUGAACUGUCAGACAUCCAUUUUGCUAUGGAUUUUCUUCAUUCCAAUACCAAAAGUUUACUUGACACCAACUUAGAGGAUGGUAACUAUAUAUCUGCUAGAGGGAAAAAGGUAGUUGUAAUUGGUGGUGGUGACACAGGUACAGACUGUAUUGGGACAGCCAUCAGACAUGGUUGCAGCAACCUUGUAAAUCUUGAACUUCUACCAGAACCGCCUAGAGAGAGGGCCCCUGACAAUCCGUGGCCUCAGGUUAGAACACUCAUCAAGAAAAACGAUAACAUCUUUAUUUCCUUGCUUAUCUAGAUUAAUUAAUAAAUUUAUGAAUUGUAAGCAUAUCAUUGCCUUCAACUCCAUUGGCAUUAUUAUGCUGUGAUUCAUUCUCAUUGUGGCACUUCUAUGUUUGCAUUCAGUGGCCGAGGAUAUUCCGAAGAGACUAUGGACACCAAGAAGCAGCCAGCAAGUUUGGAAAAGACCCAAGAACUUACCAAAUCCUCACGAAACGUUUUAUCGGAGAUGAAAAUGGAAAAGUGAAGGCCCUUGAGGUAGUACGUGUUGAAUGGAGCAAAGUGGAUGGAAGAUUUCAAUUCAAAGAGAUAGAAGGUUCACAAGAAAUUAUUGAGGCAGAUCUUGUCCUCUUAGCUAUGGGAUUCCUAGGUCCCGAGGCGGUUAGUUUUCCAUCCUCUUUCCCGUAAAAGAUUUUAGUGUGAUACUAGUGUUAGUUUAGAUAUUUGAUUUUUUUUUUAUGAACUGACAUAACAGUAAGCACUAACUGCAGGCUAUUGCCAAGAAGCUGGGUUUAGAGCAAGACAACCGAUCAAACUUCAAAGCUCAGUUUGAAAACUUCGCGACUAACGUGGAAGGUGUGUUUGCUGCCGGGGACUGCAGGCGUGGGCAAUCACUUGUUGUUUGGGCAAUUGCAGAGGGGAGGGAAGCAGCAGCAGCUGUUGACAAGUACCUGUCGAGAGAGAAAACGAAUGUUGAUGAGAACGUUGUUGCCCCAGGUCCAUGUGAAUGUCUGGUUCAACCCGUUGCGGCAUAAGCAAAUAAAGCAUUUCUGUAACAUUAACUCUUUUGGAGGUAGAUAUAUAUGUGUUUCCCUUUUCACGCUGAAGAAAAAAAGAAAAUGAGAUCCCUUUUAGCUCUGAAAGGAUUAAAGAAAGGACUCAUUUAGCAGAAACAGAGAGCCCGUGUGUUAUAUAUAUUAAUUAGGUUGAAAGCAAUAGGAAAAAAAAUGAGGUGUACAUUUAUUGUUCUCUUCCUGUGAAGAAAUACCGGGUUUGUAGGUUUAGGAAAAUGUAUAGCUGAUAUAGAUGGGAAACUUAUUAACAAUUGUUUAUAAAACUAUACGGAGUACUCUCUUCUGCCUCUUUCUUCGGUGCAUGCGUAAACCUGCUCGGUGUGGAUCUGUUGUGCUCCGUGUAUUAUAGGGCCUCCCCGGUGCUUCAGUUUGGCCAUUAGUUCCAUCCUCCACGUUAUACCUGAUCUCCAUAUCAUACAUCAUACAGGUUAGUAGCUCCGCAGACCGUCAGAGUGGCUUCCAAUCCACCAUUAAUCUAGAAGGUGUCGUUAUCGUGUCUGAAAACCUCUGCAUCUUUUGUGAUCAGUCGCCUGAGACUUUAGAUUUUAUUGUGUUGGGCUGUGUUUUCAGUCGCCAGGUUUGGUCCUCUUGCCUAGGAAGGUUCCAGCUGCAGCACUUAAUCACAUUACAAGAGCAAGACGUUAUGGCUUGGUGGACCGAUUCGAGGAAAAGGCUCCCUAAGCACAUCCGUCGAGGCUUCAACUCUCUUUUCUUCGUCGUCGGUUGGAACCUCUGGAAGGAGCGCAAUGCGAGAACCUUUGAUAGAUCGUCUCGACAGCCGGCUGUUCUUCUGCAAGCUAUCCUUGACGAAGCAGCUCUCUGGGUGGCUGCUGGUUUCAGGGCGCUCGGAGCGUUGCUGGCCUCGGGGUAGUAGUUCAGUAGUCUUUUCUCUUUCUCUUGCUGUGUAACUUGCUUUGGUCUGGUUUUGUUCUGCGACGGUAACCUACGGCUUACUGUCUUCGGCUUUUGUUGUAACUCUCUUAACCCUUGCUUAAUGAAAUACAUGCAGCGCAUGUUCUCGAAAAAAAAAGUAGAUAAUCUCCGUUCAAAAAAAAACAGCAGAUAACAAUGCCUGCUCUUGUUUUGACGACAGUUGGUUUGACAGGAAUAUUUUUUACUCUAAACUAAGAAUACCGUAAUAAGAAUCACAUCAUCGAUUCUUGAAUCUUGAUUGAGUUUACACACCUUGCUUGAUCAGUCCUGUUUCUUGCGAGGCACAGUAAGCAUGGCUGUUAUUCAUUGUACACUGAAAUUUUUGGCGAAUGAUAGAGAACAUGUGGCGAGAUGGACACUGAAAUAUGCUUGACAUUCAACCACGUAGGGCUUAGUUUACUUCAGUCAUGUUCAGUUUGACAAACCAGCUAUUAGCCUGUUACUAAGGCCUUGUUUAGUUCGCAAAAUUUUUUGUUUUUAGAUACUGUAGCAUUUCGUUUUUAUUUGACAAACAUUGUCCAAUCACGGAGUAACUAGGCUCAAAAGAUUCAUCUCACAAAUUACAGAUAAACUGUGCAGUUAGUUUUUAUUUUUGUCUAUAUUUAAUACUCCAUGCAUGCGAUCAAAGAUUCGAUGUGACGGGGAAUCUUGAAAAUUUUUGCGAACUAAACAAGGCCUAAAACCUAGAAGGUAGUACCAGUACAACUUAAGGCCAUUUGACAGGCCUUUACAUUAUUCCAUCUCUAUGCUGCUAAUCACAUAUUGAUGCGUCCACUCUCACUACUGCAGGAAAGCGUUUUUCAGACGGUUGUCGAAGCCUCUUAGAGACGGCUAGGUCAUGCGUCUGAAAAUUUGUGUCUCUGAUGUGCCAGACCCAGUGACGGGUCAAUAACCGUCUCAGAUGAUUUGUUCUAAGAGACGGGCUUUACGCACACCCGUCUGUGAUAGUUUAGGUUACAGACGGUUGUCUUAUCUACCAAUCGUCUCAGUAAUGAAACAACCAGCGAUAGGUAUCGUUAUAAACCGUCUCAGGACCUGUAGAAUGGCGACGGGUGUACCCCGUCUCAGUUGUAAAUAUAACACAGACGGUGAAGGGUCGAGAUGGCGGACUAGAGAGGGGGUGAAUAGUCCUUUCUAAAACUUAUUACGCCGGCUAACCGAAACAAAUGCGGAAUUAAAACUAUCGGCCUAGCCAAGACUACACCCCUCUAUCUAAGUUCUCUAGCACCUUGAAAAGAUCCUAAACAAGCAAACAAGGUGCAACCUUAGCAAGAGCUCACAUAACCAAUUCUAGGAGCAAGGUCACACAAACCUAUGCAACUAGUACUUUGCAAACCGGGGGAGCUCCUACUCAAACUAGUGAGGUAAAGUGCACAAAGCCUAAGCUCACUAGCAAGCUCAAUAACAAGGCAACUAAUGUCAAAUUAGAGAGCGCAACUUACUUAGUUACACAAACUAAACAAUGUGACUAACAAGGUUACACAACCCAAUUUAGUCACGCAAGGGAACUACUUCUAGCUACACAAGCAAGAAGGUAACUAGCAAGCUACACAAGCUAACUAAUUACAAGAGCAACUACACAAGCACAAGUAUAUAAAGAAAGUAAAUACAAGCUCGUGUAUAGCGAAUGCAAACCACCGAGAAGAGUAGACAAUGUUGACACGGUGAUUUUUACCGAGGUUCACUUGGUUGCCACCAAGCUACGUCCUCGUUGUGGCGAUACACCCACUUGAUGGAUCACGAGCUAAUUGGCAUUCCAAAGCCAAACCCUCAGCGGAUGCCGCACAUCCACUCUCAAGAUGGGGAUCCUCCAAGCCACAAGCAAUCCACUAGAGUUGCUCUUCGCGAUCCCCGCGGGGUGAGCACCGUACCCCUCACAAUCUCUUCUCCGGAGCACCGCACAAUCUCCUUGCGUGCUUCGACGGAGUCACAAGCCACCAAGCCGUCUAGGAGGUGGCAACCUCCAAGAGUAACAAGCACCACCGGCUUGCAACACGAACACCUAGUGCCACUCGAUGCAAUCUCUCAAUGCAACGCACUAGAAUCGCUCACUCACACAAUCGGAUGAAUACUAUCAAGCAUAUGUGAGUUAGAGGCUUCACUAGCACUUCCCAAGCAUUGACACUAAGUCCCAAGGGUGCUCAGCACCGGCCAAGGCCGGCCACCACUUCUAUUUAUAGCCCCAAGGGCUAAACUAGCCGUUGCCCCUUCACUGGACAAAACACGUGGGCACUGGACGCUCACAGGGAGCCACCGGACGCUCAACUCCCAGCGUCCGGUGCUCAGGUGUCGGCCACGUGUCACUAGCCGUUUGAACUCGACCGUUGCCGCCAACGGCUAGUGCGCACGCGCGCCUGCACAGCACCACCGGACGCUCUACUGCGUCACACCGGACGCGUCCGGUGCACACCGGACCCGUGCGCAGAGAGCUCCGCAAACUUGCAGAGUCACCGGACGCUAGCCAUCGGACGCACCCUGAGCGUCCGAUGCUCACCGGACUCAAGCGCAGAGAGGGUCACCAAACCGCCCGCACACCGGACGCUGAGCACCGGACUCUCUCCGGUGCGUCCGGUGCACUCUGCUGCACCCGACAGCACACCGGACGCUCUGGACCAGCGUCCGGUGCUGCCAACACCAGCGUCCGGUGAGUGCCCGCAACAUCUCCAAAUUUCCCACCGGCACAAUAGAAAAUAUGCACUUAAUUUUCUCAAAAGCGCCGAAUCCCGCCUCGCAAGCUCGGCGAGAGGGAGAGAGAAACCCACACCUCUCUCAACCCUAGGAACACCACCUCCUUUGUAAAGUGUGCUAACACCAACAAGUGUCCACCACCAAAGUGCAAGUGUGUUAGCAUUUUCACAAACAUUUUUCCCAAAGGAGUUAGCCUCUCAAACUUGCCACGCCACUCGAUCCUAACACGUAUGCAAAGUUAGAUCGCUCAAGUGGCACUAGAUGACCGAUAUGCAAACAAGUUUACCCCUCUUGAUAGUACGGCCAUCUAUCCUAAAUCCGGUCAUAAACUUCUCUACACACCUAUGACCGGUGAAAUGGAAAUGCCCUAGGUUAUACCUUUGUCUUGCGCUUUUCAUUCCAUCUCCUCCAAUGUUGAUGCAACACAUGCACCAACCAAUCACCAAAAGAUAUGAUCCACUUCAUAUCAUCACGUGACCGUAUUGGUUCAUCGAUCUUGACCUCACUUGCUCUUCACCGUUGCCUUGGUCCAUCGGCGCCAAGUCUUGCUCAAGCUUCACCGUCACACGCGGUCCCUCGCUUCAAAGCCUCCGACUUGCCCUUCACUCUUACAACCGGUCCAUCAAGCCAAGCCUCAUCUUGAUCUUCUCCACCUUGGUCACAUGACUCCAUGUCAUGUCUCAUAUGUAAUGAGCUCCUCCAUCAUCACAUAAUCACUUGUGGACUAAUCUCCUGUAUAUCUCACAUAAACACUAUUAGUCCACCUAAGUUGUCACUCAAUUACCAAAACCAAACAAGGACCUUUCAGACGGCUUCACAACCGUCUCUGGCAAUGAGGGUUACAGACGGUUGUCUAAUCUAACAACCGUCUCAGUAAUGAAACAGCCAGCGACAGGUACGAUUAUAAACCGUCUCAAUUUUUCUUUUAUAGAUAAUGGAAAGAAGUUCCAAGCAGCGCCAUCCCCUUUCAAGAAGAUGAAUCAAUCAAAAUUAUUACAAUCAGUGGCACAUCCACCCCACCCAAACACAACUAACGUUUACCAGAAGGGCUCCUAAGAAUGAAUGGCCAUCCACACCAGGCAAAAUUUUGCUUGCGGCCGAUUCCAAUGUGCCGCAUCCCUGGAUGAACAACUCUUUCUGAUCAUCAUAUUAUUGCAACUAUGCUCUAAACUCGUGUGUCGCCUAAAUAAGACCUGCAAAGAAGUUUUUAGUCUGCACUUUUCAAAAACAAACUCAUUUGCGAUUAGGUUCUUUAUGAUGGAACCCAUCCAUUUGGGCUUGAGUUGUCGACUUUAAGCAGGUGUUCAUAUUUUUUUUCGAUUAUUCAAGGAUUUAACGCCCUUUGUUCUUUUAAUGGUACACGACGUACCCACCAAUAGCGAAAUGCCUAUGGUAAUUUCAUCAAUAUCGAGAUCUACAAGUCCAGACUCAGUUUUUUCCAAGGUGCUCAUAGUGGUACAUGUGUAUGCAUGCGUUCAUAAGCAUGAAUGUAUAUGUAUGUAUAAAAAAAAUCAACCAAAGCGCCUUGCAAAAUGUUAUCAAAGUAUCAAUUAAUAGUGUUUAUACUCCAUAUCUUGAUAACAUUAUCUUGAUUAGACCAUUGGCUGAAUAUACUGUUUACAUUCGCAGGAGGUGGAAUUCCAAACACAACUGCGCAACAGGGUCAAAGAAAUUUACCAAAUGAACACUCACAAAACUAGAUGUUGGACGGUUUCUAGAUUUUACUACCGAAACAACAAAAUUUACUCCUAUGCCAAUUUGCACUAGCAAUCUUGCCAUUGGUAAGGAUAACCCCUUUCUUCAAGAACCACAUGAAUGAAUGAAGAUUAUGCUCUAAAAAUAAGUUCAUGGAAUUUUUUUAGUACACUGAACCAGCCAGCCAGCCAGCCUAUACUAAAACCCAAUUGACCUUGUUUAGUUUUUUUUUUUUUUGCAAAAUAGACACUGUAUUACUUCAUUUAUAUUUAAUAAAUAUUAUCUAAUUAUAGACCAAAUAGACUCAAAGGAUUUGUAUCGCAAAUUACAAACAAACUGUACAAUUAGUUAUUAUUUUUAUUUAUAUUUAAUAUUUUAUGCAUGCGCCGCAAGAUUCGAUAUGACAGUGAAUCUGAGGCCUUGUUUAGAUGUGAAAAGAUUUUGGAUUUCACUACUGUAGCAUUUUCGUUUGUUUGUGGCAAAUAUUGUCCAAUCAUAGACUAACUAGGAACAAAAGAUUCGUCUCGUGAUUUACAGGUAAACUAUGCAAUUAGUUUUUAUUUUCGUCUAUAUUUAAUACUUCAUGCAUGUGUCGAAAGAUUAGAUGUGACGGAGAAUCUUGAAAACUUGGCCAAAGCUGCAUUCAAUCUUUUGCGUGCUUGACGGUCGACCAAACCCAACAUAUACAUAUCACCGGCAGAUGUGGCCAAUGAGCGUGUCGUACCCUAUAACAGUUUACUCAAACUCAGUCGGCAACGCCUCUAGCUCUAGCUAGCUAGUCAGUCUGCACCCCAUCAUGCACGCUCUCUUGCUCGCUAUAUAGUCGUCGCUGGUACACCAAAUACCAGCCUUCAACACACACAUCAAUCUCCUCUUCAGUAUCUCGCUUAGCAACACCACGCGUCUUUCUUGACAAGACGGCAUGGGCAACAGCCUGCCGCUGCCAUGCGUGUGCCGCCGCUGCUGCCACGACGAGGUCAACGAGGUCGAUGCAGGCACCGCCGCCGUGGCCGGCGGCGCCAAGAAGAGAAGGAGGAAGCAGCAGCAGCGGAGGCCUGACCGCAGCAGGAACGUCUGGGCGGCGCGGCCGAGGCACGUGGUGGUGCCGGUCGUGGACGCGCCGGAGGACGGCGACGACGUCCGCCGGGAGCAGGAGGCGUGGCCUGAGUGCCACGUGGAGCCGGCCGGCCACGGCGAGGACGGCGCGGUGCGGGUGAGGAUCGUGAUGAAGAGGAGGGACAUCGCGCAGCUGGUGGCGAGGCUGGAGCAGCGCGGCGCCGAGGAGAGGAACGCCGCCGCCGGGAUUGAGGAGGUCAUCAGCACCGACCUCGCCGGCUGCAGCGGUGGCGGCGGCGUCACGAUCAUGAGCCCAUGCCGGGACGCCUGGAGGCCGCGGCUCUCCGUCAUACCGGAGAACUAGUAGAGAUAGAGAGUCCUGCAUGCUAUGCUGGAUGCUGUACCACCACCUCCGUUCCAUUGUUCUGCGCUAGUUUUGCUUUAGCUGACUGCUGUACAUUUUGGAACGACGAACAAGGUAUUUUAGUUUCCUUUUUUUUUUUACUUUCUUAGAUUUGAUUUUCUCUCCCUUUUUGUCUUGGGAUCGAUCGGGAAGGUGAUAUGGUCGCGCCCUGCCAAUCUGCCACAUGACUAUAUGAGUCGGUAUGUAAAUCUGCUGUUUGGAACAUAUGCGUGCGUGCACCUAUACUGUGAAUGUAUAUAUCAAAUCAAAAGCUGUGUAAAACUAUGUUUUCUUUCUCGAUCACGCAAAAUAUUUGUGCGUCUUUGUAUUAUGGUAGAGAAAAAAAAAAUUAAUAUAACAUGUCUUAGCGGUGCCUUAGGAGGUCAGAAACGUUUGUACAUGAAUGCUCAGACCCCCUUAGUGUAUUAUUGAAACUAUUAUGUUACAUUUAGGCUCUAUUUUGAUUUGUUAUCAGCUAAUAGUUAGCUGGCUAAUAGUAACUCUAAUAGCUUGGUUAUUCUUGUUGUGGAGGUUAUUUUAGAAUUUGCAUGGCAAAAAGUAGGCUCUAAUAGAUGUGCUAUCUGGUUUUGUAAAUAGAAAGUUGGUUAUCUCUUGAUUUUUGAUGACCAUAUAUAGUCAACCACUGAAACUGGCUAUCUGAUUUUGUAAAAUAGCAGGGCUAUUGUCGAUUUCUUCUUUUUUAAAAAGUUUUUUCUAUUUUACAAAAUAGAUAAACAAUAAAAUUUUGCUACUAAUUUUAGCCAAACUCUUGGAGUUGCUCAAAUAACUCAUUUAUAAUAUUAGUUAGGUGAAUUAUAUAUAAUAUUAACCAGCAAAACUAUUAGCUUGAAGCCUUGAAGGUUGCACAACUAAUAAAAAAUGCUACUAACACAGCUAUUAGUUGUUAUUAUCUUAUUUAAUCCAAUUAGUGGUAUAUUUAUUAUCUAGAGGUCUAGUUAACAAUUAGCUAUUUUAUCAACUGCAUAUGUUUAGAUUCAAAAGAAAUAACUAUUAGCAUAUAACUAUUAAUUAUAUGAAUCCGAACAGAACCUUAGUCAGCAGAACAUUUUUUGAGCAAUCCAAUAUUAUGUAGCAAUAUAUGUAGCCUCUGGUCAAACGAAGACUGAAUGAACCACUAAAACAAGAACUUCUUACGCAUUACGAUUUCAACAUUCAUAUAGUUAACUUAAAAUUUGAUCAUGUAUACAUACUUAAUUUAAACCUAAAUCAGACAAAGCAUUCUGAUUUAGGUUUCCAUUAAGUAUCCAUAGAGGAUCAGAUUCUAAGUUAAUUAUAUCAUCAGCGUGCUCGGCAACUGUGGACACACGUCACCAUUGGAUUUCUUUUUGCGCGCAUGCGUACGCUCAGCUGCUCCGGGAGCGAAUGAAUAAUAAUAAUGGAGCAGAUCAGAAAAUGGACGAUACAGACUCCGCGACCGACUUGAUCUUGAAUUCCUGGUCGUCUCCAAUUUUCCAUUCCAACGCAGCCAUCGGAGCCAUCACCGUUACUGAUGAGUGUUGAGUGAUGACCACUUCAACGACAACGAUGCUGGGCUACGAUUUCUGUGAAACUUUUUUUUUUCGCCAACGAUUGCAGGCGAGACGAGCUUCAGUCAGACAGGUGCCUUGUACUGGCAACCUAGCGCUCAAUACACGAGAAUUCGUUAUCAAAAGAAAGAAAUAUGCAUAGAGUAAGGCUUUGGAUCACGGAGGAAAUCCUGAAUCAUAUUCCAUUCACACACACACACACACACCCCAGCGGCGAUGCCCCUCUGGUUUUGUCACUCUUUGCAUUCAGACGAGAAGGCAACCCUGUGGUUUAUUUUAAAUUUGUUGUUGUUAUUAAACGAUAGCGUCAGUGUCCAUUCCUACAAUGCAAACUACAGAGGAAUGAUUAAAAAGAAACGAACAGAGUUCACCCCUUGGGCCAAUGGUUUGCUUGCUGAAACUGCAAGCUGUUCAAGUCCACGUCGGUGAUUUUUUUUGAAAACGUCACCGGAGGGGUGAGAGCCUCACCUGACUUCAUUUUCAUUUAUUCUGGCUAGCCGGUGCAAAGGGGUCAGUGACUCAAAGUCAAAGUCUUCUAUGUUUAAAAGUUUAAUAUAAAGAAAGGCGAGAGCUAAUUCAUUACAAAGAGUUGACACCAGGAAUGUUACAAAACGAUCAUUGCAUCGAAGACGGCAGGUCCAGAGUCGACUAGCUUCUUUGCAAGCAUGGAGGGGGUGAUUUGUGAAUUGUGAUCAUACACAGAAUUGGUUUUGUCACGACGAUGGCGUCACAGGCUGCAAGAAAAUCAAACGCCUCGAUCCGCUUGCCACUUGGCAGCAGAACACCUCGUGGAUGGCUGGAUGCAAAAAUAGCAUCAUAUACUAUAAAUUCUAUUUCUAUCGUGAACACACUGCAACUGAUCAAGCUGGAGGCAGACCGGUGGAUUGAGGCUGGAGCACAUGGUUUGCAUAGCAUAACUUACGAGACUUAGCGGCUUGCUCAUUCUUCCGGUUAGAAUGAUCAUUGUUCAUCAUGUAACAUUCACUAUUUUUCAUUUUGCUGGCUUCAGCCUCUUGUAAUUAAAAUUCUCUUCUUCUUCUAAUACAAAGAUACGCACACUCGUACGUAUUCACGAAAAAAACUAUAAAUUCCAUUUAAAUAUUGUAACCUGUUCAUGUAUCCAAAAAUCCAGUUAUUAUUAAUAAUAAUUCUUCUUUUGUCGAAAAAAUACUACAAAUUCCAUCUGGGCCUGAAAACGCAGCCCGGGAGAAUUUGAAGGCCGAUACGGAAGUAUAAUCAGUGGGCCUGAACCCUAGUCCAGGCCCAUUGGACGGACACGAACCCUCUCCACUUGAUGCAAUCGCAGCCGUCCAAUCAAUCAGCGGAAACUUUUAAAUCCCCCGGGCCCCGGCCCUCACUCCCCCACGAACUAGGGUUUCAUUCGCCCCUCCCCUCCCCUCCCCUCCCCUAUCAGUCUAUCCCCAGCCUCGUCGUACGGCACUCCGGCGGCGGCGAGUAUGGUGAAGGGACGGCAGGGCCAGCGAGUCAGGUACGAGGCCGUCACACCAAGCCCACUACGUUCUUUCCGCUGGGGCAGGCAAGCAUCUGAUCUGACCCGUCGUCUCCGUUCUGUUUUGUUUCCGGCGCAGGACGUACGUGCGGGGCACGAUCCUGGGCUACAAGCGCUCCAAGUCGAACCAGUACGAGCACACGUCGCUGCUGCAGAUCGAGGGCGUCAGCACCAAGGAGGACGUGGCGUGGUACGGCGGCAAGCGGAUCGCCUACGUGUACAAGGCCAAGACCAAGAGCGACGGCACCGCCGUCCGAUGCAUCUGGGGCAAGGUCACGCGCCCGCACGGUAACUCCGGCGUCGUCCGCGCCAAGUUCCGGUCCCACCUCCCGCCCAGCUCCAUGGUGAGCUCCCAUUGCUGGUGUAUUUUUUUGUUUUUUUUUUCUGUCUGCCUUUCUGAUGGGUGCUUUUAAUGGUGUUGCAGGGUAAGAAGGUCCGCGUGUUCAUGUACCCCAGCAGUGUCUGACUCUAACCGAGGUAGAAUGCUUUGCUCACCUUGUUUGAAUGUGUGGUGUGUUUAUUGUUGGAUAUUACUCCCUCUGUCCUGUCCUGUAAUAAAGUGCAUUUUAGAAAUUUUAGGACAACUUAAAGAGAGAACACAAAAGACACAUGAGCCCUCACUUUAUUUCCUAAUAAAUGCUGUCACCAACACAAUUAGUGGUGUUGUUUGAUAAAUGAAAAGUAUUCAUGACGGAGGGAGUAGUUUACAUGUCAGCUUGAAUGCUGUUCUAUCAGUGUACGAUGAUGCAAAUACUUGGCUGCCAGCUUCACUACAACUCUAUUAGUGGUCCAUUAUGCAAGUGCUUAGAUGUCAGGUUGAACACACCUCCAUCACUGUCAAUGCAAGCUAUUGAUUGUGUCUUGUAUGUUGGUGAUGUAAACCUUCAAUUGCUGUCUAAUCAGAAUGUGAAGCUGUGGUCUUAGGUUGCUCUGGAUCUGAUCCUUCUGUCCUUUGUGUCUAAGGGUCCCAAUGCCACUUGGGGGAAGCUCUCCUUUUAGCUUCGAAAUACCUGCAGGUUCUCUGCGGGGUGCUCGGAUGUUGGGGCCCUAGAGCAAAUGCAGUGGUCUCAUAGUACGAGGCUGUACUUUGGUUGAUGGGUCUCUCAUCAAUUGCUUCCUCACAGCCUUGCCUCCAAUGACCACAACAUUCAUUUUUUGUGUCUUCACAUUUGUGCUCUCUUGCGUGGCAACAUGUUUGGAGCUUGAGAUGUUCUGUUUCGUUAUUGUGUAAUCAUAUUGUAGCUCGCCCCUGCAUUAUAUGCCUUCAUAUUUAGGUGAUUACUAUAUGUCUUUCACUAGGUUGUUGAACAAUUUUGACUUUUGCAAACUUAAAAAACUGUUGAUGCAUUGGUCUGAGCUAGAAAACUGUAUUCUGUGCCCUGGUAGUCAAUAUACUCAUGCUAUUACCUUUAAUGGUUAUCCAGUCCUACCGUGUCGUUGCUGCCACAGCAGCUAAGGAAUCGUUGCCUUGGCAUGUCACCUCUUUUCUGGCGGAGACAGCCAAAUUGUCAUUUCUUCCGUUUGUGUUUCUAUUGCUUGAUUUGGAUCUAUUUUCUCUUCUGUCCUGUAUUGCCGUUUUGUGUAUUUGUUGCUUGAUUUUGAUCUGUUAACUCUUAUGUUAUUCCUCUCCCUCCUAUGCAGAGGAAAGCUAGGCUGUAAGGGCAAUGAUGAUGUAAAGUCAUGCACCACUCUGAAUAAGAGGAUUUUCUCUCUUUGGGCUGACAAACAAACUUUCUACCCAUUUUUUGUCUGAGCCCUUCUGUUUACAUGCGUGCUUUCUUCUAUCUUCUUUUUUCUUGCUGCUUAAUGUGAUACUUAUUUGGUUGUGUUUUGUGGGGUUCUUGAGUGAUUCCUGAGAACUAGAUGAUGUGGGUCGACAGAUCCAACCAUGAUGCGGACUGAAUCUUAUUUGAGGUCAAAUCUAAUUGCCGCUGAUGGUUCUCGAGUUUACCUCCCCGCUUUCUUUGCUUGUCCUUAUUUUGUUUUGAAUUUGUUGCUUUGAAUCAGUUUCAAUGAAUAUAAUGGCUUAAAAGAGAGGUGAAGCCAAUUUGCAGAGCAAAGGGGCCAGAUAAGUGGCGAUCUUUGCAUUGAAGGUUGGCGACAACAAAACUGCAGUUCUCCGUGCCACUCAGAUUUACAUCUGUUUUGUGAUGGCCUCGAACAAGCUGCUACAUCAUCUCUUAUCUGUGAUCUAAGCUACUCUCUCUGUCCCUGAAUAAAUCGUUUCUAGAGCUGUCCUAAGUUUGGUUGAGCUCCCCUGUUUUUUAGUUCUUAAACAUUUGAGUUAAAUGGUAACUAUAAAAUUGACAUGAACAAUCUCAGCAAAUGCAGUGGCCCCAUAGUAUUGAGGCUGUUGUUUGGUUGAUGGAUCUCGCGUUGAUCACUUAGCCUUGCCUCCAAUGGCCAUUGAUAAUAACAUUCAUUAUUCUUGUCUUCACAUUUGUGCUCUCUGACUGGAGUUUGAGAUAGUUCUGUUUGAUUAUUGUGUAAUCAUAUUGUAGCCUUCUGAGCUACAAAACUUUAGCAUGGAGGUAAUCAAUUGAAUUUCUCUUUAGUUUGCAAGACGUGGGACUCUAAAUAAAAAAUCUUUAGCAUGUAUGUUUGAUAUAUUCAAUCUGUUUUCAAUAUAUAUGACGUUUAUGACAAUCUAAUCACUUCAUUGUAAUAAUUACCUUAUCCUAGAAGUCAAUUGUUUUAAAAAAGAAGUGGUACUGUUUUUAGAGUGCAAUUUUGACCUUUGUAUUUUUGCGGGGUUUUCUACUGCUCAGUGCUAUACUAGUGUGGGUGUUGAUCUUUAUCUUGUGUCCUUUAUAGUUGUAUAAAUCACAGUUUAUAUAAACUCACAAAUUCCUCCAUUUUGAAUGUAGCAAGCUUUUACCAUGAAGGAGAUUGAUCCGGAAAGCUUCUGACGACGAUUUUGAGUAGUUUAGUUUAGGAGUUUCCUCUUUUUCUUUUACUACAGGUUGGCUGUGGUUCGCAACUGACAGCUUAUGUCAACUGUAACUCUGUUUUGUUGCGUUGAUCUGAAGCAAAGCAUUAAUGUUGUUUCUUUGUAUGUUUAGUUGAGGCUGAAUUUACUGUUGACUGAUUUAUUCUGAGAUCAUGGGAGCUGGGGGGAUAUAUUACACAAACUUGAUUAAUACAGUGAUCCUAUUAGUCUGAUUUAAUCAAAAUUGUGUGAAAUCUGCACCAUUGCUUGCUUCCUUUAGUACUUCUGAAAUGUGAGUUUUCAAAGCAGCAGCAGCUAUGCUGGUGCAAGUUUCAGCGUUUCAGUUGAGACAUUCAGCAGGAUCAGUUGAGUCAAAGUAUUUCAAAUUUGACCAAAAUUAUAGGCAAAAUGAUAAAGUUUUGUGGCAUCAAAUAAAUAUACUAUGAAAAUAUAAUUAAUGAAGAAUGAAGAAUCUAUUAUACUUAGUUUAUAUCAUAAAUAUUAGUUUAUAUUUUAUUAUUUUAUUAUAUAAAUUUAGUUAAAUUUGAGAUAAUUUGACUUUUCAAAAUUUAAAUGUAGUUAAAUUUGAGAUAAUUUGACUUUUCAAAAUUUCUAAAAUGACUUAUAAUUUGGGAUCAAGGGAGUACUAUUUUUGGGUCUCUAAAUUUGGUUUAGCCCACUCCACUCUCCAAUCUCCUUUGAUUCGUGGUCGGCAGAUAUGGUUAGGCUUUGGAAAACUUUUUGUUUUUUUGGUACGGUAGUAUUUCCGUUUUCAUGUGACAAUUAUUGUUCAAUCAUAGAUUAAUUAGACUCAACAAAUUUAUAGAUAAACUGUGCAAUUAAUUUUUUUUUCUCGUUUAAGUUUAGUUAGUUUAUAAUUGAACAAUAAUUAUUAAAUACAAACAGUGUGGUAUAGUAAAAAAAAAUUCACCCACCCAAUUAAACAAGGGAACGUAACCUGUGCAACCCAGUUUCGUGUGCAAUCUAUGUAACCACCAAUUAAGGUUACAGGAUACACACGGGUUAGAUAUAGAUUUAAAUCCACAGGUAGAUAGGUUUAAAUGAAAAAAAAACCUCAAACUUAGUGGUUACAUAGAUUCCAUACGUCCAUGCGAAGCUGAGUUGCAUAUGAUACCUUGCCCAAGGCCUAAACAAAUAGGCUCUUCUUCUCCGCUCUGCACAGCCUCCAUCUCGGUGAGCAGCGAGAAGAGGCACUCCACGACAAGCACCACGACCCCGCCGUCUCUAGGGCCAGAGCCUGCCGCCGCGCCGAAGCGAACAGCGGUACUCGUGACGGGCUAAGGAUGCGGAGGUGAGGUUCCGUCGCAGCGAGCGCCAGAGCGGUCUGGUGCGGAGCUGGCGGUGCUCUGGCCGCUGAGCGCGCGGUGGGUGACGCCCCGGCCGAACACGAAGAUGUCGGAGCUCGUAGCCGUCUCCAUUUUUUUUUUUCGAAAGAUCCGUAGCCGUCUCCAUGCCAAUGCGCCACGAUUUCUCACAGCUCCGCCGCCGGCGAACUCACUCGCGCCGCAUUUCCUGUCCUCUGUCUUUGUCCGAGCAAGAAGAUCUCUAGUCUCACGCGGCUACAGCCAUGUCACCUCCAUGGGGCAGAGCUCGACCCCGGCGUGGGACGCCACGUCCCUCGCCUCCGCCCUGAAGAAGGCGGCCGCCUGUGCCCGCUCCUGACGCAUCUGGCGCUGCGAAGCCGGCUUCCACGGUACGCGCGGGAACUGUUCGACGAGAUGCCCCGCCCGGACGUUGUCUCCUGGACAUCCCCUCAUCACCGGCCACGCCCACCAGGACUACACCGAGUCUCUCUCGCGCUGCUCCGGCGCAUGGCAGGCUCUGUGUCGAGCUCAACGGCUACUCUCUCUCUCUCUCUCUCCGGUGGAUUGCUGGCUUGUGCUGGUAUCGGCCAAGGUGCACUUGCUCUAGGGAAGGAAAUACAUGCCAGUGUGGUGAAGAUGAGCUUGCAUGGACCAGUUGACCCGGUUGUCGAGAACGGGGUUCUUGAUAUGUACUCAAGGUGUGCAUUGAGAGUGUGUUCAGGGUGAUGCAUGUCAGGAAUGUAGUUGCUUAGAACUCGAUGAUGGCAGCUCUUCUUGGGAGUAGGCAGGCUGAGGAUAUAUGGGUGAUGCCUCGGCAAGUGUCAAGAACGUAGGUUUAUUAGCGACUGGGCACUAUGAAUAUGCUGAGAUGAGUCCGACGUGAGUGAUGCUACUGUGUUCUCAUUUUGCACAUUGUUGAUCCAUAUUGUUUUUCUUCCUACUACAGCACAGCCUAGACUAGUGUGGGGUGUUCCUUCCCUUGAUAAUCUUUAUUUCAUCUCGCAUCCCAGAUCAUAGUUUUUUUUUUUUUGACUCAGGUAACUUGCCUAUGCUGUCAAGUUUGUCUCUUGGAGGAAAGCUGCUUCCAAUGGCGAAUCUUUGUAGUUUAGCACACCCUCUCGUUUAAUUCGUUUCAUUCACUGAUGACUACAAAGACUGUUAUUCACAAGUUGGACGACCUGUGUCAAUUGUAACACAUUGGCCUUGAAGUGAAGCCAAUCAUUGAUAGUGCUUGCUGCUGGAAUGUUACAAGCUUAUCACUUGUGAACAAGCCUAAAACGAUAGCCUGGCUGUUCUGGCCCGUCACUGUCGUUGUCUAUUUCCCAUCGCUAAGCCACGCCAUGCCACCGUCCACCGGUGAACAGCAUAGUGAUGACCGCUCAGCUCAACCUGAGGCUGGCGAGAGGCGAGCCCAGCGCUCAAUAGAAAGCAAGUUAGUGGCAGGCAGGUCAGGUCGCGACCUGGGCCACGGCCACCGGAGGCGGCAGUCCCGGGACCAAGCCGUUCGGCGUCGCGCGAUGGCGCUGCAGCCGCCGCCGUCCGUCCACGCCGUCACCAUCCCCUUCGCCGACCUCAGGGUAACCAACCUUCGCCGCCGCCGACGCGACAUUGCCAACUCAGCGGCGUUUCAUCUCUCUUUGGAGUUUGGAGCUGCUGUGUGCGAGCGACUCUGACGGCGGGUGCGCGCAGGAUCGGAGCAAGGACCUGAGCGGCUUCAUCGAGGAAGGCUUCGGACCCCGGGGGCUCGGCAUCGUCUCCAUCACCGACGUGAGUGGUGCUAGCGCUUGAGGCUGAUGCGUGACGCUGCUGAUGAGCAGAUUUCGAUCUCGCGGGCGGGUUGGUCUCAGACUUUGAGCUGUGUUUGCUUUGUGCACGCGCAGGUACCCGGUUAUCCGGAGCUCAGGAGAAGGCUGCUGCGCUUGGCGCCAAGGCAUGUUGUUGUCUUGCACUCUCGUCUAAGUUCAGGGGCUUCAGGCCCUGUUCAGCGCGAUACACCAUGAUUUUGUACCUUUUUUCUUUGCUGACUGAAUACUUUCCUGAAAGACUUCUUGAUUACUCUUCCUGCUGUUUGUUAGAAUCGUCAAUCUUCCUGAUGAUGUGAAGAAACAACUGGAGGACCCAGAUAGCAGGUCAAAAUUUACAGAAUGCUCUUCACCAGGGAGCUUUUGGCAUGAUUGCUUAUAUAUAGUGUCUACUUGAAUACUCCUCUUCUCCUCCCUCUUCUUCUUGUUCUUCUUUGUUCAUUUUCUUUCGGGAAAAUAAGAGCUCCUAAGCUAGGAUUUGCAUAUAGCUUGCACUUCAGUUCGUACAAAACCUUAUGUAUUUCGUAUGCAUUAUUGGCCUUGCUUCACAGUUACCACUUUGGUUGGAGUCGUGCGGAAGAGAAAUUCGAGUCUGGAAGAUGGGGUAAACAAGACCUUUUCACUUCGUGUAAUCAACUAAUCAUGCAUCACAUUGUAUAUAGAGCAUCCUCUAAGCCUAUCAGUUUGAGGAUAAACUUUACAAUAAUAAAAAUGACUUAGUAGGAGGGGAAAUGUAGUUGGAAAAGAAUGUUAGCCGCAACAGUAGUGUAUUCAGGUCAAAAUGAUCUUUCAAUUUUGUGCUUAAUGUCUUGGAAUGCUUUUAAGCCCAUAAGGAAAUUCCAUCUGUUAUAUGCAGACACGCCCAAAGGCUCCUAUUUCGCAAACCCAGUUUUUGAUGUCCCUACAACUGAUGAUGAGCUUGUAACUAGGUAUAAUGUUCCUAAUCCUAAGUUAUCUUUCUGUGCAGUUUACUUAUCUGACAACUAAAAACAUGUUGAUGUUAUUAUUGUUCCAAGCCUGUUUUAUGUACUGAAGCAUCUUUUAGUCCACAGUAACUUCACUAUCUUGCUGCAGCUCAAGCUUGCUGGCUGUAUCAUUUUAUAUCUGUAAUGUUUGCUACUUAUCUGAACAGUUUGUAGCAUUUAUGCAAACAAAAUUAUUACUCCAAUUUUUAGGUGUGGCGUAUUACAUAUGUUGAAAACCUCUUGGGUUCCAUUUUUAGAUGUUCAUAUUGAUAUUUGUUCCUGUUUUCUUUCUGAUGAUAUAACAUUUAGAUACCCAUCAUACUGCCGACCAAACAUAUGGCCAACUGAUCAUCUUCUGAGCUUGAAAUAGGUAUGUGUUUUUCAGGCCAUAUAUGGUAUUCAUGUACAUUUAUUCAAGAAAUCUUAUUGCAAAUCAUUACUGUUAAUCUCUAAUGUUGUUACGAAUUAAAGAUUUGACACUCUGCUCCUCAGGUUUACAUACAUUACUUAAUGCAUAUACAAGCAUUGCACAUGACAAAAGUUCAUUAGCUAAUUCUGUGACAGCGCAUAUUUCAAGAAAAAUCUUUCCAGUUCAAAUCAACAUGUUUAUAUUGAUAAUAUGAGUAUAUGUUGUAAAUUUUCUUUAACGGGUAGGUGGCCUUUUCCCUCAUACCCUCUAAUAGACGAGGUGACUACCUGUGCCAUCUUAGGCUCGAAAGCGGGUGAGCGUACUGGUACUGGAAAUAAGCUAGCUUUGCUAACCGAUCUAGGCUAUAUAAAUGUCUAUUUAAGUGUAUGUGAGUUCUUUUCGUAAAAGAUGAUUUUCUCAACUAGAGUCAAGCCCAUAUGUACAACAUUUAUUUCAUUUGUAGCAUUCAAAGAUCUUGGAAAAUUGAUGUUGGAAGUUGGCUUGAUGUUGGCUCAUCAUUGUGAUUGCUAUGGUAUGUACUAUUAAACCAUAACUAUGUUUAGUAAGCUUUAUCUGUAAAACAUCAACUCCGCUUGGUGCAAAAGUUAAUGAGCCAUGGAAUCUUUUAUCCUCUUUUAAUGAAAUACUUGUGCACUGCACUUUUUUUGGAGUUUUUUUUUUAACUCAUAGGACAUAGUAUAUCAUAAUAGUAGUAUAUGCAAUUGUGUAAAUGUAGAAGCUACUGACCUUUUAAGCAUCUUAUUAUUCAUCAUGUAAGAGAACAGUUGCAUACGUUGUUAUUGAUGUAAGAUGAAAUCCAAAUGCAACUACCCAAUAGUAGUGUAUCCUGUACGAAGUGCACCCCUUGUUCUGAUAUAUGUGCUGCAGGCGCGUCCUGGACAGCCAGCUUUUGGGGCCUUUUCUCGACCCUGCAUUUUGAGGAAAUUUCUUCCUUCUGUGAUAUACCUCAGGGACGGGGGAGGUCAAUCCCCCAAGGAUCAAGUUUUUUUUUGGCAGACAUCCAUUUGUUUAGCUUAAUAGCCAAAUUGUUACUAAGGAGCUGUUUUAAGUUUUUGAUAUGACAUACAUGCUAACUGAAUCUCUUCUCCAAACUUUAAUGUUUAAUUUAGUUACCAUUUAAUCAAAUGAAGCAGCAUCUCUGUGAUUUUCAGUAAUGCAGCAAGGAGUGGGACAGUACAUUGGUGAAAGCCUUGAGAAGACACUUGCUAACUCAAGGUGUCCCAAGGGUCGUCUGUUGUAGUACUUUCCCAAAUCAUUUAGGUACACCCAGCAAGCAUAUAUAUAGAGUCUCUAAAAAAUACACUCAUGAAAAUUAAAUGACUCUAGUUAGCACAUAACCUUUAGGUAAACUUAGAGUUACAGAGGUUCAAUAUAUUUUACAGGAGGGCAACAUUAAUACGCUGCACGUUUUUACAUACACUAAGACAUACAUCCUUUGCCCAUGUGGAUCAAAACUUUGCCCUCGUUUUGAUAUCCAAGAUUUUUACCAGAUCUAAGAUUUAAAAUGCCGUCUCUAAAAGUUUAUGGUUGUUUGUUGUUGCAGCAAACAGGAUGAUGGAGUUCAAUCUGUUUCUUCAUGGUGUGGAUGGCAUACUGACUAUGGAUUUUUGACAGGUGUCCCACGGUGCCCCUAUGGGUCGGUUCUGUGUAAUAACAUGUGAUCAAACAAGUGAUACACAUAUUUAUUACCAAAUUUAUAACUCACAAUCUAACGUAUUAUAGGAAUACUUGGUCUCAAUGCUCUUACUGUCUUCACAUUCAUUGUUCUCAGAUAAUUUUAUGCAUACAUGCAGGACUUACAUGUGGCUUGUUCACGAGAAAAUCAGAGGAGGUUCCCUGUCCUGAUAUUGGAACUGGGCUAUAUGUUCGGACUCGUGAUAAUCAAGUUGUUAAGGUUAUUUCCUUUCAAUAUAGGAUUCGCCGUGAGACAGAUGGCAUGCAAAUGUAACUUACUGAGGUCGUAACUUCACUAAGCAUCAAGUAAAAAUGAUGUGCAUGUUUGCAGCACUGGGAAAUAUAGUGUUAUAGACAACCUUCAACCAAUCAUUGCUCAUUGUUGUUUAACCAAUUGCAUGGAACCAUGGGCCAUGUUUACAUUAUGUUCAGUUCAGAGAGCUAGGCGUUAUGUGCUUAUUUGUUUUUGAACGGACACUUUAGGUCACAUUUGAGGAUGAUGAAUUGGUUUACCAAAUUGGGGAAACUGCCGAAAUACUAUCAAGAGGUCAUCUAUGUGCAACCCCACAUUGUGUGAAGGUAUUUUCUGAUCAACAUUCACCUUUCUAAGUGGCUUAAAGGUGUCAUUUGGUUGCCUGCAUGAGUGCAUGGGCAGUUAUGCCUGAUCCAAAUGGCAUAAAAGCAGCUUCUGAGCCUGGCUCGAAGGAAACAAAGUCUGAUUUUUCUUGCUGGUCUAUCUUGUGCUGCCAUGUUUUAGUUUCUCAGCUAGUGGUUCUAUCACCCCAUAUGCGACCAACCAAAGCAUGACUUGGGGACAAUCGAUCUUAAUGGAUACAACUAACUAAGCCUGCCUCUUUUUGUUUAGAUGAAACCAAAACAUGUCUACUUUUGUAAUUCGUGGUCCAUGGUUGUAAGUUCUUAUGGUUGCCAAUGUUUAUAGGCUCCCAGCAGCGAAAAUGCUUCUGAUGUUGAUCGCUCAACUUUCGUUCUGUUUAUUCAGCCAGAUUGGUAAGUGCAAGUUUGUCUUCCCAUUUGGCAUAUGGUAGAAGUGAUCACUCACUGGUACUUUUGCUCUUUCUGUACCAAAGAUUGUUCCACCUAUAUUGCCAAGAUUUCUUCGGUUAUGCUGUUAGGGUUUCUUCCUCCAUCUCAGUUGUGAAAUGUAAUGCACAAACACUAGGAUAUACAGUCGCAUACAGUGACCCAGUUCGCUCUUUAAACUUUACCCAUUUAUUCUAGUCCAAUUCAGACUGAUUUUGCCAAAAAGAAAAUAAAAAAACAAACUGAAUGCCAACAGGAAGGGCUAGGCUAUUUGUGAGUUAUAGAUGUUAUCCGCACACAUGUUUCCAAAGUGAAAUCAUCAUUUGAAAAUUUUGGCAGGGAUGAGCUGCUGAAGCUUCCAAGUGAAAUACGCUAUCACCAGGAGGUUUGUCUACACAUAAUCUUUACUUUUUGUGCUUCAUCAUGGUUUGGUUCUGCUCACUCCAACUCCAAAUGGAGGGAUGACCGCUCUGCUUUUGACUGGCAGUGGAUUCCACCAAAUGGGACACUUACGUACGGCGAGUACUCUGAAAGGGUCUUGGCGAGUUUUAGCGGCAAGAGCGUGGAUCACACCUUGAUGCCACAAUAAGGAACUCCAGAUGCAUAUAUGAUAGUACAUUCGUGCCAGAGUGUGCGAUGUUGCAUGUAUAUUGAUGUAGCCAAUCGGCGAAACUCACACAGAGUGACAGAAGCAUGCUGGUGUUGGAUGAAUCACACACAGCUCACAAUAAUGAACCAAUAAAAGUAUGACAUGUUAUGUUAUUACCCUGUGAGAUAAACAAAGUGUUGGUCGAUGGCCUCGUGCACAAAUGUCAUUUGCUGCCAGAGCUGUCAAUUCCAUUUUUAUUUAUUUAUUUAUUUAUUUCCUUUUUGGCAAAAUACAGAAAAAAAACGUUCACAUACCACCAGAUGGAAUUGUUUCUCAUUGAUUUUCUGAAAGAACAUAAUUGUGCCAGGAUUUCAAACACGGAAUGAUUGUUUGUAGUCUGGAUAAAAAAAUGAGGCCUUCCUCGUACGGGAGUAAGGCCUUGUUUAGUUUGCAAAAAAAUUUAAAAUUUCAUGUCAUAUCGAAUCUUACAGCAUAUGCAUGAAAUAUUAAAUAUAGAUGAAAACAAAACUAGUUACACAGUUUGUCUGUAAAUCAUGAGAUGAAUCUUUAAGUAAUCCAUGAUUAGAUAAUAUUUAUAAAAUAAAAAUGAAAGUGAUACAUCGUUAAAAACACAGAAUUUUAGGAACUAAGGCCGACCCCAACGCUCCACCCUGUCUUGUGGCCUCAACAACCACGUAUGCACUUAGCCUCUACAUCAAUCUGAAUAGCAGCCUCGCAGUGCGUCAGAGUGGUUUGCAGAGAAGCCGAUAGCCCCGUCUGACGAAAAGUUCAGGCCACUAGUGAACAGGAGUGUUGGUUCAUAUUUUAACGGGACCACGUCAAUUCUCAUCUAAUCUCUGCACGCUAUGUCAUCAAAACAGCAGUAUACUUUUUCAGUGACAAGCAGUACGUUGCGUUGGAAGAAGUAUAUGCCUCGUAUUUUUCUAUCUACAUGGCAUAGCACUUUUAUUCGAGGCUAACGCAGGUUCGCCUGCGUUGGGGCUGCCCUAACGGGACCUGCUGCCGCUCGAGGCCCCCCAACAGAAUCACGGGUCAGCGGUCAGCGGCGGCCCCGAGUACUCUAUACUGCACCACGUCUGCGUGCGGGACUGCGGGCUCCCCCCGCUCCCGUCACCAGUCAGCCCACUUCUGCACUUCACCAAUCACCAGGAACAGGAAGGAGACGCGCCGCGCCACACCACCGGGGCAACGUGCACGUGACGGCUCAACCUCUCCGUCUCCAUCUACCUCCGCCGGGUGCCGCCAAAACCAAGGUCGUCGCCCCAACCCAAGUACCCAACCGAAUCCAACGGGACACGAGAGCGACGUCAUGGUGGUGGAAGUGGGCACCGCCGUGGGGACACGAACCACCUCCACUUGGCCUGCAGGUCCAGCCGCCCGGCGCAGUUCACGGGGCCAGGUCGUCUCCUUCGCCUUCGCCUUCGCCCUCGCCCCCGAGUCGUCCCGCCGGGUCCGGGUCCGGGUCCGGUGCCGCGCGAUGCAGCAGGAGGAGCGGCGGCCGCCGACCGUCCGCGCGGUCACCAUCCCCUUCGCCGACCUCAGGGUAAUCUUCCUCGGUGUUGAGUGUUGUCGUCUCGGGAGAGAGAGAGAGAGAGAGAGAGUGUGUGUGUGUGUGUGUGUGACUUCUCGUGAUUCUGACCACGUGCCGUUCGGCGGCGGCGGCGGCGGGUGGGCGUGCGCAGGAGACGGACAAGGACCUCGGCGGCAAGAUCGAGGAAGGCCUGGGUCCCCAUGGGCUCGGCAUCAUCACCAUUGCCGAUGUGAGUACCAAGCGUUGUGGACAACUGCAUGCUUGAAUCGUGAUUUCGAGUCUUUUGUUGAGUCCAUUCCUGAACCGAGUUGCAUAUUAACUGUCUUGAUCUUGGUCCACGCAGAUACCUGAGUUUCCAGAGCUAAGAAAAAGGCUGCUGCGGUUGGCACCAAGGCAUGUCGUUUAUCCUGAUGACAUGUCAUAUAUAGCCCUCGUUCCUCCUGUACCGGGUGGUUUAUUCUGCCCUGCAAGAGAAAAAGAGACAGAGUUGUUUGUUUACCGAUGAUGAAAGGUUUUUGUUCUUUGUUUUUUCUUGCUUGUUUGUCAGGAUUGCAAACCUUCCUGAAGAGGUGAAGAAACAGCUUGAAGAUCCAGAUAGCAGGUCGUGCUGAUUUCAUUAUGAUUGCACCCACCUGAUAACUCCUGCUACUUGUUAGUACUGAUACUUGUAUGUAGCAACCACUAGUUAUAUGCUAACUUGUCAUUUGCAGAUAUAACUUUGGGUGGAGUCAUGGGAAGGAGAAACUCGAGUCUGGGAAACUUGGUAAACAAUUGUCCAUUCCGUGAGUUAUCAUGUAGUAUCCUGUUGUGUGUGGGGUAGGCGUAAUGUGCAUCCUUGAAAGAUGUUGCGAAGUAAAAAAGUUUUGGGAUAGGUAUGACUGAAUGUAUCCUGUUGUCCUACCAUGUGGUUGUCCAUUGACCUCUGCUCCGCUCCCUUAAUUUUAUACUGCUUGGCUCCCAUGAAGGUUGUGCAUGAACUUUUUCUGAAGAUAAACUUUGAUUACUGCAUGCAGACACAUUUAAAGGUUCCUUUUAUGCGAACCCUGUUUUGGAUGUCCCUACUACUGAUGAUGUGCUUGUAAGUAGGUAAAAUGUUUCUAGCAUGGAACUGUCAUCUUGAUUUCCGUCACGAUCCAAAACUGUGAUCUAACAUUUUAAACCUUUGAUGUUUAACCUGCAGGUAUCCAUCAUAUUGCCGACCAAAUAUAUGGCCAAAUGAGAAUCUUCCUGAACUUGAGAUAGGUAUGAUUGAAUGCAUUCAUAAGCCAUCAAUGUGACUUCAAUCUGUUUCUUUUUCCUUUACAUUUUCACAUCAUACUUGGAAACUAGACUGUAUUUACAGAAUGUUUUUUCUUUUUUUCUAGCAUUUAAAGCUCUUGGGAAGCUGAUGAUGGAAGUUGGUUUGAUGUUGGCUCAUCAUUGUGAUCGCUACGGUAUGUGUUGCAGAACCAUAAGGUCCAUUACUAUAACUCAGUGUGAUUUCUGCUGAAAACAUCAACUUCGCCAGAAAGGAAAAUUAACUCAUUAGACUCAGGCAAAGUAUGACCCCUAUGCUUGAUGCUUCAUUCAGAAUAGUCUCUCUUUUUUCUUCCAUCGUGAUAUUCAGUUUAUCAAUUAGUUAAAUGGAUCAACCUUUGCUGCUUUUCAGUAAUGGGGCAAGGAGUGGGAUCAUAUGAUGGUGACAGUCUUGAGCAGACGAUUGCCCGUUCAAGGUGUCACAAGGGUCGUCUGUUGUACUAUUUCCCACGACAGUUUAGGUAAACUUUAUAAUCAUAUAUGCAGACCUGAAUGAAUAAGCAUGCAUGAAGAGUUAGAGCAACUCCAACCAUUAUGCAAAUAGACUUGGCAUUUACCAAAAUGCAUAAAACUCCAAAAAAAACCCCUCCAAUCGUUAUGCAUUUGGACUUUGCAUUUUACAUAGCUAUGCAUUUGGAGGGGGAAACUUGGCAUAUAUGCCAAAGAAGUCCGGCUAUGCAAAUAGAGAUCACGGGAUUCUCGGUUCCACCUCGCGGGCUUUUUUCUUCCCUUCGCGCGGUUUCCCUUCACGCCGCCACCACUUCGCGCGAUAGGAGAAGCAUCGCGAGUCCUCCUUCGCCAGCUUCGCGCGCGCGUUUGGACGAAGCAGCGCACAAUAGGACGACGCAGCGCGCGAUAGAACGAAUCUACGACGCAACGGCUUGACUGAUGGCGGCGACCUGCCUUGACGACGAACUGAUGUCUGAUGGCGGUGACCGGAAACUGAUGGGGAACAGGACCUGAUGGAGAUCGAGCCAAGGGGCGAACCUGUACGACGACGAACUGAUGGCCAACAGACGACGAACUGGUACGGUGAACGGGAACUAACAGAACGGGAGAUCGGUACUGCGAACGAGAACGACGAACUGCGCAGCUCACGAUCGGUACUGUGCGGCUGUUUGGCGCGGGAAUUGGUGAACGGGAGACGACGGCGGGCUGUUUGGCGCGGGAUCGAUUAGCCGUGCGGGAAGGAGUGCCGCGAAACAAAAUUUCCUGGAAAAAAAGAUGAUGGACUUGGCAUUUUGCAUAACGGUUGGAGAUCACCCGAUUUUAGCCUUGCCAUUUUCAUUUGUGGGUUUGCAAUUUGCCUAAAAUGCAUAACUUCAAAUGCAUAAUGGUUGGAGAUGCUCUUACAUUUCUGACGGUGAUGAAACAUCAUUCAAGCAUGUUGUAGUUCGAGUGUACAAAAAUAAGUUCAGCAUAGUUCCUUUUUUGUUGAACACACAGGAGAGACGUGUAUCAUUAGAUUAAAGACGAAGAGGGAAAGAGCAUCUUUUCCCUCCUUGCAACUUUGUUUUUUAUGAAUUAUAAUGUUAAUGAUAUAUUUUAGAUGCAGGAUAUUCAGUUAGUUUGAGAAUUGAUGUAUUUGUCUCUUAUGGCAGCAAGCAGAUAGACGUUGAGUCUGUUUCAUCAUGGUGUGGAUGGCACACUGAUCAUGGAUCUCUAACAGGUGACUCAUUUUAGCACUAUGGUUGAAUGAAAUAUUUAAUUAGUUUUGUGGAGUAAUAUGUAGAAAAGAUGAUUAUGAGUUAUCAUCAAACAAGGGGCAUUUCUUAUAGUUAAUGUGCGGUAAUCUGAUUAAUGAAGGUCUCACAUGUGGCUUGUUUACGAAGAAUUCUGUGGAGGUACCAUGUCCAGAUAGUGCAGCUGGACUAUACAUUCGGACUCGUGAUAACCAAGUUGUUAAGGUAACUUCCUGCAAACUUUGAACUUCUCACCGAUUUCUUUAGAUGAGAGUUCUCUAUCAGUCAUAGAAAAUAAAUCAUGUUGGAGAUCAUCGCUAUUGUAGCACAUGAUUCAUGCUGCACUGAAACUUUUGAUGCCCUUGACACCAUAACAGCUCAUUGUCAUUAAAACUUGCAUGUAUAUACUGUUUUGUGCUGAUUUUGUUUGUUGGGAUGGCAUAGGUUGUGUUUGAUGAGGAUCAGCUGGCUUACCAAAUUGGGGAAACUACUGAAAUACUGUCAAGAGGGUAUCUGUGUGCAACGCCACACUGUGUGCAGGUAUUGUUGAAACCAAAAUUCAUCUCGAUAACUAAGCAUGGGUUUUUCGCAUACAUUUUACUGUACUUUUGCGGUAAGCCGGUAACUAAUGUCCUAGGGUUUUUUUAUGCUAUUGUUUCUAGGCACCCAACAGUGAAAAUGCUUCAAAUGUUGACCGCUCUACUUUUGCCUUGUUCAUGCAACCAGAUUGGUACAUCUAAGCUUUCUUCUUCUUAUCGUAUAUAUAAGUCACAUUAGCCCACUUUUGCUUUCCUUUCGUUACCAAAUAAUUUGUUGGCCUUAUUGUAUUGAGUAUGUUAUUUCCAUCUGGGAACUAAUGAGGCUAGCUGGUCCGUUCUGCAAAUAUUGCUGAUUAUGGGCUUUCAAAUUCACUAUUUUGUUCUCUUGAACCGUUUGGCAGGAAUGAGAAGCUUAAGUUUCCGAGCGAAAUCCCCUAUCACCAAGAGGUUUGUGUGAACUCUACGCAUACUCUUUGCAUUUGGAACUCGUAACUCCCUCCUCUCAAAUGAUUCAGUUUGUGUUUUGACCUUGACCAGUUGAUUCCACCAAACGGAACGCUGACUUUCGGGGAAUACUCUGAAAGGCUAGUAAACAAGUAUUACCAGACAACAACGUAGAGCAUACCUCAAGAAAAGCUACCGUUGUACAUACAUUGGUGUCAUCAAGCGUGUUCUUGUGUAUUCAUAUUAGCUCUGAUCCAAACUUUCUGUACAAAUAGUCGAUCAGCGAAUACCAGAACAGACUGCAGAAUAAGAUCAACUGUAUCACCCACAGCUUACAAUAAUGUACCACCAGUUUAAACUCGCUCCGUGUCCGUGAUAUCUGAUGUUACUUGGAUUUAUCUUCUUUCUUUAACGAUGAUUUUGCGUUUAUUAGGACGACUACGAAGUGAAUGGUUAGAUGGUUAAUCUAAUAUACAUCCUGCACAAAAAUCGUUUGCUGGAGACCUGGCGGACUGGAGUUGACAGAGGUUCCUAGCUUCCUGCACAUUCCAAACAAUCAGGCGGGGCAGCACGAUUCGCCAUAUAUGCCAUGCAGUAGCUGCGGCUUUAAUGUUGGUCAGAUUCCGCAGCAUCACCCAUCACUUACAAUUACUGCCCCGUCUAGAAGGUCGUUAAACACAAGAAACAAAAGAACAACCAAGCUGUUAGUGUUUUAAUGGGAGAAACUUUUAGCAAGAUUUUGAACAGCGUGACAAAGAAACAUGCUUUCAUGUAGCUGCACAUCGAUGGAACAAAAGAAUGCAUGGUAACAAAAACACAAUAUAUGAACUUGUUCGUGAUACAAGAGUACAGCAGCCAGGUGUCCCCUAGAUCCUCAAGCACAAGGAACAAAAGCACAACCAAAAGACACCGUACAGCUGCGGUGAUCUAUAAAAUGACCUGACCUAGAACAGGAAAAAUCAGCUAUAUAUGCCCCAGAAUAGGAGAGAGAAUCGCCAGACAAGGGGUAAAGAACAUGUAAGAACAGAUAUCUUGGCCAUCAGGACUAUUUGGACCACGCAACUGCAUCGAUUUCUGAUUGGGCACUCCGGUACAGCUCCAGCCUCUUUGCAAGGUUUGUUCUCCGUUCCAUGACUGCUGGGUCUUCAUCGAGAAGUUUGGAAAGUUGCUUCAUCUGCAUAACAAAUGGUAGAAUUAUAAGAUAUGACAGUUCCAUUAGACCUCAUUAGGCAUUUCCUUCAACAAUGGGUUGACGGCUUCCGGUGCUUGCAGCAUUGAAAUAUUUAAAUAUUGGAUGUGGUGAAGACUAUAAGCACACAAGCAAGGACCAACAAGGAAGCUACAAUAUGUUGAAUGAACAAAUAGGUGAACACUGCAAUAUAAUGAAAUUAUGAUAGUAUGGUAAUGCAAAAACAUGACCAAGAAUUCCUUCCAAAUGAUGACAAAUCUCACCUCUCUUGCUCCCAGUUCAGUGAAGAAGUGAUCGAGCAGCGAGCGCUUGGCCUCUCGCACUUGGCAAUAAACGAUAGAUUUUGGGAUGGAGUUCCUCAAGGUCGAACACACCAUAUUAACAUAUGACAGAACAGUUUGUCCUGUUGAAUGUUUAGUACAGUGAGAAGUUAAGCAGUAAAUAGCUACAUAAUAGACUAUUGAGCAAAAAUACAGAAAUCAUAUAGGUCUUACCAAUUCGUCUAAGAUAAGAGUCAUUAUAUCUAUCAAAAAUAGAGUGGCUUGGAUUUCCACCCUUCUCAACAUCCUGAGGAAGCUUCCUGAAGAAAUCUACUGUCAAGUAGCUGCAUUCCAUGUCAACUAGCUUUAAUGUAUUUUUCUUGCUUUCAUCCCUCAUUCUAUCCAAUGACUCAAAAGCCGCAUUGCCUACUUCCACACGAAGGGUGGGAAACUGCUUCAGCUCCUGCAGAAAGGUAAUCAAACAGAUUAGGUGAGUCGACAGUUUGUCGGGUGGGGUGUGGGGGGAGGGAUUUGCAUGGUAGUAUGAAAGCGGAAAACUUACAUGUGUUUCAUUGAUAGCCUUGCGGACAAGGUCCUUCAGAAUUGCAUGGACCUGCCAAUGUGACAUGCCAAUACAUAAUAAGCAACUACAUGGAUAGAGUACACAAAUGCCAAGUAAUUAAUAAUAAUGACGAAGAAACCAUGCAAUAUAACUUUGCUCUAUGAUUACAAAUCAAGGGUCUCAUGCCAAUAAUUUGGUCCAAUGUUUGAUCCAUGAAUGAACAUAACGUUUUAAAAGAGGCUAGCUGAGGUCAUAGUGCAUAUUCAUGCAAAGAAUGAUCUCCACAAAAUCCUCAUUUGGUGUAUAACAUGUCAUAUAUGACUAAUCAGUGCUCAUCUAUGAGUGAAAUGCACCUAUUUAAUGAAUGCAUAGUUCAGCAAAUUGUUUGAUAUGUUGUGAGGGUAAAUUCAGCCUAAUAACACAACAGCCCUUCUUUAUUCUCAAAUGUAUUGGCACCUCAGUAUAAAAUAAAUAUAAAUGCACGCAGCAACACCCCACAACCCAACAAAAUCAUACAGGAUAACAGAAUGUGCCGGCUUAAUAAACUGCUUGAAAUAAUGGGCAAAACUAUCAAGUAAUAGGCCCAGCUGAUUCAGCAGCGCAGCAACAUCGAAAGUUCUGGCACAGUUCCAAGUGACAAAAAAAAUUAAGGUCUUGGAGAUCAUGAUGAAUUUUGAAGGGGCAUGUUCAUAGGUAUAAUUGGCAUACCGCAUCAACAGCUGCCUCAGCAGGACCUCUGAUACUAAUAAGACAAGAUUCUAUAAGGCGUCGAUAUCCUUGUUCUGGAGCUAUCAAGUGAGGCUGGUAUCCAUCAGCUUCUGUUAUAAGCUUCCUCACAUUUUCCAUAGAGAGUUGUUUAUCAAAUUGCAAUCGUUUAAUAGCAACAGGAAAUUGAUUGUCGAAGACAUGGUAAACUUUCUCUCCACCAGGACGCCUGGACAGCAGAAAACACUGGGUUAAAAUUCAUAAAACAAGCCACAUGCAUACCUCUGCUACAAGUUGAACCCAUUAGAAAUUGCACAGAAUAGCAGAAAAAUGGUUUUGUUAUUCAUUUAACACUCUUUACAAGGUUCUUCUGGACAAGACAUCAGUACUUUCAAUAUUACAAUGUGACUAAAAAUAAAGAGGGUCAACACGAAUGAUUCGUUGACAAGCAACAAAAAUGUAUGAGCCCCUGAAUAGCGUUUAAUUUUUACACCAGGGGUCGUGUCUCCCCCUGCUCAAAUUUUCAAAAGAUCUAUAGGAUUAGUUUCUGUUUAUUGAGAUUCCUAGCUUUGUGAGCCCUUUCAUGGUACAAGUUAUACUGUGACAAAACUGACUAAAAAUAGGAUAAAUGUUACUAUGGUUUGAGGAUAUUUACAGGAAUCUAAAAAGGUCAUCGAAUCAUGAUCUACAAAGGUGUAGGCAUGGCAAAUAAAACUCUGAGAAAGUGACUAUGAAAAAUAUUGUUUGGAACAUACACUCCAUCCAGAUGCUCUUUGUAGAUACUGUCAAACAUACGACAUAUUUCCAUGAUUGUGUACAGCUUCCCCUGCAUUUACCAAUAAAAUGUGGUCAACUAAUUGAAGGUUAGUAGUAACACUACGCUGCAUGUAGAAUUUAUUCAGGGAAAGGCAGGUGAGAGUGAGACAUGGCAAACCCUGAUACUAUGACAGAAUAUAAUUAUACAUGCUAGUACCAAAAAAACAAGUAUCAACCACACACGGCUAGUUCGAGAAAGGGGACGCAUCACAAGUCAAAUAUUACUUGUAAGAGAAUCAAGUCAUUGAGCAGGUUGAUCAAUAGAAAUACGCAGGAAUUGAAGGGCAUAUUUAGUUAUGCUAGCAGAUAACACCGCCAAAUAAACGCUGAUGAGGACCGUAUGAAAAACAAUAUGCACACAACAUUGAACUGCUAGUAGCAAAAUUGUGGGCUGUCUUACCCCAGCAUCAUUAGCAAUGGGUUUUCCAAGUCGAUUAAGUUCAGUUUCCAGCUCUGCAAUUGUCUUUGUUAUAAGAGAUUGGAGCCCUGGGAUCCUUGAUUUGAUCACUUGUUCCAGAUGCUGCAUAAACACCAAAGGUUAGUCAAAGAGUCAAACUGGCAUUACCUGCAUCUACAUUGAAGAGAUAAGGCAUACCUUUGAAAGCAUCUUUCCUAAAUAUUCAGAUCCCAUCCUAGAAGCCAUGUGCUUAUAUUCUGGUGUAGUUGCAAAAUACUCUCGCUCUCUACGCCUAGCAGCAAUCAUGUCCACAUUCUUGUUGAUAUCUUGUUGGGAUCGAUUAACAACACCAACCCACGGUGUUUGGAGACGGUAAGCUCUUCCUUCCAGUAUCUGCAGGGAAAAAAUUUAAUACAAAAUCAAAUUGAAGCAAUUAUUCAGAUAACCUUUGUUGAUACAAUUGAUGCCCCAUAUAUUUGAUCCUUAUGUUCUCUUUAUGUUUAUUUAGAACUAUGAGCCCAACCUAGAGAUUUGUUGCUAAGGCAAAAUACAGUACAGAUUAUAGAAAACAAACAUCGACAACAGUUAGUUGCUUGGUUGGUCUAAAGAUUACCAAUGAAGUUAAGGAACAUCUAAGCAAAGACUUUUCUAGUAAGCUAAUGCUACAGUAAGCUAUUAAGUAUCUAGCAAAUGCUUUAAAAUCAUACAGACUUACAUCAACAGCAUCGGUACCCUUGUCCAUCAGAUCAAUUUUUGUAAGCACACCAAAGGUCCUUUCACCUGAAUCAACAACCGUCCACUUAUAUAAAACAUGUACAUGACUUAAGAUAAACAAUGUACCAAAAUUACACGAAUGCAGUAAAAGUAAAUCUUUCAUCAACAAAAUUAACUUGAGAACAAUAGCAGCAAUUGUCCAAGUACUGUAAAUUAACUUUCAACAGAGAUGGACAAAUCGACAUUGGUGUAUGAAAAUCACAAGACUGUCAGCCCAUAGCAAUUUUCAUCAUAUCAAUAUAACUCAGGAUAAUAUAUCAUUGUGAAGGAUCCUGGCAUGCCAAAAGUUAAAGCAUAUAUAACAAUAAUCGUUAAAGACAUGUAUAGUCUUAUACUGUAUAUAUGAUGAGCAUGGUUUAGGAAGAUAUGGAGGAUCAAAGCCAACCAUAAAUGGAAUCCUAUGGAUGAAAUGUGAUUUUGAUUACCUUCCUAAAAUAGAACCUUAUACUCAAUAGGCAUUAGGAACAAUUCGACAGUGUUUGCGGCACUGUUUCCAUUUUAUGUAUGCUUCCUGGUUUUAAAACUAAUUUUCCUAUUUUUGAUAAAUUAACCGAAGUGUGUUGUGUGCGGACAUUGACUAGUAUAAGAAAGUAUGUGCUGCUAACCACAUUGUAUAUAAUCUUUCCUUGAACUGACAAAAGAGGCAUACCUUUGGGAUCAACUUCCCGUGAAAUCUUGAUUGCAUCAGAAGUAGCAAGGUCCUGAUUGGCUGGGGAAACAGCCAGAAUGAUACAAUUUGGCUGAGAAAAGCAAACAAAAAAAUGCUAGUUAUAUAAAUUUUUGCAAUACAUAGAACAUAAGUCAAUAGCUCAAAGAUGCUAUAAUAUGACUAGGAAGAAAAGCAUGCAAAUCUAGAUAAAGGGUGAAGAAGUGAUUGCCAGUGUGGAAUGAUAAGCACAAAUGGCCAUCUUACCCAGUUAAAUUAAGCAUGGUCAGCAAUGAAAUGCCAACAUAUAAAAUGAAGGCAGUUGCAGUUAACCAUACCUUUUCAAUAUAUGAGCGAACCAUGUUUUCAAUGUCCUGAACAAUACUUUCCGGUUGGCCCUCUGCCAAAAGUAAAGACAAUUGCAAAUUAAGACAAGAACAUCUAAAUAAAGAACAACAAAAAAAUAAUUGAUAAUCACUUACCAACUGCUACUUUAGUAAGCCCAGGAAGAUCAAUAAGAGUAAGAUUCACAACUGCAAGAAUGUAAAAUUUUCAGACACAACAAAAAAAAUAAGGGGCAUGGAACUAUAUCAGAUAAACCACAUAACACGAUCCAAAUACGUUAUAGCUGUCCAACUUAUGACAGACUCGACAAGCUAAACGAAAACCAUAAACCCUUUACAACAAACAAUCUCUAGAAAGCGAACAGUUGAGAUGUGAUAAUGCUACAGUAACAAUAUACCCUGCUAGUGUUUGCAUCGUACCAUGUGGAGAAAAUAUGCUUAAAUGGAUAGGGACAGUCGAUAUUUGCUUUGAACGUCCUGUUUCUCUGUCAGUUUCAUCAGCUAUCUCCUUCCUCACAGCAGCUGCAACAAUACAACUAUAAUUAUAUACCAAGUACCACUUGGAUAAACUGAACUUACAGUUUAUAAAAAUAAGUCUGGUUUAGCAUUGAAGACCAUUUCCCACAAAACAAGUGCGAGUUUUUGUUCAUGUUUAAGGAAAAAAUACAGCAAACCAGAAGCUAAUAUGAUAGCAUGAUUAUUAUAUAAUAUAAUAUCAAAAAAGGAAAUUCCAAUGAGCAUUACAAAAUUCAACUAUAGAGCAGUCCUCAACCAUAAGUGUCAAUACAAUUGGAUAUAAUCAUAUCCCAUCAGUCAUGAAUCAUGCAACACCAAAGGAAAAAGGAGCAGAUGAAUUACCAAAAUCUGUAAAUCUCUUUCUCGGAAGGUGCAUAAACUCAGCAUAUUCCCUGUCGCCAUCAAUUCUGUGGAGCUGCAGCACCAGCGGCCGCCGGGUUACAAUGCCUGCAGAUACCAUUCCAACCAAAAUACUAACAUAUCAGAACACCUAAUAAACUAAAAGAUAGCACUGGACUUCACAGCAAAUACUUCUUACUACAACAGUACCUGAACCCCUCGGUAGGAAAUCCUUCCCAACCACGCUCUCCAACACAGAGGAUUUACCAGAGCUCUGUCAACAAAAUUCAAACGUCAAACUGCGGCAUUAUUUGAAUUAUGCAUGUAGAAAUCCAAACGUCAUGAAAGCACGAAUCAGUUUGAGGAAUAGCAUCGAACUACGAUUUUCAUCACGGAAACAUCACAUGAACAUAAUCGCAUCCCUACUUGAUCUCAUUAAUGACUAGCUUCCCAACCCUUUGGAAGUCGAAAACUCAGCAAUUAAGCAAUCACGCGGGCAGUUGGGCGCAUCAAAACUGCUCCAGAUUCAAACAUGUAAGCGACCCAAAUCUAGCUUCCUGCACUGCGAGUGAUUGCAGAUCCAAGCAAAGCCAAGCCGCAUCGACAACUAACCCUCGCGGUUCCACCAGCAACCCGCGAGAUCCACACCCACGAAGCAACUGGGUCGACAGCACCAGAUCCGACCAGAACCAACACAAAAAAAGCGUGCCAGGGAAGGGAAGACGGGCACCUGUCCUCCAACGACGGCGAUGGCCGGCAGCGAAUCCCAGAGCGUCGGGAGGGCGCUCUCCUCUCCGUGGUCUCCGAGAGCCGUGCAUGCCCUCUGCAGCUUGUUGACGAGGGUGAUCAAGUUAUCCAUGGCCGCAGCGCAGGGUGGGCGAGAUCUGAGCGGGUCGAGCAACGCGGCGGGGGAGGGGAGAGAUCGAGACGCGGAGCAGGAAGAAGGGAGGCGCGGAGGGGAGACGAGGUGAGACCGACCGCCCAGCCGCGUCUAGGCGUCGGUCGUUGGGCUCGAGCUGUGGCCUGGUGGAGAUGUGCAGGGAAGCGAUGCUGUUUGGAGGCGUGAUUUGGGUUUUGAAAGGCUUCGUGGAGAAGAAAUGAGCGUGGCGUCUGGCGUGCCGGCGUGAUGGGCUGCCAGCUGAUCUAUCUCUAUGUUAGGGAGGGAUUGGCCUCUUUGGUAAAGUUUCUGUAAAUUUGAUUUCCUGAAUUUAGUUUGAAGAUGUGUUUGUAACGACCUAAAAAUCGUCAUCACGUGGAGCACCGAAUUAGCUGUCAAGUUUGGACAAACUUUGUCCUAAAAUAUAUACAGUAAGAAUACAUUGCUAGAAGAAUCCAACCAUCAAGCUCUAAGCUGGUAAAAUCAAUAAAAUUUUGUCAAAAUAUAGUACUAUGACAAUUUUGAAUGUCUUCUCUCAAAUAACCGAGAGAUUUAUGUAUCAUUAUAUUGAAACAAUUAGUGCAAAUUACAUAUCAUAACCUGUAUGACCGUAGUCUUCAUCUUGCGUUAGAGAACAUAAGUAUGCUCACUUUUUUAAAAUUGUAAGUAGUUUUUAUUUUGUCCUGCGUCAAAACUUUGGUCAAGUUUAUAGAAGACUAUAUUGACAUCUACAAUAUCAGAUAUAUUUCUAUAUUCCAAGGUGUAUCUAGUAAAUCUUGUUAGAUGUUCUAAUGUUUGUGAAUUUUUAUAAACUUAAUUUGUGUUAAUUCUUUUACAUAAAGUGCUCAAAGCUCGAUAAAAUUAAAUUAGAAUAAAUUCAAAACAAUUACAACUUGAUCAAUGAUGCUACAAUAAAUUGGACUGUUAAUUUCCAUUUUUCUAUUAUUACUAUAUCCUCUCAACCCUAAUUUAACAUACUUCACUGAUCUUGUCUCAAGAUAUCCUUGAGCUCCUGAUCGUUCAAAACAGGAUAUCCUUGAGUUCCAAAUUGCCUUAACCAUGUUAAAUUGUAGGUGAAAACUAUUGUUUGCAAAAAAAAAUAGCAUAGUACUUACUUUGCAUAAUAAGGCGACAUCUGAAUAUCCAUAGUAUGUGGUAUUAUCUAGCGUGAGGUGGAUUAUAAGAUUUUAAGACUUUGGGCUGUACGAUUUUGAGAAUACGCCUCGUUCUCCCCCUUUGCUUGAAUGUGGUGAAUAUUAUUUUUAUUACAAUCUCAUACACUUGAACUUGAACCCAUCCAAAUAUUUGAACCCAAAUCGUGUCGCUGGAAACGUCACGGUUGCAUUUAUCUUCUUCUUCUUUUUGGAAAUUGUCACGGUUGCAUAUCGUACUGGAAAAGUGGAAAACACAGUAAUAGCAAAGUGACAGUGUAUAUACGAGUAUAUGAGUAGAAUGGUCCACCGACACGACCAGCUGCGUAGCUGCGGCGGCGGUGCCCAGAAAUGCACUCCGAAAGAGCCGGAUGUGAAGGAGCACCGCGCGACCCGGACGGUUUGCUCGCACCGUUUGCCUUGCUGGUACGCGUGCGGUUGGGGACUCUGGUGGUGGUGGGUGGUCACCGUCGAGGAGGACGGAGCCCGGGAGCCCGCGGCGGGCCGACCGGCCGUGGGGUCGCUCGCUCCCUGGACCCUGCCUGGUCCCCAUCCAACCGCUGCUCCACCACCUCCGGUCCGCGUUCAAAAUUUGAAAACUGGCUUCGCUUCUUCCUAGCCGUUUGAUGGGCGAUCGAUCCGUGGCAGUGGCCCAUGGUAGCUUCCCAAGCGUACGAGCAGCUUUUAGGCCUUGUUUAGUUUCCAAAAUUUUUGUAAAAUUUUUCAGAUUCUCCAUCACAUCGAAUCUUUAGACGUAUGCGUGGAGUAUUAAAUAUAGAUAAAAAUAAAAACUAAUUACACAGUUUGGUCGAAAUUGACGAGACGAAUCUUUUGAGCCUAGUUAGUCUAUGAUUGGACAAUAUUUAUCACAUACAAACGAAAGAGAUACUGUAGCAAUUUUGCAAAAAAUUUAGGAAGUAAACAAGGCCUUAACCUUUUGUUCCCUUGAAGCGUAGUUACGCUCUGGCUCGUUCCACGUGCCGAGUCAGGCUGUCACGGGGAGCCCGUGCCACGAGGCCUCAUUCUGUUCUGUUUUUUUUUUUUUUUUUUGAGGGGACUCAGUCUGUUCUGUUGUGUACUCUUACGUGCAGACUGCAGAGAGAGAGAGAGAGAGAGAGAGAGAGAGAGAGAGAGGCACACUGUUGUGCAGCCUUGAUUUUGGACUGUAUUGCAUCUGGCCCGUUUAGGUAUGUCGGGCCUAUUCUCACGUAGUAUAGUGCUCACUUUUGGAAAUGUUGGGCCAGUAUCGAGAGCAAGCCAGAUGGGCCUGAUAUUGAGCCCAGACCUCCUGGCUGGGGACAAAAUUCUUCACUCUUCUUCAACUAGGCCCGGUUCAUUCAACAUCCUCAUUCCUCAACUAGGCCCAAGGGCUUUGGAUUGUCGCCAUCGCCAACUUGCCAUGUCCGCUAUGGUACGAGUAUUGAACUGCGACGCAACUGUUGACACCAAAGGUGUGACAACGCCUCCCGUGUCCUGAAUCUACGGACGCAGGAUUUUUCAAAAUAAUCCAUUCUGAGACGGCACUCGACAAGAGGACAAUGCUCCAGAAUUAAUGCGGACCGGCAGCCGGCGAGCUUUCCAGCUUUGAAGGAGGAAAACGGCAAGAAAAGCAUUGCAUUUUUCCAGUUUCAAGUCCUACUGCCCACUGCCACAACUUGGGCGCCAGUCCACACCAUCAAGUAGCCAACGAUUAAUCCUCUAUGCCUAAAUAGGAGAUCCCCACUACCAUAUUUUCCUGCAUUCUCAUGCAGCCACGUCACCCUUGGUCAGUUACCAAGAGUUUCUACUGCACUCUGACUAUCCAUUUCCCCCAAGACGAUCUCCACUAAAAAUCUGAAACGAAAUCCAUUUCCCCCACAUAUGCCAAUCUCCACUAAAUCUCUAAACUGCCUUCAUUAAUCAACUACUAGAUCGUUUCCUUUUCCUUCCCCAUCAAUGCAUUAUUUGUUUGGAUUCUAUUUUGCUGGCUUCCUAUAUAAAAAGCCCAACAAUAGGUCACGGCAAACCCAUAUACACAGCCAAGCUGUGGCUGGUUGGCUGCAAUGUUUUUUUAUCAUCUCAGUCCUCUUUUUAUCUAUCCUUUUGUUUAUCCUCUUUUGAUCUAUCCUUUUGUUUUGAUUCUUGUGUUCCUAUUUUAGAUAUUCAUUGUUUACUCUUUACGGAUAUAUUUACGUGCUUUCAUGUGUUGACGAUUUUUUCCUUCUUGCUUUUGAUUUUUGCCGGCAACCAGCUGAGGUGUGUAGAUUUAGUGGAUCAAAUCGCUUUAGGAUGAUCACUCAAAUGAGUUGCUGGAGUGAUUGGCAUAUGGCCGUCAAUCCAUCUGCAAGAAUGUGUCGUUGUUUCUACGUUCGCAACAUAUACAUCCUUUCUCUUUAUGGUUAUUACCGUGCACGUUAUUUAUCUUCUCCUCUUUACAGUUUACCUAUGUGGAUUCAUCACGUCAGUGAUAUGAAGCGACAUGGUGAGAUCCCACCUGGUGUCAACAACCUCUUAUACUUCCCUUGGUCUUCGUUUGUUAAAAUUGAUCAAAAAAACAUGGAAGCAGUUGAUUUGAUUUACUCAUAUCAUUAUUAUUAGCAGUGAAUGAAGAAAUUUCGUAUGGCAUACACACAUACAAACAAUGUGAAAUUAUAACAGAGUGCUGACCAUACAUAGAAGAAAAUAGAUCUCCUCAAAGAUGUACCAUGAAAGAUUUGUUUGCACAUGGCUUUAUGAACACAUAUUUACGAAAUAGUAAUUUGAAGUUUAUGACAUUUUACUAUUUAUUUCGUUUAUCCAGUGCUACUUAAAAACUUAUCCAAAUUAUCACAUCAACUUCGUAAAAUGCAUUCUGACACAUAGAUGAGUCUGAUAAAAAUAAUAAAAUGAUUUCACUACAAAUUUCCGCAGCAACGCGCGGGGUAUCAUCUAGUUAAUCCAGUGGUCAGGUCAGUCCGUCAGUGGCUAGCUGGUCCAACGGCCCUCUCCAACACCACAUGUAGGCCUUGUUUAGUCGUGAAAUUUUUUUAGAUUUAGCUACUGUAACAUUUUUGUUUUUAUUUAAUAAAUAUUAUUUAGUUAUAGAGUAAAGCUUAAAAGAUUCGUCUUACGAUUUACAGACAAACUCCAUACAUGCGCCAUAAGAUUUGAUGUGACGGAGAAUCUUAAAAAGUUUUUGGUUUUUGGUGACCAAAAUAACAAUAACUAAAAAAGACCUCCAGACAUAAAUGACGGCUGGUAGCAAACAAACAAAUAACAUAUCUUUUUGACCAUAUAAAAAUCAGAGAAUGGAGACAAAGAGGAAAUCAUAAUAAUAACAAUUGAAAAGAGUAAUAGAUAUACCAUGAUACACGUAUAUAUAAUAGCUAUUAUUCUGUUGCACUACUUCAGCAGUACUUUUCAGCAAAUGAAUAGUGUUGUUGUCUCGCAAAAAGAAAAGAAAAACAUUUUUCUCAUAAUAUUUUAGUAUAAGCUAAAUUUUAGCAAAACAUAUAGGGAUUCUGCAGCUAAAUUUUAAGCAUUAUAUUCUAAAAUGAGAACUUCUUGUUCUUGGAUGAAAUCUCUAUUUCUUUAUUUUCGUCGCACAUGAUGUCUAUCCACGAUCAUUUCUAUGCUACUCUCCUUACUCCUCUCCUUGCUAAAUGCAGUCGUUGAGAGGCGUGUGAGCGUGUCGCUCGCCAUCUCAUGUUUCGCUAUCGCUAGUGCACUCGCUACAUAGGCACAUUCUGUUACGGCACCUGGCCUUGCUGCGGAGGAAGUAGGGAGAAGAGAUGGGUGAGUGUUGGCGUGGGGGUUUGCGGUGAGCUGAAGCCGUGAUCUACUAUUUGCGGCACACGGAGGGGACGAGAAACUGGAGCUCGCCCAAUGGAGAUAAGAAUAUCUCAAUCAGCAGGCCGACCCUCUAUUAUUCCAUAUGGUUAGUCUUUAUAGGCAUUACAAGACCUGCCAAUAAUAUGGCUAUCUGACUCCACAAGUUCUGGACUCCUAAAAUAACUCCUAACCAACCAAUCUAACUUAACUUAGACUAUAACUCUUUUUGCGAACCGACUCUGUAGACACAGCGCAUGCAUGUGUGCCUAGAAUUAGGACUCCCAGCCAUGACCUGUCCGCAUGCUGGGAUUAGCCACGCUGCCUACAAUGAUAAUCUUACCGACCAUAACACAUUUACUCUCGAAAAUAUAAACAUCAAAAGUACGCAGAAGUUCAAAAAUGGAGUAGCGAUGAAAAUAGAAAAUUCACAUGUAGGGUGAACUAAAAUACUCAUAGCCAGGCGUAAAAAACUUAUAGCUCUCUUUGAAAAGGAAACUAGAGUCAAUGUGAAAAAGAUAUUAUACUCUCUUUGCAAAAAAAAUGCAAUUCUGUAUUUUUUUUUCAUAUUAGGCGGUUAUGUGUGACCAAAUUGAUAAAAAUACUGAUAUUUAUGAUACUAAAUAAAUAUAUUAGAUUACUAAUUGUGUAAUGUGUUUUAAAGGUUAAAAUGUUUAGAAACAUAAAAUUCGUCACUAACACGCAACCACGGGCAAAAAAAAAUCUUCGCACAUGUACAAGUAGAGAAGAAGUGUUUAGGCCUUGUUUAGUUCCGAAAAAUUUUAGGAAAUUGACACUGUAGCACUUUCGUUUGUAUUUGACAAAUAUUGUUUAAUUAUAGACUAACUAGGCUUAAAAGAUUCGUCUCGUCAAUUUCGACCAAACUGUACAAUUAGUUUUUAUUUUCGUUUAUAUUUAAUACUCCAUACAUAUGUUUAAAGAUUCGAUGUGACGGGGAAUGUGAAAAGUUUUGUAAAAUUUUCUAGGAACUAAACAAGGCGUUACUCAAACUCCAAAAAAAUUUUGGAUGCCUUGUUACCACUCGAUGGGGAGUCGACGAGUCUAGUCAAAUGAACCAAUCACGUUCCAUUGUCAAGUGAUCUUUUUUUAAAAAAACUUCGAACGAACCACAACCACCAGUGAUCAUGGUGACGACUCAUCACGGCACGCAAACUGGGCCUUGUUUAGUUCCGAAAACUAAAAAAUUUUCGGAAAUGUAGCAAUUUCGUUUGUUUGUGGUAAAUAUUAUCUAAUUAUAAACUAACUAGAGUCAAAAGAUUCGUCUCGUGAUUUAUAGUCAAACUGUGUGAUUAGUUUUUAUUUUCAUCUAUAUUUAAUGCUUCAUGUAUGUGCCGCAAGAUUCGAUAUGACAAGGAAUCUUGAAAACUUUUUGGAUUUCGGGAUGAACUAAACAAGCCCCUGGUUUGUUUUCCCACGCCAAUAACGAGAUUCUCUCAUGUCAAAAAAAAACGAGAUUCUCUGGAGUUGAGCCUUGUUUAGUUCACCCCGAAAUCCGAAAAAGUUUUCAAGAUUUUCUGUCAUAUCGAAUCUUUUGGCAUAUGCAUGAAACAUUAAAUAUAGAUAAAAACAAAAACUAAUCACACAGUUUGACUGUAAAUCGUGAGACGAAUCUUUUAACUCUAGUUAGUCUAUGAUUAGACAAUAUUUAUCACAAACAAACGAAAAGGAAAGUGCUACAGUAGUGAAAUCCAAAAAAUUUUCACAUCUAAACAAGACCUUGGUCUCUCUGCAGUUGGGGUCAGUAGCAGGUGGGCUUGCCAAACGGACGCCGACGGCGGAUGAGCCCGCCCAACGCCGCAAGCCGAGCACCUGUUCAAAGCACAGCAGCCAACCCGCCGGGCGCGCGAGCUCGCGGUGCGUUUCCUGCAUAAUAAAACCCGCCUCGCCCGGGCCGGAGGCCGGCACAAGUGGUGGGUCAACUCGCAACCGCAGACCAGAGCGCGGGGCCGCCUCCCCGGAGUCCGGAAGCGCCCAGACGCCGCCGUCGCUGUCGCCACCGCGCGCGGCUCGCCCGCGUCCACAAAAGCCGCCAGCGCCCGUGCGCCGAUGGAUCCUGCCGCGACGGCGGAUCCCGGCAGCUCUAGCUCCUCCACGCCCACGCUGCGGAAGCGGAGGAUCUCUGUAGACACGUCGCGAGAGACCGCGCCCAGGCCAGAGCCGGAGGAGGAGGGCUCGAUGGCGGCGUCCGCACCGGCUGCGGCGGCGGCGGCGGCGAGGAGGAGGGACCUGGAGGCGGCGGGCGAGCCGAUGAGCCCCGCGGGGCGGCUGUUCCGGGAGAAGCACUUCAACUGCUACAUCGUGGCCGUGAUCGGUCUGGGCACGGCGGUGGACGUCGCGGCGGCGCGCGCGGGGAUGGAGGCCACGCUCGUCCGCCACCCACGCUUCUCCAGCAUCCAGGUACGCGUUCGCCCUCUCUGAUGCCGAAUUUGGUCUGUUUUUCGUUUGCCUCCGCUCUCGGCUCUCCUACCAACCCGGCCGAUGAGCCGGGAGGGAAAGCGAGAGGACAUGGCCGUUGACCUCAGCCACGACGCUGGCACGCGGGGAUGCGGGCGGGCAUGGUGCACGGGCCACGUCUGCACCACCUUGCGCUCGUGUUUAGGUACUGACACCAGGCAUUUUUCUUUUCUUCCCUGGGGGCAGCUUUUCGAGCAAGAGGCCUUUUUUAGGAUAAAAAAAGGCCGUUUCGAUAGCAAACGGUAAGCGAGCUUCAUGCAUACUAGCAGCCUGUCUGGGACUCCAGGCAAAGAAUGUUUUUUUUUUUCUCUGAUCAGGAUACCGCCAGGCAGGCUCGUCGCAUCUGAUGCUUGAGGUGACUGGUGACAGGCCCCUACUCAAGCCCCAAUAGCUAAAUAUGGGUGCUCAGUCUAAAAACAUUACUCCAGCAGGGUCCCUACUCCAGACCCUAUAUUUGGCUGGGCACCCAUAUUUCUUCCCCAGACUCCAUUCCUGUUGGCCCAACAGGACAGCCCCCAUCCUCCAUCGCGUGUCCUAGCCCCAGCGCAUGCUCCCUCUCUCUCUAACCUUGCAUGUGCAUGACACGCUAGGUAACCGGCUCAAUGCUCUAAUUGUGUCCAUGUCCAAAGGAAGAAGAAAGAGGAAGAAUAAAAAGACUCUGCCGAGUGGGUCCCUUCUGUCAUUCUCUCUGGAUUAGGUUUGGGGUCCAAAUUUGAGUGCUACUGUUGGAGUUGAAGCAAAAAAGUUAAACCCCAAGAAGUAGGGGGAGCACCCAAAUUAAAAAUAGGGGUCUAGUUUUGGAGGCUACUGCUGGAGUUGCUCUAGGCCUUGUUUAGUUCACCUCAAAAAGCAAAAAGUUUUCAAGAUUCCCCGUCACAUCGAAUCUUGGGACACAUGCAUAAAGCAUUAAAUAUAGACGAAAGAAAAAACUAAUUACACAGUUUAGCUGGAAAUCGCGAGACGAAUCUUUUGAUCCUAGUUAGUCCAUAAUUGGAUAAUAUUUGUCAUAAACAAACGAAAGUGCUACAGUACCGAAAUUCGAAAUCUUUUCGGAACUAAACAAGGCCUGAAAUCUACUAGUACUACUGUAGUUGAUGCUGCACAUGUCCUCUUGCCUUUUUUAAGCUACGUUGUUUGUCCUUGGCUUCUGAUAUUUGUCGUGUUUAAGGUCUUGUUGAGUUCACCCUGAAAACCAAAAAGUUUUCAAGAUUCUCCGUCACAUCGAAUUUUAUGUCUAAUGCAUGAAACAUUAAAUAUAAACGAAAAUAAAAACUAAUUACACAGUUUAGCUGUAAAUCACGAGACGAAUCUUUUGAUCCUAGUUAGUCCAUGAUCGGAAAGUGCUACAGUACCGAAAACUUUUCACUUUUCGGAACUAAACAAGGACUAACUUUGUUGGGCAUAGAACCAUAGCUGAGAAAUCUAGACAUCUGCUGAAGAAAUUGAAUUGCACUUAACCAAAAUCUGUUCAUGUCUUGUACGUUUUUAUUAUUUGAGAGCGCACUUUAUAUCCUUGUUUGCCCUAGUUUAGGCAUGUUUAGUUUCCCACUCAAAUUUUUUUCAUCCAUCCCAUCGAAUCUUUGGACACAUGCAUGGAACAUUAAAUGUACAUAAAAAAAUAAACUAAUUACACAGUUUGGUUAAAAAUCACGAGACGAAUCUUUUAAGCCUAAUUACUCCAUGAUUAGCCUUUAGUGCUACAGUAACCCACAUGUGCUAAUGACAGAUUAAUUAUACUUAAUAUAUUUGUCUUACAGUUUCCUGACGAGCUAUGUAAUUUAUUUUUUUAUUAGUUUCUAAAAACCUCUCCCGAUAUCCUUCCGACAUAUCCGAUGUGACAUCAAGAAAAUUUUCAUCUCCAAUCUAAACAUGGCCUUAGCCAAUAUAACGUCGGAAGAUCCUUAUCUCUGCCUCAACAUCCAAAGCCUCAACAUCCAACAAAACUCACAACCAUGGCGCAAAGCAACUUGCACUGUGGUUAUAAAACAAUUGGCUACGAUUUUAGGGAAUGCGAGCAAAUGCUUGUUUUGUUUCCUCUGCGUCCGGAGACAGACUUGAUUUUUAUGCUCUUCUAAAAAUAGACGACUUGGCCUUGUUGAGUUCACCCCAAAAAGCAAAAAGUUUUCAAGAUUUUCCGUCACAUCGAAUCUUGCGGCACAUGCAUGAAGCAUUAAAUAUAUACGAAAACAAAAACUAAUUACACAGUUUAGCUGGAAAUCGCGAGACGAAUCUUUUGAUCCUAGUUAGUCUAUGAUUGGAUAAUAUUUGUCACAAACAAACAAAAGUGCUAUAAUAUCGAAAUCCGAAAUCUUUUCGAAACUAAACAAGCCCGAGAUUGGUUCCCAACAACCUAACAAACUUGGUACAGUGCGAAGGAAUGACUGGAAAGACCGACUGGAUGGUAGUACUGCAUUUCAUCGACGUGUCAGUGGUUAAUGUGAUGUUCUCCAAAUUUCCACUCAGCCCUGGGUCUUGUUUAGUUGCAAAAAAAUUUGUAAAAUGGGUACUGUACCAUUUUCGUUUGUAUUUGAUAAAUAUUGUCCAAUUAUAGAUUAACUAGGCUUAAAAGAUUCGUCUCGUCAAUUCCGAUCAAACUGUGCAAUUAGUUUUUAUUUUCGUCUAUAUUUAAUACUCCAUGCAUGCGUCUAAAGAUUCGAUAUGACGGGGAAUCUGAAAAAUUUUGCAAAAUUUUUUUGGAACUAAACAAGGCCCUGUUAGAAAAGUAUACGAUGUUUACGUGUUCCUGCAAAUUUCACUCGCUCCAAAUUUCCACUCGGUAUCUGAGGCCUUGUUUAGUUGGCAAAAAUUUUUGUUUUUGGCUACUGUAGCAUUUCGUUUUUAUUUGACAAACAUUGUCCAAUCACAGAAUAACUAGGGUCAAAAGAUUCAUCUCAUAAAUUACAGGUAAACUGUGCAGUUAGUUUUUAUUUUUAUCUAUAUUUAAUACUCCAUGCAUGCGACCAAAGAUUCGAUGUGACGGGGAAUCUUGAAAAUUUUUGCGAACUAAACAAGGCCUGACUCUAGCGUCACUGUAGCGUACCUCAACUACCUGUUCCUUGUUCUCUCUUGUCGAUUUUUGCAGCAACCGUUUGACUGAUGAAUACGAACGCACGCAUGCGGCACGGCACUGCAAACCUGAAGAUAAAUAGUUCCGGCCACUAUAGACCUUGUUUAGUUCCGAAAAGAUUUCGGAUUUCGAUACUGUAGCACUUUCGUUUGUUUGUGACAAAUAUUAUCUAAUUAUAGACUAACUAGGAUCAAAAGAUUCGUCUCGCGAUUUCCAGCUAAACUGUGUAAUUAGUUUUUGCUUUCGUCUAUAUUUAAUGCUUCAUGCAUGUGCCGCAAGAUUCAAUGUGACGGAGAAUCUUGAAAACUUUUUGCUUUUUGGGUGAACUAAACAAGGCCAUAGACUGCAAAUCUCAAGCCAUCGUUACCAAUCCACCAGGAACAGAUGGUGGGCAGCCCUGACCGAGACAAGAUAAUAAGUGCUGUGCAGGACCGCAGUGCAUCUAGACGUUCAAACCUAGCGUCGCUGUAUGAUGUAUCUUUCUUUCAGGCACUCACAAUGCAGACUCUAUCAUGAAGUCUAAAGCUAUUUAUUACCUCGAACAAUGUGGACUUGGAGUCUAAAUAAGACUUGAAGUCUUAUUUUUUCUACCUCUUUCUUCAAUAAAUAUGGUGCCACAUCAGCAAAAUACCAUAAAUAAUAUAUAAUUAAUUGUCUUGGACUCUGUGAUAGAGUCUUGCAUUGAGAGUGUCCUAACAAGUCUUUUAGCCCAUAAAGCCAGUCUCAAUGUAUAGUUUCAUGACACAGUUACCAAGACUAUAAACUAGGUAACCGAGCACAAGAGUUUCAUGGGGAUGAAACUCCUCUCUCAUCUAAUGAAACUCCUUCAUUUAAUGACCCUGCCAAGUCAGCAAUUUUACUUAUGAGACACUCUAUUUAAUGUGCAUGACACUCCCAUAAAACAUGCAUUGAGACUGACCUAAGACCUAAUGUGUUUUUGCGACUUGACUGAGGAGCUAGCUGGUGAUCAGAGAGACUACGAUAUUGAUGAAAAUUAAUGGAGUGGGUCAAUUAUCAAUAAAUCUCUCAAAAGAAACCGGUGUGUGGCAUUAUCAAUUGAUUGGUGAAAAUGACCUGUUUUGGUCUUUAUUCCGCAUUUCCCCUGGCAGGUGAAGGAUGAUGAUGCGAGAAAGAACGCCAAGCCGCGGUGGGUGCGGACCACGGUGAACCUGGACGACCACGUCAUCGUCCCCUACCUGGACCCCGCCGCCACGUCGACCAAGCCGGACCAGGCCGUGGAGGACUACCUGUCCUGGCUGUCCACGGCGCCCAUGGACCACUCCCGCCCGCUCUGGGAGUUCCACGUCCUCAACUUCCCGACGUCCGAGGCCACCGCCACCGUCGCCAUCCGCAUGCACCACUCCCUCGGCGACGGCGUCUCGCUGCUGUCGCUGCUCAUCGCGUGCACCCGCAGCGCCGCGGACCCGGCGCGGCUGCCGGAGCUGCCGCCCGCGCCGCGCCGCGCCGGCCCCGUCUACGCUCGGCCGCGCCCGCCGCUCUCCGCGGGCUUCGUGGCGUUCGCGCUGUGGCUGUGGUCCUACGUCGUGCUCGCGUGGCACACGCUGGUGGACGUCGUGUGCUUCGUGGCCACGGCGUGGUUCCUGAGCGACCCGCGCACGCCGUUCAUGGCCGCGUCCGAGGGCGUCGAGUUCCGCCGCAAGCGCUUCGUGCACCGCACGCUCAGCCUCGACGACGUCAAGUUCGUCAAGAAUGCCAUGAAGUGUGUAAGAGCUUCUCUUGUUUGCUGCUCCUUGUUAUUCAAGUAGCUUUCCUUCUGAGAAUUGAACCAAAUGCAGCUUCUGAUGGAUUUUGCAGACUGUCAACGAUGUCCUGAUUGGAGUGACUAAUGCAGGGUUGUCGCGGUAUUAUUUCCGAAAGACCAGUGAGUGUACACCUGUAAAUCCAUGCAAAUCAGAAUUCAAUCAUGUUCCCCAUUAGCAUUCUGCACUUCCUUCGCAAAAUGUAAAAAUCAGGCCACAUUUUUAUCCUCAUAUUUCUUGAUUUUCGUCAGGUGGUAGCAACAAUGAGGGGAAAAAAUCACAGAACAUUCGUGUCCGAUCUGCUCUUCUUGUUAACAUUAGGAGAGCCCCUGGUUUACAUGUAAUUUACUACAGUAUUAAAUUUGCCUUUUAUGAAUAUGUCGACACUUAAGGCGUCCUUUAAUUAGUAUUGUCCUUGAGUAAUCUAUUCUGAAUCGCAAUUUGAUUUUGAGCAGGCAUUGACAGAAAUGAUGGCUUCUAGCAAGAACAAUGGGGCAAAAUGGGGGAACCUGAUUGGUUACAUGAUACUACCUUUCCAUAUAGCCAUGCACGAUGAUCCCCUUGAAUACAUCCGCCAAGGGAAAAGGACAGCUGAAAGGAAGAAGGCGUCAUUAGAAGCAGUUUUCACGUACUGGAGUGGGAACCUAAUAGUCAAACUUUUUGGCAUGAAGGUAUGAUCUCUAUUUAGAUAUCAACAUGUUUGCUUUGAUUGUUGGUUUUGUUUUGCUUGUAGAAUUGUGAGGUUUUGCAGUUAGAUGCAAUUCAUGUUAAGCUGAAACCAAUCCUUUGGAUUGUUUAAACCUUAAAUCUAAAGAAACAAACUUAAAUUCCGCUUUUAUAGAAAGCAUAUAAGAGUAAGUAAAAAGUCACAAUUACAUGGAUUCCCUCUAAAAUGACAAAUCACAAUUCACAGCCUUGUCAUGGACUACUGUAAAUUUGCAGGAUCACAUGAGUCUGAACUCUGUGAUUUAUUUUCACCCUUACAAGCGGCAGCAUUUCUUUUUUUGACAUUUUGUUGUAACCAAAGGUCACAUGACAAGAGUAUGAUCUUAAUACCUUGGACCAGAUUGAGCUAUCUUUUGUCUACUCUGGAAUUAUUGUCUCUAACUGUGAAACUUGUAUAGGCUGCAGCAGCUCUCUGCUAUGGUAUGUUCACAAAUACGACCCUGUCAUUCUCAAGCAUGGUUGGACCUGCUGAGAAGGUGGAGUUCUAUGGCCAUCCAAUCGUCUAUAUUGCUCCCUCUGUCUACGGGCAUCCACAUGUAAACGCUCACUAGUCAUUAAUACUAGUAUUGAACACUCAAAUCCAGUUCUCAAUUGUUAAUUAUGUCAUCUUAAUGUGUGCAGGCUCUGACUGUACAUUACCAAAGCUAUACGAACUCCAUCAAGCUUGUCCUCGCAGUGGAUGAUGCUCAGUUUCCAGACUCUCAUCAGCUUUUGGACGACUUUGCCGAGUCCCUGAGGCUCAUCCGUCAGGCAGCUUCGAAAGAUGACAAAAAGAAACUAGACCAACAUUCCUUUUUCGGUACAAUGUAGGUUGUUGAUGACAACACACAAAGAAAUGCUGAACAACAUGUCAGGAACUUGAUCGUCUGGUUACCUGAUUGGGGACUACAUAAACUUUCAAGAAAUCGCUAGAGAGGCAGUGCAAAUUGUAAAGUGUAAGACUAGUAUGUAUAUCAAUAUUGUUCAACCAACUGUGGUGGAAUCACAAAAUGGAUAUUAUGCGAAGGAAUUCAACAUCAACUAUUGUUCGAUUAGAAUGUAGCAAUUUCACAUAUACAUAAUACAUGUUAGCCUUAAAAAACAGAGCCUGCACGCACUAUAUAACAGUAGAUAGCAAAUAGGUUUCUACUACUUCCUCUGUUCAAACUAUAAGUCGUUCUAGCUUUUCUAGAUACAAUGCUUUUGUUAUGCAUCCAAACUUACACUAUAUGUAGAUGCAUCACAAAAACUAUGUUCCCAGAAACCCAAAAUGAUUUGUAAUUUAGAAUGGAGAGUACAACAUAACAAUUUCCACUAAUGCUUAUAUAUCAAAGAACUCGACUCUCCACUAAACUGAAGCUACAAAGACCACAAGCCUCAUCGCAACCCAGCACAACCUACCCAAGUUGACAGUCUCAUUUCCUGCCCUAUUCUAAUCUCUCUCUGUCCCUCUGUAGCACUAUAGUACUAUUUAGCGAUGACGUGUGAUCAGUGAACAACAUGAUAAUAAUGUAGCGCUACGAUUAAUCAUUUUAUUGCUAUUUGUGGUGCCGGAGGUAGUGUACUGCACCUGAUCUUGUACCCUAGCUCGCAGCUUGAACCUAGCUAUGCUUUGCUAACUGCUACACUACACAUGCUUGGUAGUUUGGUAACAUCAAAUAACCUAGGAUUAUUGUUUGAUGUGACUCCUAGUUCAUGAAUGCUUAAAUUGCUUAUGAAAAUCACCAAAGUGCAUGUACUUAACUUACUGGUUCCUUCAUUAUUAUUAAAUGAAACAACUUCAGUAAUAAAACUUGAUCAGAUCAACUAUGGCUAGUAUUCUAGUACUUGUUGUCUUCUCUACUCACAAACAUAAAUCCAUUUUGUACAUGUUUGACUGACUUUUUUUUAUAACUUUGAUCACUCAUAUAAAAUUUGUAUAGAUUGACAGCAGAGUAGGGCUAUCGCUAGCUAAAAGAAAUUCCUCUACUGUGGCUUUUAGGUGUUGCCUCCACUGAGAUCAUCAAAAAGGGCAUUUGCAGUUUCAGAUCUCGGUUAUCAAUCCUUUCUUUUCACUCUUGUACAAACUUUCAGACUAGGUUACAAGCAAACCAUGCAAUGAGCUAUCGAACUUCCAUGGCUUAAGCCAAUGCUAAAACCUUGGCUAUCACAACAACAUCAUUGGAAUUGGAAAGGAUAAACACAGAUGCCUCCUAUCCUUGUUCUACACCAAGGAUAGGAGCAGAGGACUAGCUAGUCUGUGCUAGGUUUCUCUGGUUUCUUGAUCAAGAUAAACAAGGCUACACGGUUGCUGCGAAAUUCAGGGUGCCAUUGGUCCUGCUCAAUGCAAGCAAUUAGGAAGUCCUCCAUUGCUGCCUCCAAGAAGCACUCCAGCACAGCAUCUAUACAACCAUAUGCAAAGCAUUUAUAUGACGUCUGAGUCAGUCAGUCAGUCGAUCCCAUUCCAAAAGAAAACAGAGAACGCGAAAGAGGAGCCUUAAUUACCGUUGCGAAGCUCUCCAGCUAGAAGUAUCGUGGUGUGUUUUCCUGAGAGCUGGUUGAGAGUGGCCUGGAGAUCGCCCACUGCUUCCUCAUUGUAUAUGACAUCAGAGCCGAGCACUGAAAGAAUUGAACAAUCACCAUUGAUCACAUCUAUCGUGCUCUAUGCCGAUGAAUCCGAAGCAGGCAGGAGUUGAAUGUCCAUGCAAGAAACAGAGAACAAAAGAAGACAGAGGCGAGCAGACCGAAAUCAGGCAGUGGCUCCUUGAGCAAUUCAUGGUGAGGAUCGUCGCCCCACACAAGCUCCGUGACCCGAGCGGAGCCCGGGACGUGGGGGUCGUCGACAUUGAGGGCGACGUUCUUCCUGAGCAGCUUGAGCCGGUCGGGGAGGUCGGUGAGGACCACAUGGGCGCCCAGCAGGGCGGCGGCGCACCCCACCAGGCCGCACCCGGACCCGAGGUCCACCGCGCGCGUGCCGCGGAGGAGCAGCCGCUGGGAGUCGACGGCGUGCUCGAGGAACUUGGCGAGCACGACGCCGCUGUCCCAGACGACCGCCCCCGUGACCCCCGGGGUCGACAUCGAGGAGGGCGACUGCAGCAGGGACAGGCGCCGCCCGCAGGCGUCGAGCUCGAAGGCGUGCGCCGCCUGGCGGACCAGCGCGUUGUUUCGGUGCGCCUCGGGCUGCCCUAGGCCCCAAAGCAGCAUCGUCUCCCCAGCCGCGCUCUCCACCGGUCGCACCACGCCGCCGUACGCGCCCAUCCCGCUGCCCAUCAUCGACUCGGCGGCGGCGGCGGCGCUCUGUCCUCUCUCUCUCUCUCUCUCUCUCUCUCUCUCUGGAGACUGGAGAAACGUGAGUAAUGGGCCGAUCUGGGCCGCCCGUGAGUUCGUCCAAGGCCCAGCCGGAAUGGCUCCUCCUCCUUCCCCGAUACGGUUCAAGCUGGCCCCACCACCGGUGCGAACGCGAUGCCAUCCCGCUCCCCCCGCGCCGCCUCCUCGAUUGGGGACGCAAUUCAAAAGGCGCCGAGGGCAAAGGCAGAGGCGCUCCUCAUCAUCCUUAACAACGGCUAGCACACACAAAACAGACCCUCUCUUCCUCCUCAGCGGCGCCGUCGUCGUCAUCCCCUGCAUCCGACCAAGGAAGAAUAACGAAGGGGAAGCGCUGUUACUGCCUCGGAGACAAAGGACGAUGGAAGAAGCAGCCGCCGCCGCCGCCGCCGCCACCGCCGCCCCCUCCCCCUGCCCCAGGACCGCUCCAGUCAGAGUGGUCGCGAGGAUUUGUCCUGGCGGAGGCCCGUCAGGCUCCUUCCAUGUCGCCGCCCGUGUCCCUGAUCCGGCCAAUUCCUCGUCGGCUUCCGUUUCCUUCAUCCCCGUCAGCAAGGAGGCCGCUCCUUCUGGGUACGUUUCAUAGCAGCCUGCUCCUUGCCGAUUAUUAUUUUAAGAUCCGAUCUAUCUAAUCAACUAAGCUGGCCAUAUUUUGGCCUGUAGAAGCAUGACUCCCCACAAGCAACGCGAGUACAAACUCGAUUGGUGCUAUCUCAACCAAGAUUCAGACACACACAUAUUCCAGAAUGAGGUUAAACACCUCGUGGAUAACAUUUUUUCCGGCGACGGACGCAACCAUGCAUGUGUAAUCACUUGUGGUUCUACUGCCAAAACCAACCUCGUUAUGGUAUGUUUUUUUAUUUCAGAUCACAUGCCCACCAUAAAAAUUAUAAGAACUGCAUAUUUAUAUUUUUUUUGUCUUAAACAAAGUUCACUCAUGAUUUAAAAUUCUGAUGUAGGGGUUUGAGGAUCAUCCUGGCUUGCUCAUCAUGGCCAUGGAGCGAAUCCUUGACUGUGCCAAACCCAUCGGGGCAACCAUUAGAGUUUCCUCUUAUCAGGUGCUUCAAGACAAUCAUGUCUUUGAUCUCUUGGAGCCGAAGGAUAGUGAGGUGUUUGUGCGAGAGGAUGCUAAUGGAAGGACUCAUCUUAAGGGCCUCUCCAAGGUACACUAUUUGCUUACUUUUUUUUAAAUUCAUGUUCCUGACUUUCUAUUUUCGCAGCUACCAGUUUCUCUGAAAUUAAUCACUUAAUGCAGGUUGGAAUCAAUUCAAUUCAAGAGUUUCAGAAUUUGUGCUAUGGGAGUGACAAGCUCCAAAAUCCCACCAUAGCUUCCAACCAAACUAGUGGACACCGUGGUUUUAUUAUUUUCAUUUCUAGAUUUGAUCAAAAUGGUAGACAACGCUCUGUAGCAAAUAUGCAUUUUCUUGAGUUGGCUGGUAUGUACUUUUCAUGCGUGAACUGCAAUUUUGUAUAUUAUCUUUUAUCAACAAUUUAGUUUUUGUUCCCUGAUUUUCAAUAGGCUAUAACAAUAACAAGCAAAAGAGCCAAGGUGGGGGAUUUGCUCAACCAAAUUCUAAGAAGUCAUUGUAUGCUGUAAUGGAUGUUGUUCAAGCUCUAAAUAGCCACCAGAGCUUCAUACCCUAUAGGAAGAGCAAAGUAACUCAUAUUUUGCAAGAUUCUCUAUGCAAGACAAGUGAUGCUUUAUUAAUAGCAUGUUUGGUAAGGAUACUUGGCAUCAACAUCUUUGUAUAAUGUAUUUGAGAUAUUUUAAGAUAAAUAUCAGGAUACCAUAAAUUAAAUGGUUGCACUGUCUUUUAUUGUUAAUCUUCUGUUGGUUUCAAAAAAAAAUCUAUAAAUGGAUGGUGGUUCAAUAAUAUUGCUCAGUAGCAUGUUUCUUAAAAUUAAAUAUAUGAGUUCAUGUUCUGCCUUCGGUCAAAACUCAAAAGAUAGUAUAUCCACGGACGUUUUAUAAAAAGAAUGUGGCUAGUUAAAAUAUUUGUUAUUGCUAUUCUAUGUUUCCUUAUGUUGCUAUUGUUUGACAGAAUAUGUAUGUAUUUCUAAAUUUAGCUUGUGCUAUUUGUUAUAACCUUCUUUAUGUUACCUUACCAUACUUGUUGGAAUUGGAAUUGAUACAUUGCUACUGUUACCAUGCCAAUCUAAUGCAAUGCAUUCUUGCGUAGGAUGAAGUCUCCUGCCAAGAUGUAGUCUCUACUCUAAGCUUGGCUUCACGCUCAAGCCAAGUGGUCAAUGAUCAAUGCUACAACUUAUCCUUAAGCACAAAAGAUUGUUUAAAGUCAAAUGUAAACCUUUCAAUAAACACUAAGAAUUUGUCAAGGUCAUUAUUGCCUUCUACCCAGCAACGAAGUUCUAUAGUGGAGAAGUCCGACAAAACUCAAUUUAAUAACAGUGCAGUAAAAGCAGCUCGAGCUCUCAACGCCAAUAAGAGGUCACAAUCUGAUUUUGGAUUUACUACAUUUGAUACUAGUAUUUUGUCAACAUUUGAAACUAAUGGUGGUUUUUGUGUUAUUCAUUCAGAUCUGAAACAAGCACACAUUCAGUGAAAAAAACAAGCACACAAUCUGCUUCAAUUAGUUUGAAACACUCCGCUGCUAAGUCUAUCCUGAGGGGAAGGUAACACUCUAUUGAUUAAGUCACGAUUAUCUCAAUGCUUUCAACAAUACCAUUAAAAGUGAUCUUUUGUUCUCCAGGAAUUUGUUUUUUCCUACAGCUAAUUCAUCAAAGGUACGUAACUAAACUAGUUUCCUCUAGUCCUUUCGCAUAGUAUGUCAGUGAAAUGGGUAUUAAAGUUGUCAUUCUUAUGUUACUAACUAGUCCAAUAUGUUAUUUUGUGAAUUAUGUAGGAAGAUAUGAAAAAUUUGGUGACAACUGCAAUAGUAAGACCUAAGGUUUGUAUAGUUUUAGCACCUUAUAUGUACACUUUCCAUCGAUCAUUAGUGAACACAUUUAUAUUUGAGUUUUCUAUGCUAUUCAUAGGAGGUAGAGACAUCAUCUGGCAUGGAAAUUCAAGCCCUCCCACCAAUUGAGGUAAUUUAACUUUUAUUGUUUUUGAAGGUAGGUGCUACUCAUAAAACUAAUUAUUGAUUGGAGCAAUAUGCAGGAGAAAUGUGACGACACAAAAAACAGUGUAAUAUCAUCUAAAAUGGAAAAAGUAGAGCCUUGUAGCAUGAGAGAAAUUGUAUUAAGCGACAUGAAAGAAGAGGUAUACAACCCUUGAAAAUAGGCAAAUAUAUGAUAUUUUUGUGUUUACAAUUCCAAUAUGAAUAUCAUAAAUAUGUAUACCUUUUGUUUCUCUAUUCAGGGCCAUUCUUCUUCAACAGAGAAUUUCGUAGCUGACUCUAGCAUGACAUACCCAUCUACUGCAGCUGGUAUGAUAUUUUUAACUCACUCUUUCUAAAUGUUAAUUAUGAAAUCAUAGUAUUCUCAAUUGACUUCACUUUUCCAGAUAAAUCUGUUGAAAAAAAUCCAACCAACGUUAUCCAGUCCUCUCCAAAGAUAAGUGAUCAGCUAAGAGAGAUAUCAAACUCAUUGAAGCUUCUUAGUACUAUGCCAUCGAGCAUAAAAACAGAUAUAGUUCGUGCCAAACCCUUUGAUAUAGUUGAAGCAGAACCAAAAACUCCUGAGAUCCACUUGAAAGUUCGGCAUGUUGAAGAUCUACAAGAAUCAGGGUUUAAGGUUACCUAUUUUAAACUCAUUACACAAUUAGUAUUGUAUCCUUAGCUUUGGUGAUAAAUCAUUUCUUCCUUUUUUCUUCACAAAAGCAGAAAUCCCUGGCUAAAGAGUGUUUGUCAUUUAUAAACAGCGCUAGCAAGUAAGUAUUGUCACUAAUAUAUUAUUUAUUGUUGAACCAAAUUUAUUUAUGUUUUUCUAAUGAAUGUUUUCAAAUCAUGCAGGGAGCAAUUAAAAAGUUUAAAGGUGCGGAGAAUUUUAAAGAUUAUGCAUUCAGCUGAACAUAAAUGAUUACUUAUGCUUUGCUAACAUGUUGUUAAUGUUGCAGGGUAUUGGAGAGAAAAGGGCAAAUUUUAUACUUGAGCUUCGAGAGGAGUCACCAGAACCAUUGAAAGAGGUAAACCUUCUUCUAUAUUGAAUGCUUAGGAAGUUAAAAUUAAAUAAUAUGAAGUGGCAAAACUAAUUUUACCUUUCAGAUUGAUGAUCUUAGAAGCAUCGUCGGGAUGAACAAAAAAGAGGUAACUCUACUAUAUCUAUGUGUUUUGUUUCCUUAUUUUAAUAAAUACAAUCAAAUUGUCCAAAUACAAAAAUGCUACACCAUCACUGGAGAAUGGAGAUACAUAUCUAUUAGUCAAAUGCACAUCUUAGGUAACUUUAGCAGCAUGAAAGGUUACCCACAUUUACUACCUUCUAUUUUUUCUAUUUCGUUCAGAUCAAUAAGAUGGUGUCAAAGAUGGUUUUGGAAUCGAAGAUGGACUAGGAAGGGUUGUUGAUUUCCUUCCACCUAGGAGACGAGGUCAUAGUUCCAAAUAGUCUCAAUUCGAAUAUUGAUGCUUGUUGGUAGCGGAUUGCUGCAGAAUCCAAAUGCUAUCUGUGUUGCUUGUGAGAAUAACCGGAUGUUUUGUUGAAAAAAAGAAUAAUCAUGAUGUACAUGUGUUGUGGAGGUACAAGUUUUAUACCUGUCGUGUAAUGUAAAUACGAACAAAGAUUUUGAAGGCUUUCAGGUUUGUCGUAUCAGAAGCUAUUAGUUACCCUGUCAUGAUUGUCACUGGUUAGUGCCUAACGUGCUGAAGAUGCCCAGUUCAGCGCAACACUGAGAACAAUUUCAGUUUCGCUGUUGCAGUUGCGGCACCCAAAGCAGCUACAUCUGCUUUGUUGAACUCUGAAGAAGUGAAGA
rnacentral:lncRNA from 1 species